rnacentral:lncRNA from 1 species
CCACAAUCACAAUCUCUCUUACAAUCGUCGUAAAUAUUCAUUUACCAUUAUCUUGAUAGACACAACCUCUUGUCCUAAUAAUUAUUUUGUAUAUUAAUAAUUUAUAUACUACAUAAAUCAAAAGAACAAUUUAAUUAAAUUUAAAAUGAAAAUUAACUAUGAAUUAAAUAAUUCUAACCGUAUAUUUCAAAAACAAAAUAAAUUUCGGAUUGUAUAAUUCCUUUUGAAUUUUCAAAAUUUAUAUUUUUCAAAAAUAAAAUACCUCAUAAAUUAUCCAGUUCAAAAUGUAUUUAUACAUUUAAAAUUAUAAUUUUAAAUUAUAGAAUCUAAAAUUAUUAUGUUUUUUAAAAUACAUUUUAAAUGGAACAAACAACGAAAGGAGGAGCGACGACUACGACACUGUUUUUCUACAAGGAAGAAGAAGAGAGAAAUGUAGGUCUAAAAAAUAUAGGUGAGUAAGGGUAGUUUGGUCUCUUAGCAUGAGAUGGGGUGCAUAAUAAUGAAAUUAUGGGGGUGCAGUGGCGUAAUAAAUAAGAAAGGCUGGCCCAAAUAAAGUGAGUGGGGAAAAGGAGCGUCUUGGUUAGAAAGGGUGAGGCGGUGGUGGCAGUUACCGGAGGAGAGAGAUGCCGAAGAGAACAACGCACACUUACUCAAGCGAGGAUGCGGCGCCGGAGGGUCCACACUCCGAUCUGUUUGUUUAUUACUGCAAACACUGCGCUUCCCACGUCCUCAUAACAGAUACCCAAUUGCAGAAAAUGCCCAAAAGAAAAACCGACAAAGCUUAUGUGCUCGACAAGACCAAACAUCUCGCCCGAUUCAAUGUCCACCACGCCGGAAAAGUUCUCUUGAAGAGAGGCGAAGGCAAAUUGGAGAAACAAUUCCGCAUGAACUGUAUGGGCUGUGGUCUUUUCGUUUGUUAUCGCGCCGACCACGAUUUCGACUCUUCCUCUCUCAUCUACGUCCUUGAUGGUGCCCUCAGCACUGUUGCUGCCGAAACCAACCCACAGGUACAUCUCCUUUUCUUCCUCCUCUUCUUCUUCUUCUUCUUCUUCUCUCUCACCCCUUUUCUCUUCAGGAUGCUCCCGUUCCACCCUGUAUAUCCCAGCUUGAAGGAGGACUUGUUCAGGUUGCUAUAGAAGUUGAAGAUCGUGCACAGCGUUCAGCAAUCACCAGUACCCUUUCUCUUCCCUUCUAAUUUCAUCUACACUUUCUCUAUACAUUCAAUUGCAAAUAAUGUCAUCACAACAUUCUAUGUCCUUUCAAAUACUUUUCGAUCACACUAUUUGUCAAAUGCUUCUAAUUUAUGCUCACCACGUAUGUGCUUACAAGUACAACCUUAAUUCUUAUCAAAAUCCCAUGUGCUUGCAUAUUUCUAUGCCUGCUACCCUCUCAUAUUUGCAUACAUGGAUUAAGAAACAGUGUGGUAUUAUGGAACAGUAAUGUUUUGGAGGCCUUAAUUGAGGAGAGGGAAUGAAAAUGGAACGCAAAGUAGAAAGAAUGGUGGGGUAAAAUGAGAAAUUUAAGAAUAAUUGCUCACCUUUUCAUCCACAUUGUAACAUGGAGUUGUAAAAUGAGAAAUUUAAGAAUAAUUUCUUAAUAAAAUCCCGUUGGAGGAUUACAUUUAUAUUGUUUUUGCUGUAUCAGGAGUAAAUGCUGAUGAUGUUCGAGUCACUGUUGCUGCUCCUGCUGCCCGUGGAGAGGCCAACAACGAACUUUUGGAAUUCAUGGGAAAAGUAUAUUUAAACCCUCUCUGUUUCUCUUUUUAUCGGGUGUGAGUUUUGUCUCAACAUCAAGGUUGUUGCCUUGUGACUUUGUGGUCAUGGGAUAUGGUUGCGAAGAUGGCCUUGGUUCAUCAGUGCAUACACUACACAUGAUCCUCCUAGAACUCUUUGGACUUUUUGGUGGCCCUUUUUUGUUGUUGUGUCUCUUUGUUGAAUCUUUCCCUCUGGCCUAAGACUACUGUAGCACUGACAACUUUCCGCUACACAUUUCUUACAUAGGUUUUGGGUUUGAGGUUGAGUCAGAUGACUCUUCAGAGAGGAUGGAAUAACAAAUCAAAGCUUCUUGUGGUGAGUUACAUUAUUAUCAAGUAUACCUUCGUGUGAAGCAUUCACAUUGAUAUGGAUUUGGGAUUCAUUCCAAACGAUACUAUUCUGAAUAAUCAUACUAACUCCACUGCCUUAAUUAUUUCUGUUUCCCUCUUAUAAGAUUGUCCCUUUGUAAUUAUUUUCACAUUUGACGACUGUUUCAGGUGGAGGAUUUGACUGCUAGACAAGUUUAUGAGAAACUUUUGGAGGCUGUGCAACCUUAACAUUGUCUUUUUAGCUUUAGUUUCCAUGGUGUGUCUGGCUUCUGUGAGGUUCUUUUGCAUUUUCCAUAUUAAGCCAGGUUGAAUCUCAUUUUUUCUGCAAAAAAGAGUGAGGUUUAAAUUUCAGUUGUAAUGUUUACUGAGAUACUAAACGAUGCAGUUGGCUACGAUGCAAUAGAAACCUUACUUGCUAUGCUUAUGUACUAUAAACACAUGAUUGGAUAGUAUCAGGGGAACAAAACCUACCUGGUUAUGACAGAAACGUAUCAGAAUCUUUUUCUUUUUUCAAUAUAUCCGGGUAAAUUAUGUAUUGCCCUCUAGUUUCACCAUUUGUUAAAUAUUUUUUUUAAAUUUCUGUCACUUAAUCUUUGUCUUAACGUUGGUUUAAUAUAAAAUAUCAAUUUUAGUUUUAAUUAUUGUUCUUUAUCUUGCACAUCUAAAUAAAUUCAGUAUGAUAUAUAGGAGAAAUGAUGUUGUGCUGAUAAAAAAAAUAAAAAAAUAGGAGAAAUGUUGUAUGAAUUUAAUUUUGAUAUAUUAUCUGCGUAAUUUUUGUAUCAUUAAAUAAUUAGAAAAUAUCUUAAAAAUGAUUUUAAAAUAAUUAUCAUUUAAAAGAAAUGUUUUCAUUGUAAUUUGACCUCGUAGUCUUAAGUGUAGCAUUUGAGUUUUAUAAAGACAGUCUUCUAAAUUUAAGACUCUUGUAUUAAAUAAUAUCUCAAAUUAGAAGUAAUUUUUAAAUUUAAAAUAUAAGUAAAAAUUAUAAAAUUAUCAGUUUUAUAAGAUUAUUGUAUUAAAGCGAAAUUUAUAAAAAAAAAAUCUUAAAAAUAAUAUAUGAUUGAAAAGACUUUGAAUUGGAGAUGAAGUUUAAGCGAAGGUAAUAAAGUUAUAUGCAAUCAGAACAUUCUACACUUCAAUGCCUAAUAAAACCAAAUCCCUGUUUAUACCUUUCUUUUAGGAUAAAUUUUAUUAAUAAACUAACAAACAACCUUAAAAAUAUCUAUAACAAAUAUUAUUAAUAGUUAUCUUAAUCUUAAUAUAUAAAAGUAAGGUAUUAUUAUCGGUAUUUUUCGUCAAUUUUUCUACCUACCGUGACUUAAUUGUAUUAAUUAACAAUACUUUCAUUAUUCAAAAGAAUCUAUUUAUAAUUUCUUAACUAAUAGAAUUCGUUACUAUUAAUUCUGUAUAGUAGUUGCUAAAACAAUAAAAAUUUCAGCAUUUAACAUUUUUACCGAAACAAAUUGUAUUAAUUAUAUUAAUUUAUUCCCUUUUUUAAGCCAAUAAAAAUAGAUAGUUUUACCAUUUUUUAUCAUAUUAGAAAUGUAAAAUUUGUUGUAUAUGUGAUUUAUUUUGGAUAACAGUAGUUUUUGUUGAUUUAAUAUUAGAAGCAUAAACAUUAUUGAUAUAUAUAUUUUUGUGGUAGGAAUAUUUAUAAUGAAGAUUUUGAAUAACCCAUGCUUUAUCUGAUAAGAGGAUGUGUUUGAAUGUGUAGAUUGGGAAGGAUAUUUAGGGAAUUUGGUUAAAUAAAUUCCGCUAUUUUAGAAAAAUUAAUAAAAUAUUGAAGAGUCACGUGUGCAAUGCUCACACUCCAGAAUAUCUUCAUCUCCUUGAUUUGAAGAGAAGGAGGAAGAAGAAGAAGAAGAAGAAGAAGAAGAAGAAGAAGACAAGUUACAGUUAGUGUUACGUAAUGGAUUCUCUGCGUGUGUAUGCGUCUACCAUUCGCCCAUGCUUCUGUGCGUGUGCCCAUCCCUCCACUCUCUCCACCUCUUCCUACAAAACCCAUCUCAGAUUCCUCCUUCCCUCUCUCCCUCCUCUUCGCCCUCUCCAUCUCCGAUUGUCUCCGCCUCUCUCCGCUGUCUCCUCCCCGGAAUCUCAAACUAGGUCAUUCUCGCUCUCUCUCUGUCUUUAAUUCUUCAUUUUUUUAUUGCUUACUCCUUCCAACUCACUACUCCAAUCAAUGUCAGGGACGAACAACAACAAGAAGGAGACAAUAAUCCUUCUUCUGUCUCCAUGGACCGCAAAGUUCGCCUGCAAGUUCGAUUAGAUCACCAAGUUCAGUUUGGUGAUCACGUUGCCAUCCGAGGAUCCACCAAGGAAUUAGGAUCAUGGAAGACCAAUGUUCCCUUGAGCUGGACCAAAAAUGGAUGGGUGUGCCUCUUGGAAUUCAAAGGGACCGAUCACAUUGAGUUUAAAUUCAUCACUGUCAAAAAGGACUCUACUAUGGUCUGGGAAGCCGGCCAAAACAGAGUGUUGAAAUUGCCCGUGGCAGGUCAUUUUACCACCGUCGCUACGUGGGACGCAACCCAAACAAAUUUGGAGCUGCACCCUUUGGAUGAACAACUGCAACUUCAAGUACAGGGGGAGGAAGGUAAACCAUACGAUGGUGCUACUUCUUCUGUUUCUGAAACGGCAGAGGCAAGUCCCUUUGUAGGUCAGUGGCAAGGUAAACCUGUUUCUUUCAUGCGAUCCAACGACCAUCGAACCCAUGAAACACAAAUGAAAUGGGACACUUCAGGUCUUCAUGGUUUGCCUCUCAAAUUCGUUCAAGCCGACCAAAACGCCAGGAAUUGGUGGAGAAAGGUACUCCAAUUCAUAAUAUUCCUUUCCCUCGGUGCCUUCUUUAGAAACCAGUGCCUUUCCUUUUUAAUCAGCGUAUUAACUUUAUCCUUAAUUUUCACUUUGAAGCUUGAUAUCGUGCGUGAUAUUAUAGCUGGAGGUCUGCAAGGGGAAGAUCGAUUGGAGGCUCUCUUAUACUCAGCUAUCUAUCUCAAGGUCUUGUUCUAUCUUUUUCAUUCAAUCAUCCAUGCUCUUCUUUUACCAUCUUCUGAUCCCUUCUGACAUCAUCUGUGCAGUGGAUAAACACCGGGCAAAUAACUUGUUUUGAAGAUGGAGGUCACCACCGCCCCAAUAGGCAUGCUGAGAUUUCAAGGCUUAUAUUUCGUGAACUAGAGCGGCACACUGCUCGGAAGGAUAUAUCUCCACAGGUGAUCUAUUAUUACUUUUGACAGUGGAUCAUGUGGUCCUGAUUGCAUAAUAGAUGUUGCUGAUAUUUCACAAAAAUUAUACGAGAGUCGGUAUUUAUGUCAUAGGUUCUGCAUUGUUGUCUAUUUUAUAUGUCUUUAUGUGUUUUGGCCUUAAGGCUUGUUUAGAUAAACAUAGGAGAAAAAAAUGUGAUGAAAAAGUUACAUAAACAUUUCUAGAAGUUCAAAUUAGUUUAUGCAUAAGUUAUCUCAUAUCUUUUUUUUUUAAAUCUGUCUUUUUACUUGUACUUGUACUUAAGUCAAUUUUAACUUCUGUAGAAAUUUAUUUUAUUUUUGUUAUUUUCUUCUCUUAAAAGCAUUUAUGGAGAAGUUUAUUCAAACAAAGCCUUAUUUAGAUUUUUUUGAAGAUAACAUUAUAUUUCAAAAUGCAGUCAAUUAGUUUCAAAUCUUCUUAAUGUUUUCCUUGUCUUUUUUGUUAUAAGUUUUUGCAACAGCUGUCCCGAUUUAAAUUAGUUGCUUAGUUCAGCCAUGUCCUGUCCUUUAAAAUGUCUGACAUACAUUAAAUGUGAAAUGUCCGAGAAUUGGAAAUUAUUGUUUAAAAGUGUUUUUGAAAACUUGGUAUAAUAUUCCUUUACAUUUCCCACCUUUUUUAUAUCUUGCUGUCCAGUAAAGUUUAAGCUUUAUUUCUUUAAUUUACCUUAUUUUCAUUAACAUACAGGAAGUUCUAGUCAUCCGAAAGAUUCAUCCAUGUUUGCCAUCUUUCAAGGCAGAAUUCACUGCAUCUGUACCUCUUACUCGAAUUAGAGAUAUUGCUCAUCGAAAUGACAUCCCUCAUGACCUCAAGGUUGUUCUCCUCAUAGUACAUGAAAUAUGAAAUCUCAUUGCAGUUCAAUGUUAAUAAUAGGUCAACUUUAAUCUGUAUUGUUUAUUGUCCAGUUACAAAUUAAGCAUACAAUACAAAACAAGCUUCACCGAAAUGCUGGGCCUGAAGAUUUGGUUGCUACAGAAGCUAUGCUUGCUAAAAUCACAAAAAACCCUGGAGAAUACAGUGAACCGUUUGUGAAGGAAUUCAAAAUAUUUCAUCUAGAACUCAAAGACUUCUUCAAUGCUGGCAGGUUUGAUUGACAUGAAUAUGCAGAAGUUUUUGGCUUCUUCACAUCAAUUUCUCUUUUUAUAAUUUAAACAUUAUGUAGUUUUCUCUUGAAACUCCCCCAUGAUUUGAAUACACAAUUAAUUAGGCCGUUAACCAAUAGACUGAUCGUGAAACUGCAUGAACUUUUGCUGUUCACAGCAAAAUCUUCAUUUUGAACUAGUCAGAUAUUUCCGUAAGUCAGAAAAUCAACUGAUUAACACUAUGUAAUAGUUUCUCAUUUUAAGAGGUCCCAUGUUUAAUCCCGUUGGAAGCAACUGGCUGUAGAGGCUCCAAUAAAAAUGGUGGUUCAAUGAAUUAAUCUCCUACAUUAUAGAGUCUCGGGAGUGUCACGCACUCCACAUGUAGAGAGGCUGCUUUAGACUAUAGAACUUGUAGGCUGUUCCUACCAAGGUCACAAGACUAAAACCUUUUUGUGCGAAGGCCUACCAUCUCUUGUGAAUCCUGCAGUAGUUUGAGGGGAUGGGGUGAGCCAACAAUGAAGUAUACUAAAUUUCAAGGAUAUUUUCAAAUAAUUUGGGCCUGUGUUUAACCAGUGGCUGAAAAAUCAUAAUUUUACACUUUUGAGUGAACAUAGUAAACUAAAUUUCUAGGAUAUAUUCAAAUGAUUUAAACUUGUCUUAUACUAGUACUGGAAAAUCACAAUCUGUUGCACUUAUGGACGGCUUUGUCAUGUUGCAUGCAGUCUUGCUGAGCAGUUAGAAUCAAUUCGUGAAUCUAUGGAUGAAUAUGGCAUUUCAGCACUUAAUUCAUUUUUGGAGUGCAAAAAGGUAAAUUUGCCUAUUCUGAUUUUAUUGCAUUUAUAUUUCUUGAUUUGGUCUCAAUGUUUGACACUGAAAUAAACUAAUUAUGGAAUAAGAUGUCAUCUAAUUCAUGGUAGAAUAAUUAGCUGUUAGAGAGUUAGCUUGUUGGGAGAUGAGAUACUCGGGAAAUGACAUUGCAUUUUGUAGUCUUUCUGGUAUCACAAUUUUUGGGUUUUGGUCUCUUGGGCUUCAAUUGUGAUAAAUGGGUCUCAAGUAUUGUGAGGUUGAUUGAAAUAUUUCUCAACAAAUUAUACAUGUAGCAUAAGAAUCAUGAAGCUGAAAUUUUGAGGUUGUCAAAGCUCUAGUUUGGAUAAGAAUUCUCUCUCCUUUCCCUUUUUCAAUGGGUGGGGGGUAGGUACUGUUGCAUUUAUCCCAUUCAUGUGACCAUGGUACUCAUAGUUGUUCUGAUAGUGGCAUCUACUGAUGAGGGACAAUGUUUUGUACUUUUCCAGAAUAUGGAUGCUGCAUCAGAAUCAAAUGCUGCCAGAGAAGACGUAAAUAAACUUUUAUUUAAAACAAUGGAAUCUUUAAAUGUUCUGAGAGAAACUAUUGUAAAGGGUCUUGAAAGUGGCCUCAGGAAUGAUGCUCCAGAUUCUGCAAUAGCUAUGCGUCAAAAGGUGACUCUAGUUUAAUUCAACUGUUUAGCCAGACUUUGCAUCUGAUUUUCUUUAUAAAGAAUGAUGGAACAUAUUUUGAUUCGCAUCUUUUUUUGGGGGGUACAGUGGCGCCUCUGUGAGAUUGGGCUUGAGGAUUACUCAUUUGUUCUUUUAAGCAGGUUUUCGUCCCACCUUAUUCCUAAUUACUCUUUGUACAAUAGUCAGAUACUUAGAAGUUGAUGUAAUAUACGAAGGACAGAUGUUGCGAAAGGCAUGGAGUACUUGUUAACUACUUAGACAGAUAACACUAGAAUACAAUGCAUAACACUGAAUGCAUGAAGAUAGAUGUUUACUAAACCUCCAAGUUAGCUAAAGAAUUAUAUAAAUUAUCUUAAUACUUUAAACGGGAAAAAAUAAGUUUCAUGUUGAUUUCAAAUAACUGUAAUGAUGCAGUGAAGUCAAGCCACUUGAUAAGGAUGUAGUAUCAUUGAACUGUGUAGAACUUGUUUGAUGGACAUAUAGAACUUUUCCAGCCAAAAGCUACUUGUAAAUUGUAUAACAAGACCUUUCUAUUGGUAUCACAUUAACUUCUAAACACGUGAAUAGAUUUCUCAACGAGCUUGAAGUCUUGGGAGGUGCUAGUUGGCUGGCCGCAAAUGUGCAGUCAAAAAAUGUAAACUUGUGGAAUGAUUCACUUGGAGCCCUUAUUAUUGGAAUCCACCAGCUGAAGUUAUCUGGCUGGAAGCCAGAAGAGUGUGGUUGUAUUGAAAAUGAACUCAUUGCCUGGAGUAAAAGAGGCCUUUCUGAAAGAGAAGGUAACUUUCUUGGGUCCUUUCUCUAUUGUUGUUUUUAAAAAUCACUUAGACAUUGUUGCCUAAUUUUCAUUUUAAAUGUACUCCCUUUUGUUCCAGGAAAUGAAGAUGGCAAGACAAUUUGGUCACUGAGACUCAAAGCUACUCUUGAUAGAUCAAAGAGGCUAACUGAUGAAUAUACUGAAGAACUUCUUAAGAUAUUCCCUCAGAAAGUCCAGGUUAGAAAGUAUUAUUAUUAUGAUGAUGAUUUUAAAGGUCUGCAAUUUCAAUGCCGGGUGCAAAAAGAUACUAAAGAAAUAUGACAUAAAAUGAAGCCAAGAUGCAACCAAGACUUGGGAGUACACAAAUUUAAAAGAAGUCCGCUCACCGGAAAUAUAUAAUUAAAUAAACACAGUUUGUUAGUCUUAAUAACACCCUUAAUAGUUGUUAUGUGUGACCUACAAACAUUACUGAAAUAAUUACACAACCUAUAAUCAGAAAAUGAGAGAAGUUCAAUUCAGAGGUAGGAAAUUUGAUCGUGGUUCUUCCUUUAUUUCAAGCUAAAUAGCGAUUGCCCUUGUGACACUGGUGCUGUUUAGUUUUCAUAGCUGGGCUCCUCUUCAUUUCAAGUGCAUAUAUCUUGAAAUAUACCAACUUGUCAUCUUAAAUGUUACAGAUACUAGGUAAAGCUCUUGGAAUACCUGAAAACAGUGUCAGGACAUAUACAGAAGCUGAGAUUCGAGCUGGGUAUGUUAAUGCAUUGUCCUUCAUAUUUCUCUUUUGGAUACAUUAUCCUUUGCAAUUUAGUCAGAGAAAAUUUCAGGAAACAUAGUCAAAAGCUUCUUCACCACUAUCUGUGAUUUUUGUUCAUGUUUAUUCCUGGACUACAGAUUUCUUACCAGACAUAAGAAGUAUAUUAUGAAUAUACAUAUUAUAUGACUUUUCUUGUACAUUUUCAGUGUGAUUUUCCAGGUUUCAAAACUAUGUACGGUUCUUCUAAAAGCUGUUAGAAGUACACUUGGUUCUCAAGGUUGGGAUGUUCUUGUUCCAGGAGCUGCUUCAGGAAAAUUGGUUCAGGUACCACUUCCAAGUUGCAUUUAGAAAUAUCGUGAAAAAUUUUAUUAUUAUAUUUACUGUGUUGUUCCGAGUACGAGAGAGAAACCUUUUAUAGAAAAACCUUAUUGCAUUUACAGAAGUGAUUCAUCCCUUGCGUAAAUAUCUUAAAAAGGAAUCUAUCCUUAUACUAAAACUACUGCAACAUGGAGCUUAAAUGAUAAUCCUGCAUAACUUCAUGUCAAAAAUAUUAUGGUGUUUUUUUUUAUACCAUCAGCAGUUUACCAUCAACAAUUUUUUUUACUGCAAAGACCACUUGCAACUUAUAGCAUAUUUGUGUUAAAGUAAUCGAACCGAAAGACAGACUCAUAUCUCUCCAGAUCCUUCAUUCCAUAGUCUUUCAUCACCCUUCUUGGGUAAAAGCCUCUGAAACUUCCCUCUUGGGAAGAUAAAGUUCAGGAAAGCAGUAAAGUACUAAUAGAAAGGAGACACCUGGUGUAAGACAAUAAAGAAAUCCAUGAGACCAAGUAAUUGCAUACCAUCAAUUAUCAAACAGAAGUCUACAAGUUAGGAAAGAUAAGAAUCUGUAGCCCUCUACACAAGAAAAAAAAGAAGUAAUAACGAUACAGAUACUAACAAUGGUAGGGAUAUCCUCAUCCUUGACUAACAUGAGUUUGUGUUUCUUUGAGCUAGGUUGAAAGAAUUGUUCCUGGUUCACUGCCAUCAUCAGUGGAAGGACCUAUUAUCCUUGUAGUUAACAGAGCUGAUGGUGACGAAGAGGUAUGUACAUAUAUAUAUAUAUAUAUAUAUAUAUAUAUUUGUAUUUGAGAGUAUAUGGAAAUAUUAAACAUAUUAAUAUUUAUAAAUUCAUUACACUGGCAGGUAACAGCUGCUGGGAGGAACAUAGUGGGAGUUAUUCUUCAGCAAGAACUGCCUCACUUAUCUCAUCUUGGUGUUAGGGCACGGCAGGCACGUCUCUUUUUCUAAGUAUUCAAUCAAUGAUUUUGAAGUUUGAUUAUCUACAAUAUGACAUUCAUACUGCUAUUGUUUAUUACAGGAAAAAGUCGUCUUUGUCACAUGUGAAGAUGAAGAAAAAGUUGUUGAUAUACAAAGGCUUAUUGGGUCAUAUGUGAGGUUAUAUUGUCAGAUAAUUUUUGUUAUCCAUUAUUAAUUGUUUUUAAAACUGAGCCACGUUUUUUUAAAUAUUUUGACAUAAUUUUGUGAGCAGAUCUAAUGGUAUAAUGGUUUCCAUUUUCUCUUUUCCUGCUUCAAUUUAACUUUUCAGGUUGGAAGCAUCAACUGCCGGUGUUAAUCUGAAGUUAUCCUCUUCGAUGGACACUGAUGACAAUUCUUCCAUGAGAAGUUCUUCUGAUGACAAUGUCUCUGGAGUUGAAGUUCCUUCUUUUUCUUUUAGUAGAAUCUCCAAUUUUGAUCAGGUAGAGAAUGAUAAUUUAUUCACUUAAUUUUUUUGGCUUUGUUGAUAUUUUAGAGAUAAAUUCCAGGUUGGUGAAAGUGAUAAGGUUUUUUAGGAAAAAAUAGUUACUCUCUUCUGAAAAACUGGACAAUAUUUAUUUUUAUAAAAAAACUAUCUUUUAAAGCAGUUUAAGGAACUGCUUUUUUAUAACGAGACAAAAUAAAUUGUUUCAAAAUGUUAAUCUGAAAACAGUUUUAAUAUGGAGAAAGUAGUCCUUGAAUCUAACAGCUAAUGAUCUGUUACCAACCUACGUAUCUUGUUGUAAGUAGCACUUACAACUUAUCCUGCAAUAGCUGCACUUCCUUUUUCCUCCAUCUAAACUGUCCCCUCAAUCCCUUGAUUACUAGUCAGACUACCGUAGAUCUUUGCCUGUCUUUGCCCUGUCUCAGAACUCGCAAGCAUCACCUCACUCUUGGUUUAUAUUACGACAUGUCUAAUCAAUCUAACUCUUAUUAUUCACAGAAAAGCCUAGCAUUUAUUCAAUUACCAUUCCCUUAAAUAAAUCUUCAUAAAAGUUACCUCUGAUGAAUAAUUAUUCUUUUCAUAUCAAGGGUGCUUCUUCUGCCGGAGUUAUCUUGCUUCCUGAUGCAGAGAUACAGACAUCAGGUGCUAAGGCUGCUGCAUGUGGUCUCUUAUCAUCGGUGUCGGAAGUUUCUGAUAAAGGUGAGAUUUUUUAACUGAAAAUGGUAGUGCUAUUAGAUCACAAUGUUGCUUGUCAUUCCAACUAUGUUGGCACCACAAACAAUUAUAAAAGAAAAAGGUAAGAUUCAAUAAAAGCUAUGAGUUGCAUAACUACGUCUCUUCAAUUCAAGUAGUGCCAUAUUUUAUCUUUCUGAUGAUCUAUUUCGUAUGGAAUGAUACAAUUUCCUGUUUAAGACACCCUCUCUGGUUUCCUAACAGUAUAUUGGAGCUCAAGAUUUUGUUUUUAAACUAGCCAGCUCCAGACCAUUAGAGAACUGUACUGAAACAAUGUAAUUGAUGUUAUGUUUUUUUCCCUUUUAUUCUGGAAAGAUGUUUUCUAGUCUGACUCUUUUCCUCUAAAUGAAUUCUUAUACUUCAUAAAAAAAGGUUAAUAUUUUUAUCCAGUAAUUGGGGGUGGAGAAAUAUGCAUACGGAUGUGCAUGACUUAGCAUAAAGAUGUGCAUUGUGUUGAGUAUCAAUUCUCUAGUACCUGUCAAAGAGCCACUGACCUAAAACCGUAGAUGCAACAUAUUGGCCGGCAAAGAAUAUAUUUUUCGAUUCUAACAUGUUCAAGUCCUUCAUAAAAAAAUGUAUUUAAUUAUAAAAAAAUGGACAUUUCCAGUUUGAAGGGAUUAAAUUUAUGUGGUUUUGAAGGAUGUCCCACCCUCACCUUCUCGCUCCUUAAUACUUUUAGCAAAUCAUAUUUCUGAAGUCUGAUUUUUUAAUGACAGUUCACAGUGAUCAGGGAGUGCCUGCUUUGUUUCGAGUUCCUUCUGGGGCAGUUUUACCAUUUGGAUCGAUGGAAUUGGAACUAGAGAGGAGUAACUCCACCGAAACAUUCAGGUCUAUCCUGGAAAAGAUAGAAACAGCAAAACUCGAGGGUGGUGAACAGAAAGUUGUUACAAUCAACUCCAGGAAUUAAUUUCUUCCCUCAAGCUACCGAAAGACAUCAUUGAAAGCAUUGGGAAAAUAUUCCCAAGCAAUGCACAUUUAAUUGUUCGAUCCAGUGCCAACGUUGAGGACUUAGCCGGAAUGUCAGCAGCUGGACUUUAUGAAUCAAUACCCAAUGUUAGUCCUUCCAAUCCAACAGUUUUUGCAAAUGCCGUUAGCAAAGUAUGGGCUUCACUGUACACUCGCAGAGCAGUGUUGAGCCGGCGUGCUGCUGGUGUUCCUCAGAUGGAAGCUUCAAUGGCAGUUCUGAUCCAAGAAAUGCUUUCACCGGAUCUCUCAUUUGUACUGCAUACUGUGAGCCCAACAAAGCAGGAUAAUAAUUGUGUGGAGGCUGAGAUUGCUUCAGGUCUUGGUGAAACUCUGGCUUCUGGAACCCGGGGUACACCAUGGCGUUUAUCAUCAGGUAAAUUUGACGGGCAGGUGCAAACUCUAGCUUUUGCUAACUUGAGUGAGGAAUUGCUGGUACGAGGUGCAGGGCCUGCAGAUGGCGAGGUUAUCCGUUUGAUCGUUGAUUACAGCAAGAAACCACUGACAGUUGACUCCACUUUCCGUAGACAACUUGGUCAACGUCUUUGUGCAGUUGGGUUUUUCCUGGAGAGAAAGUUCGGUUGCCCACAGGAUGUGGAAGGAUGUCUUGUUGGAAAAGACAUCUUUAUCGUGCAGACAAGGCCCCAACCCCUGUAGUCCAAAUCUCCUGCUUCGUUGUGCUCUGCUGCUGGGAAUCUCUUCCACUGCACAUUCAAUACAAAACAAUACAAUGUAGAAAGCACAUACAUACUUGUCUAUGAUGGCUGGCAUGUAUGUACUCCAUGGAAAUGGUUGGAUAUGAAGUCACCCCUACCAUUGUUUCUGCUGUAAAAUAUGUAGAUUUAUAUCUUCAAAGACGUUUUGUGACAUCAUACUACCUAAAAACUUAGCUCCCCACAAAAAAUGUUACCUUCAUACGUUGUACUCAUUCCAAUCUAUGCAAUAAUGUCUCGUAUUCAUAUUUAAGAAAUAAAAUAAAGAUGUAGUUGCGUGAAAAUCUUUGUCGUGCCCUUGUAUUCAUGUUUUUUUAAAGUUUUGAGUCAUUCUUAAGUAUUAAUAAGAAGAGGUUUAAGAUAUUUUACUAAACAAAAACAGUUACAAAUAACAUUAAAUAAUUGAAUAGGAUGAGAGACACGCUGCAAUCACCAUAGAGUAGAUACAUAUAAUUAUAAAUAAUUAAGUAAGAUGAUAUUAAACAUAAUUAGUUAAAUAAAAUGAUAUUAGAGACACUCCAUUUAAUAAGAAUAAUUAUAAAAUACACAAAUAAAAAGUGAAUAUAGAAAAAUGAUAGACGAUUACUUUCUUUUUACUUAAUUAUUUAGAUAAUAAAAAGAAAUUUUGAUACAAGAAUUCAGAAAACAUUAUCUUGCUCAGACAUAUAGCUUAGAUCUUUUAAUAUUUUUGUCUUUGAAUGUUACUUGGGAUUCACAGUUUUGACAUUCAUGACAAUAAAUAAAAGUAUUUAUCUAUGUGAAUUACUCUUUAUAUUUGACUGUAUAUCUUUGCUGAUUUAUGAUUUGUUAUUAUUAUGAAUUUUAAUAUUUAUAUAUUAUAAUUAAGAUUGGCAAUAAAUAAUACUGAAAAGGCAAAACAGUAAGAAGAAUUAUCGGAGGAAGGUACAACUAACUAACAAACUACGUAACAAACAAUUGUAGUUUUACCGUUAGAUUAUCUUGUUUGUCAUAAUUGAAUUAUUGUUAUAAUGGUAAGAGAGAGAGAGUGAGAGUGGUAGAAAUCAAAGAUGAUGACGAUUCACGCUGCAAUCACUUCUUUCUGUUUGUCCGAUUAGGUUGUUUGUGUCGUGUCGGAAAAUCUGUGGGAAUGGGAUCGUGCCUCUCGUUGACGGAGGCGUCAUCGUUGCCUUCCAUGGAUGCAUGUGAUGAACCGUUAUGCAGUCCCAUCACAUUCUCCGAUUACAGAAUCGAAAUGCGGGUCCACAGAGUUCCUGGGAGAUUGUUCUUGAACGGUUCAUCGCAGGUUGCUUCCUUGUUCUGCAAGCAAGGCAACGGAACGAUCAACCAGGAUGCAAUGCUUCUUUGGGACAACUUCUGUUCCAAGGACGACGCCGUUUUCUGCGGCGUUUUUGAUGGCCACGGACCUCAUGGCCAUCUGGUUGCCAAGAAACUCAGAGACUCGUUUCCUUUGAAGCUCAUUGCUCAGUGGAAUUCCAUAAACCCUAACACCACCUACAGCUAUCGGAAUUUCUUCAACACAUCCUUCGAUGACUUCCAACACGAUAGCGUUGCUCCGACUAAUAUUGCAACGUUGAGACAAUCUUUUGUGAGGGCUUGCAAGACGAUGGACUCAGAACUCAGAGACCAGAAUCAGAUCGAUUGCUCUUCCAGUGGCUCCACUGCUGUUAUUCUGCUGAAGCAGGUGAGUAUCACAUCGCAUCAUCUUCUUCAGUUCUUCACUUCUCAUUCAUUCAUUCAUUCAUUCAUCGAUUCUUCAAGGGUCACGACCUUGUUAUUGCCAAUGUCGGUGACUCCCGAGCUGUAUUGGCUACCCAAGACCGUAAUGGUUCCCUUACUGCCGUUCAAUUGACCACUGACCUUAAGCCUGAUCUUCCAAGUACGUCUCUGUCUCUCCAUUGUCGUUCUUUCUUUGCAUCCAAUCAAUGCACUCUUACUCUGUUUUUAUUCUCUUUCCUCUAUCAGGGGAAGCAGAGAGGAUAAGGAUUUGUAAGGGAAGAGUUUUUGCCCUUAAAAGUGAACCAUGGAUUUCUAGAGUAUGGCUGCCCAAUGUUAACUCCCCUGGGCUUGCCAUGUCAAGGGCUUUUGGAGAUUUUUGUCUCAAGGACUUCGGAAUCAUCUCUGUUCCUGAUUUCUCCUAUCACCGCCUUACUCACAGGGAUCAAUUUGUUGUGUUAGCCACAGAUGGGGUAACGAACUCUUAACUCCCUUUUUUCAUUUAUCAUACCAUCCUCAUACUUGUGUUAUCAUGUACAUACAUUCAACUCUCUUUAGGUAUGGGAUGUUUUAUCAAACCAAGAAGUAGUGUCCAUUGUGGCAUCUACUCCACGCUCUUCCGCGGCUCGAAUACUGGUUGACGCAGCUGUUCAGGCAUGGAAAGCCAAGCUUCCUUCUUCUAAGGUUGAUGAUUGCUCUGUGGUAUGCCUCUUCCUUAAUUCCAAGUCGGACUUAAAACCAUCAACUACCAACACAGACCCAUCAAAUGACGUUGAGCAGUCAUCACCAACACUACUCAGAGUGGAGCCUGAAGAAAAGUGCCAAUAGUAUAUAUCUUUUCUGUCAACCAUCACUCACUUCAUUUAGAAGAGAAACUAUUAGGCUGCAUCCUUAAUUUCAGAAAUACACUCACAUCCUGAGGCUUAACUAAAUUUCAUUUGUGUCUCCCCCCAAAUAAAUCUCCCUCAAUUUAUAUAACAAAAUAAAGUUGCACAUACUACCCAUUAACACAUCUCACUUGAUUUUCUUUAUGCAGUUACGAGUAUAGAUAGAGAGAUAUAGUGAUGUAAAUAGAUACGGAAUAUGAAGUAUAAUUUUAUUAAACCUCAGGGGUGUGUCUGUAUAUUACAUAAUUUAUCUUAUAUUUUUACAUAUACAGGGUAAAGGGAUACUAUCGUUUUUUUUCUUUAGCUCGAGGCCUUUUUCCUAUCUGUAUAUCCCGUAGAUGUGAACUUCUGUAUAUCCAAGUCCCUAGAUUAUAUUAAGCAGUUUAUCCAGUGGGUUGCUUGAAACAAGAGAAAUGAAAAGAAUAAGAAUCUUGUUUUCUAUUUCUGUUAAUUAUAUUUUAAUUUACACACUCCAAAUAGCCACACCUUCCAAAGCCAAGUUUUUUUGAAAUAAAGAAAGAGUUAAACUGGAAAGUUUAAGCCAUUAUUACAACUUCCACCUAAACUGUUUACAUAAUAUUAGAAUAUAAUGCAAACACUCAAUGCAUGAAGAUAGAUGUUUAUUAGACCUCGAGGUUAGCUAAAGAAUUAUAUAAAUUAUCUAAUACUUUAAAAGGGAAAAAAUAAGUUUCAUGUUGAUUUCAAAUGACUGUAAAAUAUAAUGAUGCAGUGAAGUCAAGCUGCCUAGAGUCUGUCGGCCACUACAUAAGGAUGUAGUAUCAUUGAACUGUGUAGAACUUGUUUGAUGUUGAUAUAGAACUUUUCCAACCAAAUGCUACUUGAAGAUUGUAUAACAAGACCUUUCUAUUGGUAUCGCAUUAACUUCUGAACACAUGAAUAGAUUUCUCAAUGGGCUUGAACUUGUGGGAGAUGCUGGCUGGCUGGCUGGCUGCAAAUGUGCAGUCAAAAAAUGUUAACUUGUGGAAUGAUCCACUUGGAGCCGUUAUUAUUGGAAUCCACCAGCUGAAGUUAUCUGGUUGGAAGCUAGAAGAGUGUGGUGCUUUUGGAAAUGAGCUCAUUGCCUGAAUUAAAAGAGGCUUUUCUGAAAGGAAAGGUAACUCUCUUAGGUCCUUUCUCCAUUCUCCAAUUGUUGUUUUUUAAAAUUAUUGUAGACGGUGUUGACUAAUUUUCAUUUUAAAUGUACUCCCUUUUGUUCCAGGAAAUGAAGAUUGCAGACAAUUUGGACAAUGAGACUGAAAGCUACUCUGAUGAAUAUACUGAAGAACUACUUUAAGAUAGAUAUUCCCUCAGAAAGUCCAGGUUAGAAAGUAUUGAUGAUUUGAAAGGCCUGCAAUUUAAAUGCCUAGUGCAAAAAGAUACUUAAGAAAUAUGACAAAAAAUGAAGCCAAGAUGCAACCAAGCCUAGGGAGGACAAAAAUUUUAAAAACUCUGUACACUGGAAAUAUAUAACUAAAUAAACAGACAGUCUGAUAGCCUUGAUAACAUCCUUAAUAGUUGCAAGGAUUUUUGAAAUAUGAGGGAAAUUCAAUUCAGAUGUAGCAAAUUUGAUAGUAGUUUUUCCUUUAUUUCAAAGUAAUGUAUGCCGUGUUUUACCGGUACUGUUUAGUUUUCACAUCUGGGCUCCUCUUCAUUUUAAAUGCAUAUAUUUUGAAAUAUACAAACUUGUCAUUUUAAGUUGCAGAUACUAGGUAAAACUCUUGGAAAACCUGAAACCAGUGUCAGGACAUAUAAAGAAGCUGAGAUUCGAGCUGGGUGUGAUAAUGCAUUGUCCUUCAUAUUUCUCUUUUGGGUACAUGAUCCUUUGCAAUUUAGUCAGAAAAUUUUCAGGAAAUAUUCAUCAGUAUCUGUGAUUUUUGUUCAUGUUUAUUCCUAGACUACAGAUUUCCUUACCAAACAUAACAAGUAUAUUAUGAAUAUACAUAUUAUCUGACUUUUCUACGUAUGUUUUUAGUGUCAUUUUACAGGUUUCAAAAACGUGUACGAUUCUUCUAAAAGCUGUUAGAAAUACUCCUGGUUCUCAAGGUUGGGAUGUCCUUGUUCCGGGAUCUGCUUUAGGAAAAUUGGUUCAGGCACCAAUACCGAGUUGCAUUUAGAAAUAUCAUGGAGAAUGUUAUUAUCAUAUUUACUGUGUGCUUCUGUGUAUGAGAGAGAAACCUUAUAUAGAAAAACCCUUAUUGCAUUUAGAGAAGUGAUUCAUCCCUUGCUUAGAUAUCUAAAAUGGGAAUGUAUCCUUGUACUAAAACUACGGCAAGAUGAGUCUUGAAUGAUAAUCCUGCAUAAAUCACGUCACGAAUAUGAUGGGUUUGUUUUUCACAUCAGUACUUUACCACCAAGAUUUUUUUUACUGCAAAUACCCACUUCAACUUGCAACAUAUAUCCUUUACUAACAUGAGUUUGGGUUUCUUUGAGCUAGGCUGAAAGAACUGUUCCUGGUUCACUACAAUAGUGGAAGGACCUAUAUUUGUUAACAAAGCUGAUGGUGACGAAGAGGUAUGUACUUAUAUAUUUGUAUUUGAGAGCAUAUCAUAUUAAUAUUUAUUAGUUCAUUACACUGGCAGGUAACAGCUGCUGGGAGGAACAUAGUGGGAUUUAUACUUGAGCAAGAACUGCUUCACUUAUCUCAUCUUGGUGUUAGGGCACGACAGGCAUGUAUUCUUUCUAAGUAUCCAAUCAAUGAUUUUUGAAGUUUGAUUAUCUACAAUAUGACAUUCAUACUGCUAUUGUUUAUCAAAGGAAAAAGUCGUCUUUAUGACAUGUGAAGAUGUAGAAAAAGUUGCUGAUUGUGUCAUAUGUGAGGGUUAUAUUGUAAGACAUUUUGACUUGAUCUUGUGGUAUAAUGGUUUCGAUUUUUUCCUGCUUCAAUUUAACUUUUCAGGUUGGAAUCUGAAGUUAUCCUCUUCGGUGAACACUUUCUGAUGAUGUGGAGUUGAACCUUGAUUACGAUACACUAUCAGGUACGCUCAUCCCUUAUCUUCAAAAUAUAUAAAAAAAAUAUGAUAUAUGUAAAGUACACUUCUUGGGUGUUACUAAAAUUAAAAUGAAAAUUAUGAAAUAUUAUCCUUAUUGAUCACUUGCUAAUAUUUAAAAAUAAAAGUAACAUGUUUUUUAAAUCAUUCAUAAAGGUGAAUAUUUCUAUAUCUUGUAUAUAUUUUAUUUUUUUUACAUUGUUCAAAGGUCUUGAUAUUUUACGGGUGUCAUCGAAAAAUUUGCAAGGUUUGAUGCUGGAUAGGCUAUAUAGAAUUUAAUUAACUUUAAAUAAAGUCUCGUAUUCUAAUUUAAUAAAUAAAAAAGUAAUUAAGUGAAAUUCUUUGUUCAACCUAUAUUUAUAUUUUUUAAAACUUCAAAAACUUUAGUCAAUAUUAGAUAUGGUAAUUUGUCUUUUCUAUUUAUUCGUUGCAUGAAAUAAUUAAAAACAUAAGUUGAAUAAAACUUGCAAGAAAUUAGACAGUGCGGAAAAAAUAAUUUAAAACAAUAACUACAUAAUUUAAAUAAAAAAAACACUCAUUAUUAUGGAUUAUAGAUAUUUUUUUAUAUUAACCAAAUAUUUCCAUAAAAUGAUAUCUUCCUAAUUGGACAAAUAUUCGUUCGAUCUGAUCUCUUUCAUCAAACCAAUGAAAACAUUUAAUUUUUUAAUGCAAAUUAACUAAGUUAUUAAUUACACUUAACUAAAUUUUCCUCUUUUUAUAUUAAUUACUUUUAAGAGUGUAAAAUGACAAAUAAAGGGAGUUAGUAAUGGAUGGUUUUAGGUGAAUGACAAAAAAGAACUUUUAAUUGUAAUUUAUUAUUCGGAUAUUCCUUUUUUGAAUUGAUACUUCUCUUUUUAAGACAUAGUAGGUUUUAAUAGAAAAUACCUUUUAACAACAUUGCACUGUUCCCCCUUUUCAUGUUUUAGAGGUCUUUGCAACCUCUUCAGAAGCAAAAUGAGUGUAAAAGUGUUAUAUUAUAGUUAUCGACGUUGCAAAAGCACUUUGGCGUCGUGCUUAUUUUCCCAUGUCGCUUAAUAUUCGGCUAAUUAAAGCCUCCUUCUUUCCGGUAAGAGGAAGAUUAUGUGCGGUAAGAUAAUAUUUCAACUCCACCACAGUCAAAUCCUUUAACUGCAAAACAAUAUCAAAUUAUUCCGUCAGAAUAGAUUAAUUUGUAAAACUUUUAAAAGUUUCUAGAAAUUUAGAGAAAAGGUCACUUUUCAUGAAAUGAAAUAGAAUAUUUUUGUCAAAUGACUAGAAAAAUCUUCCUAUUCAUUUUAACAUAUUUUUUAUUUUAAAUUGAUUAUCAAUAGAAUAUUUUUUAUUUCCUUGCAGUCUAACAUAACAUGGAUUCCAUUUAAUUGUUGAGUCAAGUCAGUACGGCAGUUGUUGAGCAUAGUCCACCGUCGCGGAGUCCACCGCUGUCGAGUCCACCGCUGUGGAGUGCACCGCUGUCGAGUUGUCGAGUCCACCGUUGUGGAGUCCACCGUUGUGGAGUCCGCCGUUGUGGAGUCCGCUGCUGUCGAGUCCGCAGUUGUCGAGCCCACCGUCGUGGAGUCCACUGUUGUCGAGUCCACUGUUGUCGAGCCCACCGUCGUGGAGUCCACAGUCAUUGCCGACUUGGGCCAAUGUCUAGUCAUGUUAGCCCGGGCUCAUGUCGACUCUUGAGUCGGUCUCGACUGUUUUUGAAACUAGUCAGCCCAUCUCAACCUGAGUUGGGCGAAUGUUGAGCCAAGUUGACUCAGGCUCAUGCCUUAGGUCGAGCCUAGUUCGCCCGAGUCGACUCGAGUCCAUGGGUGGAGUCGGUCCGGGUCCAUGCCUACCUAUGUCAGGUUAGAUAAUCCACUUUAUAUCUAGAUUUAAUCCACUUUAAAUAGGAUAUGUACCUAGACUUAAUCCACUUUAAAUGGAUUUGAAAAAAUCCAUAAAUUUGAUUAGUUAAAAUGGAUAUGAACCUAGAUUUAAUCCACUUUAAAUGGAUUUGAAAAAAUCCAUAAAUUUGAUUAGUUAAAAUGGAUAUGUACCUAGAUUUAAUCCAGAUUUAAUCCACUUUAAAUGGAUUUGAAAAAAUACAUAAAUUUGAUUAGUUAAAAUGGAUAUGGAUUUGAAAUCAUUUUUAAAAUCCAAUCCAUGACCACUCGUAACUGUAUGGCUUGUCCAGUACAGUUUGCAGUAUGUUCGUUGUAAAAUUGGCUGAAGCUUAAGCACACCUGCCUAUCCCACAAAUAAGCAGUGCAUGAAAUAACUUCCAAGAAUUACCUUUCCAGUAUCAGCAAGCUCACCCCAGUCAUAUUGUUCACACUCUUUUGUUGCAAACUCUGCAUUUGCUUUUCGUUUCUUUGAGGCUUCAGUUGGCUUCCCAAUGCCCUGCUCAUUCUCCUCAUCAUAGUUAUCCCCAUAUACAGAGGUUUUGAAUUCUUCUAAUGCCUUCACCACUCCUGGUCUGCAGGUAACAAGCAGGAUUAUCAUUUCAUACUAAACUCUUAAACAGCAAAUAUUUUCCAAUGAAGAGAUCAAAGGUCAAACAGAACAAAGCAUUUUCUCAGUUUCAUUUUUACAGUCUGCAAAAUUAAGACUCAACAAAAUACUCAAUUAAUUAUGAAAUAACUCGAGCUUACCUGGCCAAGCCUUCCUCGUCAGGUAAUGUUUCAUCUUUCAUUUCCGGAAUAUCAUACUCUUCCAAUGCCAAUGCCUGAAGUACAGCAUAGUGUCUUUGCAAGGCUGAUAAUGAAAAAGCUUAUUUGUUACCAACAGUAAUCAUAAUAUCUUUUCAUUUUGCAAAUGGGAAUAAUAAAUAGAAGUAGAACAAGUCACACAUAGCAAGUAACUAAUGAUCAUACACUAUAAAGGAAUAAAAUCAAAAAUAAGUAAACAGGCAUGAAGUUAAUAUAUUUUUUUCUACAGUUUAUUCAUUUCAUUGAGUAAAAAUUCAACAAAAGGUCAAAUUCUUGGGAAAAGUUAAAGGAAUGGAAUGUAUAAAUGCAAUGCUUUUCAACAAAAAAAUAAACUAUCAGAGUUGAAGUUAUGAAAAUAUUGGGGUAGAUGAGAUGGGUUAAAAAGGAUGAGAGUCAGAGGCAUAUUAAGAAAAAUACGAGAGAAUCUAGCCUAAAUGAUUUGGUCAUGCAGGGAGAAAUCAACAGCAGCCCAAGUAAGAAAAGCGGAUGAACAAAAAGAUUAACAAAAACGACAUUUUAUGUUUCAUUGAACAAGCUCUUGAUCUUUCCAAAAAAUUGGUUUUUAAGAUAUAGCACAGUGGCUUCAUUCGAUCAAGGUGGUAAACAACCACCGAGUGAAAAAGCUUUGGAUGCAAUUUAUCAGGUUCAGAAAUAAACUCUUCAAUAUAUACAUCAUUUAUGUUUAAACAACAAACAAGAUCAGUAGAAUAUUUCUCCAAACAAUGAACAUUAUAUUUGGAGAAAUCUUGAGUAGAACACUGUCUUUAUUUAUUUUCAACCACCCUUCGUAUAGAAAUCACCCAUAUCUUGAAGUAAACUGUCCAUAAUUCAGGCGAGGUAAGAGUUUGUAUUUAAGGUUUAAGUAAUGAUGAUGACACAAUGCAGCAGAUAACCAAUGAAGCUAACUAGAAGUAUAUACAGAACUUGUCAAUCAUCAAGGAGAGGGAGUAAACUAGAGGAAGAGAGAAGAUGCUUACCAGGGUUGGUAAAUUGGCAUACAGAAAAAUCUUUCAAGUCAACACGCUUAAUUAAAUCAGCUGCCUUUUUUAUUUGAUCACUACUUGCUUUAGUCACCAUCCCACUUGUAUCUGAAUAACGCUGUAAAAAUCAUACCCAGCAAGACAAUAACUUCAUAUUUAAAAUUUUCACCGUUAUUGACAUUAUAAGUUUGAAGACGAAAUAUUGCAGUUUUCUACCUCUUCAACAAGUCUAAUGUCAUCAGAAUAUGGAAGAUAAAUCAUGUGCAUUCCGGGUGGCUCAAUCUGACUACCUGAUUGAACAACUUCUUCCUAACAAUCAUACACAAGUUAAGAAUCUGAUACAAACACAUAAAAUCAAUAGUUGAGAUUAUGAUUACAUUGUACUGAUUGCAAUCAUGUUAUUGAGAUCUUUCUAGAUAUAGGUUAAAUAUGUGUUAAUUCAGGAGUUUGGAAUGAUUCAAAGUGAAGCACACCACUUUUUGUUCUAUAUAUGUUUUUCCAAUCUAUGCAUUUACUCAUUUGUUUAUGCUGAUAAUAUAAUGAUUGCAAGUGAUGAUCUUGAUGGUAUUGAAUGCCUCAAACAACAAAGAUUUUCUUCAAAUAUUUAGGAGAGCGGCAUGCUGGAUAAUGAGCCAAAUGAUUCUCAUGUACCCAAAUGGAGGCUUCUACCUAACCAGGAUGUCCUAUUCUGAUCCUAGGGAUGCUACAGGUUGGUUGGCAAAGUUAAUUAAUUGACAUAUCAAAGCCAGACAUGGGGCAGAUUGUUCAACUGACAAGCAAUCUAUUCCUGACAACUAUGGUUUUAAAAAGUAAUCUCAUUCCAUGGAGGAGUAUACAGCAAAAUGUUUGAGAGGUCCAAUGCAAAGGCAAACUACUACCUGACCAUAGCCCUCACCACAUGUGAACUCGUAAGUCGUGAGUGAAACAACUUCUCCAAGUGUUACAAUUUUGCAUAGAAGGUAUUGGAAAGUUAUCUUAAUUGCAAUCAACGGCCCGCCUCAUCUGUGGCCUCUCUAGGGUUGUCUUAAUUGCAACCUCAAGGAUGGUAAUUUAGUCCCAACUAGAAAUACGGCUUAAAUAUAGCUUAUAAAACUUGGGUGAACCUUACCAACUCAUUUUAUAAGGUUAAGUUAGGUCUUCUAAGAUGGUAUUAGAGUCCUUCCAAGAUUAUUAUUAGAUUACAUGUAUUUGCCACGCUACAGGCCUGUAGCUGUAGCAUGGCCAUGAGGGGGAAUGUUAGAAAAUCACCUUUAUGGCAAUCAGCACUAGCCCAACUCAGGUGGAACCUCUUUGGGGACUGUGUUAAUUGUCAGCUGUUAAAGGUGGUGAUUUAGUCUCAAAUUGAUUAGAUAUGACACAAAUAAAACUUAUAAAGAUUGGACAGUUCUCUUACAAACUGGUUUUGUGAGAUUGGGUUAGGUUUUCUAAGUCUAUGCCUUAUAAACCUUAUUUGUGACAACUGAGCAGCCUUGUACAUUGUCUUUCAUCAAGCUUUUCAUGAACAAACAACAAAUUGAGAUUUACUAUAAUUUUAUUCAUAAUAAAAUUAUCUUAGAGGAGAUCGCUACAUCAUUUGCUGGUAAGCAACCAGGACCAGCAUACCAAAUUUUAAAUUAUAGCACUUGGACUUCUAUUAACCAUAUUAUCUCAAAGACAUUCCGAUGUGGCUAUAGUAGGAAUUAGUCAAUAACUUGAGAUGUAGAGAAGAAAGCUUGAGCAUAAGUAAAAAGAUCAAAGUCCAGGAAAUAUAAGUAAACAAAAGAAUGCAAGACAAUUACAACAGCAAAGUAGCGCUCUAAAAUUAUUCAGAAGUUGAGAGGCAAAGCCAUCAAACUACCACGUCACAUUAGCUUUGAAGUCAAGAAAGCAAUCAUUCGUAAUAAUGCCAAAUUUAUAGCAUUCAACGAAUUGUACCUGUGCAAUGAGAGCAACCAAUUGAGGGCGAGAACAACUGCCACUAAAAGCAACAGCAAAACUGACAGAAACAUCAGAAAAUUACUUUGAUUGGUAAUUAUUAGCACAUACAAGUCAUUUAACAUCAGUCAUAUUGCAACCACAAAAACUACCACAUCAAUUGUGUAAUAGCAAUGUAGUAAUAUUACAAGAGGAUGCUUUAUUAAUCUAUAAUAAUUGUCACUUGUUUUUGUAUAUACAGACACUACCUAACUUGAUUUCAAUUGCAGCUUUCACAAAUCCCUCUCUUUCCCUUUUCCUACUAACUCCAUGAAACUGCCCCAUAAAUAGCAAAAAUUUCUAGGUGUAGAAUUAAUUGAUUCAACAUUUUACCAAUUCAAACUCUAAUUUGAUAAACAAAUAACUUUUUAGGAAAAAGAAAAUGCAGAUAUCCAAUUGCAAAGAAAUUUAUCAGAAUCAGACUACAUUAUUUAAGAUAUUAAAUUUUCAUAAUUGCUAAAAACAAAAAAUAAAAAGUUGAUGUAGACAUGAAUAAAGGAUGUGACAGUGCAAUUGAAAAAACCCUUAAAGACAAGGAAUCAAGGAUACCGGUUGAGUUGUAUCAUGGACCUAUGCAGGGCAAUGAAGAUGCACAUGCUGCUGUCUGUACCCUGCAAAGUAAAUGACAUCACAGAAGAAUACUAUGAAAUAGAAAAAGUGAGAAACAUACAAACUAGAGAAGCAAGCAUGUAAGAUACAUUUGGUGCAACUAUUAUACAGGUAGCAUUUCCGAAAACACCAACAGACCACUAGAUAUGAACACUAUUUGAUUUGUAAAUGGGACACUAUAAGCACCCAUUCCAUGAGGGCAAUUUAUCGGUAGAACAGUAAUCAGCACAAUUUGCAUCAAAACAAGAUUCCUGAUGACAAGAUGACGAAUGCACAUCAUUUAUGUACCAAUGAAAGAACAUCACAUUCUAUUGAAAUCACACAUCAAAUAAAGAUAUGACGAGUGUGAUCCUUAUAAAACAUGAGCAGUUAAGCCCAAUUUCUGAAAAGUGAGAACUAGCUUAAACCUUACAAGGACUACAUUGAUCAUAUCUCUAGCAGAUGUGAUCUAAACACACCCAUAAUUGAUAAUUUGUACUCUAGAACAAAGACAAAUACAGGCUUUGAGUCAAAAUCAACCUCACAAGCGUACUGCAAGGUGAGAACUGCCCAAACCCUAGGGAGUAAGGACUAUAUAUGAAAAAUACCCAAACCUUGUAUAAAAUAAGGAUUAUGUCAUAAUUUCCAUUUUUCUGCCUUUUUCAUUGAUCAUUACGAUGUAUAAAUAUUACAAAGAUAUUUACAGCCACCAAUAGCAAUAAUGGCACAAUUUUUCUAAUUCCUAUAAUUAGGUAAUCUAAUGAAUACAAGGAUUUCUAAUUUAAAAUAAACAUUAUAAUUAACAUUUAAUAGAAAACAUCAACCAUUGGAUCCUGAUUGACACUAUAGUGGUCAUAAAAGUUUGAUGUGGACCUCAACAUUGUCGAUGCACAAUUUCACCAAAAUGAAACAACGUUAAGAGUAUUUGAUAAGAAAUCAGCACCAAGCACAAAAGUUGCAACUAAAACCAAACAUUAUUCAUAACUAAAGAUGCCAUCAACAGUUCAUAUAUGACAAAAACCAGUUACCUCAUCACUCGGAUAAAGGAAAGUUGAUGGUUUCAAGUUGUAAUAAUCUCUCAAGCAACUCAGUGGCUUGAACCCUAAAAGAUGUAGAUGUCCGGUUGAAACUCUUUUAAUUUCAGAUAGUUGCCUCAUCAAAAAUGUAAUAUUCUGGCUGAAAAAAUCAAUAAUAUUAUAAUUAGAUUGAAAAGGAAACAACAGGGCCUCAAGAAAUAGAAUAAGGGCAUUUGAAGUAUUUAUACAGGCAUGCAUUUAAAAGUUUCAUGUCAUCUGUCCAACAAAUAUCCCACAGUUGGUUAUUCUUACAUACCUUCUGAAGCACUGAAUCCCAAAAAUUAAAAAGGCCAAGCACUGUGUCACUCAAAAAAGAUUGCAAUGAUACUAUUCACCCUAUAUUUUCAGAAACUAAACAAAACCAUCUCACAUCUUCCUUCAAUGACAGAUUUGUCCAAGAACAAAUAACUGGCUAUGAUCGAGAUCCCAUAAACUCCUCUUCUCAACAACGAUAGCAAUGUCUCAUAUGGUACAGUUAAUAUUAUUUGUCAAAUCAAAUCUAAAUAGAAAAGAUUGAAGUGAAGAAAAUUGUCCAAACAUUCAAAUUAAAUACAGAUAAAAGCAUAAAAUGCAUACCUUUUAUAAGGUAAAAACCGUGUAGUAGGUUCUUCCAGCACUGCACCAGUAUCAGCACAAAUGAAAAUUCUUUCAAUCUGCACCAUCAAACCAGUUUACAAUUGUCUUAUACAGUUCUAAGAGCACUCAGCAUUAUGGUCUGACUAAAAAAAUAUAACCAAUGGGAAUUCAAGAGCAUUGUGAUUCUACAGAUAAAAUCAUAUAACAAAAAAGAGCAUGACUGUACAACACUAACAACAGGAAAAAUGAAGCAGCAAUUUUUUUUGUAGUAGCUUGACUUUCAUAAAAACUAACAGGAAGUCAUAAAAAAAGUCCAAAAACAUUCUUUCUCCAAAGUAAUAAUUAUAUUCUACAAAUAAAUUUUAGAAAGUAGACUCAUCUUUUUUGGCUAUCUAUAUACGAUAGUUAUGGAUACAAGGAUCAUGUCCAGUUUCAGUAAGGGACAUUAUUUUAUUGUAAUGUAAAAACUACAAAAAGAACAAGAUUUCAACUUCUAAAAUUUAAAUUGUAUCAUUAUACCAUUCCAAGGAAAAUAUACUAUUUUCAAAUUUAGAUUAUAAAAUUAAUCACCUUCAAAGGACGAUUAGUAACAGAAUCAAGCCAUGUGAUAGCUCCUACACAUCAAAAGCAUGGGGUGUCAUUCAAUAUAAUAUAAGCUGAAUAUGUAUAAGCUAUAAUUUUCCAGGUUAAAAACUUAAAAGGAACCAAUGGAAAACUUCGCACAUGUCACAUGGACCAUAACAAAACACAAGAACAACGAAAAUGAAUUAUGCAAAAUAAUAGCUUCUAUAAGCUGAAAAUGUAUAUACUAUAAAUUUCCAAGUUAAAAACUUAAAAGGAAGGGACCAAUGCAAAAUUUUGCAGAGGUUACACAGCACAAAAUAAAACAAAAACACUGGGAUUAUGCAAAAUUAUAGCUUUUAAAAGCUAGAAAAGUGACGUUAAAUUCCUACCAGGUGCAGUGGGACGAAUUAAGGCAUAAGAAUUAAGUUCUAUGGAUAUCCCAUUAACUAUUGUGAAUUUAAGUCUUUUGACGAUGCGCUUCGUAAACAUGCGUUUUCUUAACUGAUCUUUCAUAUCCUCCAAUCUGAAAUUCAAACACAAAAAUUGAUAAAACUGAGACUUAAAUUGAAUUGUGCUUAAAUAAGCAUUGCUUGUAAUUUUAACCCAAUUUGUAACUAUUAGUUGCACAACAUCAUAAUCUAACUAAAUAUAAAUAAUAUCACAAAAACGUGAGAUGUUUUGUUAAGUAAUGAUUUCAAGCAAUACUACAUUUUCAUCCUUUAAAUAAUUGAGACAUGGAGCCACUUUCCACUGGGAUAUGUGAUUCACAUUAAUCAAUUUCACCUCUUUUAUGGGGUAAAUUUAAGUAAACUAUAGAAAGAUACCCCAAUACAUGCCAAUUGUAUAGACGUGUCCCUAAUGCAAGAUCAGCACCAUAUUGUCUAGUAAUAAACCACGCCUAUAGAAUAAAUGACAAAUCAUUUGCACCUGAAACUUCCUUAAUUUAAUGGUUUAGAUGACAGUUUUUUAACAUAAAGUCUAACUAUUUGAUUAUAUCCUCUAUGGGAUCUAGGGAUGGCAAAUAAACCUGCCCCGCAGGUAUUGUUCCAACCUGUCCCGAUUUUGACGAAGAAUCCCAGCAUUGACCGAGUAUAGGUAUGGGUAAAUACCCAAUUUCUUAAAUUGGGUAUGGGGACGAGGAUGGAUAUGGAUUAGGUAACCUAAAAAAUUUAUCUACACUUUUCUCUUUGAUCCUUAGUUUUGUUUCAAUUGGAUAAUCCUUCUUUCUCUCGCACAACUUUUCAUUCUCUCUCUCAAUUGUUCAACUUGUUCAAUAUCACUGUUCAAAAUUACUAAAAUAUAUUUAAUUUAUUAGGUAACAUAAAAAAUUUAUAUUAACUUUUCUUUGAUUUUUAGUUUCAUAAUUUAUUUAUAGGUUAUACAUUUGGUCAUUUUUACUCUUUUAUAUAAUUAUUUGACCUUUAUCCCAUUGUUAUUUGAUACUCUCAUUUGACAUUUCUACAAUUAUAAUUUCUUUUGUGAUAUUUGACAUUGAAGAAAAGAAAAUGCGUAUUCUUUUGAUCUUAAAAUACUUUAUAAUAUCAUAUUUUCUUUGUUGUGAAUUUUAUUUUUUAUAAAAAAAAUUAUUAACUUAUAUUUGGAAUAGUAAGAUACUCUUUUCCCGAUGGGGGAUGGGAUAGUCAAACCCGCACCAGCCCGGUCCGUGGCCAUCCGCAUACUUUUGACAACCUUGAUUACACAUUUUUCCCUUGCUAUGGUUUCCUUCAAAUGUGUAUUGCAUUUCAUCAAACAAACAUACAAGUAAAACUACAAUGUCCAAUUUCAAUAACACGAGAGAAAUAAAUCACAGAACAUCAUAAAUAGGAUGCCAUACUUGUUUCCUGCAGCUGGGAUAAAGUCAACUAAAUCAUCUCCUUGCAACCCAAUCAAAUCCUAAAAGGCAUACAAUUGACAAGUAAACAUGGAAAAAUUAUAAGGAUCAGUUUAGAGAAGAAAUUUAGGGGGGGAAGCAUAACAAAUAUAUGUCAUAGAUAUGUAGACAUACAGCAUAGAAUUGAGAUACAUUGAACACUUCAUCAGAGCAACUCAAUGGAAGAAGUUCAAUAGAAAUUCCAAGAUCCUGUGCAUCCUUAACAAAUAAAAAAAAAAGUAAUUAUGAAACCACUGGCAUUCUUCAAACCUUGUAGUUUUACCAUCUAUGCAAUAAACAAAAGCAUAUGUUAAUGGGUACUUUAGCUCUCUGCAGGGUCAUUCUUAUCAUAUCUGAUUUUGCAGCUCCUAUGAUACUCCCAAAAGGAUCAUCAUCAUUUGUGAACAAAAGUAUGCGUUUGUCAAUCGUCUUUGCUGACCUGGCAUUUGUUGCCCAUAAUCAGUAACCAAUAAUCACGUGAAAGACUGAAAGUAAUGUGUGUAUCCAUAACCAAUAUAUUACCCUUUACGAAGAAGUGCCUGAGCUGCCCAGAUAGCAUUGUACAGAGAAUUUUCUCGAGUAUCAGACACAAUGCCAUGCUGACUUCCAAUGUGUUUAGAAAAUGAUUCUAGAGAAGAUUGAAACAAACAAUAGCCUCAGAAUUAUCAAAUACAUAAUACACAAAACAAGACAGAUUCUGAAUCAGAAACUAAUCCUAUUAAAUGCAUAAUUAUUCACAUCAUACAAAAGCAUUACACUAAGUUUAUAAGGAUUGAAAAAGAUACAACCUAUACACUAAUAAUGUGAAUGUAUUAUGAGUUAUUAGCAGACAUAACAUAAUAAAUGUAAUCAUAGGUUUAAUUAAAUUCACUACUUUACUUUUUUGUUCAACUUCACAUCCUCUUUCUAAUUUUAUCUGCCAGUCAUCAGAGCCAAAACAACACCAUUAUAUUAUCCAAAAAAUACUUCAAACCCUAGUUAUAGCUUAAAAAAAAACUUCAAACAAGGAAAUUUGCACCAGGUAAACAAUACUUUGCCUGUACAAUAUCAUGCAGUAAACUUUAAUCAUCUCGUCAGUGCUUCAUAUGACAAAAAAAAACAACGAAAUUAACAAGAAUACAACACCAAGUUCAAUGUCAUCAUCUCUUAUGAAAAGGAGAUGACAACAAGAUAUUUUAGGAUAAAUAAGGUCCACCUAAACGGUUCUCUAUAUCCACCGCCACAACUGGAAAGCCCAAAAACUUACCCUCCAACUGGUCAAAUUCUUUUAUGAGCCUUGCAGUUGGCCUGUCUAGAAACUCUCUUUCAGGAACAGUAAAUACAAAAACACUGUUUAAGCCUUGUAAAUUCUGCUUCUCCCUCUGAAAUAACAAAUGGAUUAAAAACGAGAGAGUGCAAAACAAGAUACACCGAAUUAGAGUUUUGCCUUAGUAAAAUGCGCAGUGAAGGAUUUCAUUAUAGCCACCACAUUUCACUGAGGUAGCAAGGCGAAAAUUUAAUUCUAAUUAAAGUGCAUAACCGAUAAUUUUAGGGUUUAAGAUUUAUAAAGCUAAAAGUCAUAAACCUAGUCUUGUACUUUGUAAUUUCCACCACCACACACAUCAAGAAUAAAAGCAAGAAGCGGUGAGUAAAAACUUACAGUAUUGAAGAAGCAUAUGGCGACUUGAUCGUAGGAUCUGCUAAUGAUUUGAGUCUUUAGUGUUUGAGAUAUACAAGAGAUCGCAAUGUGGAAAUAGGUUUCAAGGUUCUGGUGAGAUCGCAAAAUGUGGCAUGGAUGGCGAGUUAGUGAGUGGCAAGAAAGUGAAGGAAAAUGAACAGUAAUCAAAGGAGAAGAAAAGAAAAGUUACCGAAGUGCAAACGGCGUUGAACAUUUUAGGCGAAGCAUCGACCAGGUAAACCACGUAUUCUUUGGUCGAUUCAUCUUCCUGAUGUAAGGGUUUUGACGUUUGAACAGAACAGAACAGAAAGAAAUGGAAAAAGAAAAAUUAGAGUGAGAGAAAGUAGUUUACAAGGAGCGAGCGAUGAGCCUCGGCGUAGUCUUCGUCGUCUCUGAAGAUAUCAUCAGCGUCCAAAUCCAUCGUGCUCUGACUCUUCCACUUCGCUUCGAAUCGAAACCCCUUUUAUCUCUCUCUCUAACUCGCGCCCAAAACGUUCUUUGACUCUGCUGCUUAAAAUUUAUACGAUGUUCCUUAUAUACGUGUGUGAAAACAUGUUUAGGCAAGUAAGUAUUGUUUUAAAUUAUUGUUGGUCGCAUUAUUAAAAUAGUUCAAUUUAAUUUUAUCAAUAUUUUAAUUGUUAGAACCUAUAUUCUAACUAAUUGUUUCCUUCUAUAAGAAAAUGUAAUUUAAUAAACCUGCUAUAUUAAUAAAUUUGAACAAAACAAUAUAUCUACAAUUUUUAAUUCUAAGUAAUGUUAAAUUAAUUGUUUUUAUUAGAUUAUAUAUUUUAAAUCUGUCAUAAGUACAUGACAUUAAAUAAUUUAUGAAUAAUUUUUCAAAACUUCCAAAAAUAUGAAUGAGUUGUUCUACGAAGAAUUUAGAAGAAUCUCUCGUAAAUUUAUUGUCUUAAGGCAUGUGAAUUUACUCAAUUAUUGUUAUAAUUUAAAUGCGAGAAUUAUCCUCUACACCAAUUUUUAUUUUUUUUAUAAAAGCUUUUAUGCACAACCAAUUUUUAUUUAGUCUCAUUUUAAGUUAUUGUUUCCUUUUAAGUUAUUGUUGUAAAACCAUAACACUUGUAGAUUAAUUCUUUAUUUUUCUUCAACAUAUAUGUAUAUAAAUAUAUGCUAAAAUUUUAAGAUACCCAAAUACUUUUAUUACUAGAACUGUUUGUUUCUGUAUUACAUUAGAACACACUUUCAACACAAGAUACAAUAAGUCAUAUAUUUAACCAUUUUUUAUAUAAUAAACAAAGUCACAAAUUAAAUAAUAAAAAUAUAACAUAUAUAUAUAUAUAUAUAUAUAUAUAUACACACACACACACAUACUACAGCCCAAUAUCAUAUUAAAAUAAAGUAGUUCGAUAAAAAAAAAAAUACUAUAGCCUAAGAUCAUAUUAAAAUAUAAUACGAUAAAAAAAUGUGCACACGUUUAUUUAAAACUCAAGAAAAUAAGGCGUUUAAGGGUUGACACUGUUAAUAAUAAAAGCAAACACAUAUUUGCGUAUUUAUACUCGUAAACAAAACUUGACCUCUAAUUUGGUUUCACAAAUUGUAAAUCUAAGGUUAACAUUCUCCCAGACAAACAUUCAUGGCUAUUUACAUUUAUAUAUUAAACAAUAAACUAUUAAACGGCCAUUUUGGUAAAACAUUUGUUCUAUAACAAGCUGGCAUAUGCGUUCCCGCGGCUUCCUAUUUUUAUAGAAGUAAUUUACAGUAAAGCUAUUCAAACAUGAAUUCAAUCAAACUUUACUUUUUUUAAACUAAAAAAAAGGACCCCAAGAUCAAGUAAGUUUGAAGGGUAAAAUUUUAAGUUGAAAACUUGUACACAAAAAAAUUAUAAAUAUUGAUAAAGAAUGGAUAUCACUGUUUUACAACGUGCAGCAAGCCACAGUACAAAAAGCUUUGCACAGCCCAAAACUGUUUUACUUUCGACUCAAAAUUUUAUAGGACCAAAAUCUAACUUAAAAAUACAAAGAAUUAUCAAGUAUUCCCCACCAAAAAUUACCAAUAGAGCCAAGCCAACCUGUCUAUGUGACAGGAGAGAAACGCCACAGAACUCCGAUACAUGAAGCCAUUACUGCGCUAACCCAACAAAGGACGAUGGUUCCCAUAUAUUGGAAACAGCAUAACCGUCAACUCAACAAAAUAUACUGUCUGUGACAGAAGAGAAACGCCACAGAACUCGCAUACAUCAAGCCAUUGCUGCGCUAACCCAAUUACAGACAAUGGUUCCGAUAUAUUGGAAACAGCAUAACCGUCAACUCAACAAAAUAGACUCGAAGGGGGCGGACAAUGAGGAGAAUGGCCACUCUCAUCCAUUGGAUAGUGCACCAAACUCCUGAAUCCACAUCCUCUGAAGUCAACGAGAACUUCAGAGCACCAAACUCACCCUAUCAAUAUCAAACCUGAAAACUCUUUAAAGUUCACAGGACCAACUAGGACCACUGAGCCAAUAAAUGCCUCAUAAAAAUACGUAACCAUCUGUUUCUCUUACCAAGAAUAUACACACCCGAGAGCUUAAGAAUCCGUGAUAGCUGAUGACUUCUCUAAUUUUUCCUUCUCAAUCUCCCCUCUUCUCAGCUCAGCAUGCUGUGUAACACCAUUUGCAAGAGCUUGAUAAGAGAACUCGAGUGUCUGGGUAAGGUUUUGAAAUCCCAAUGGAUCUGAUGAUUGCAUCACUACAGCAAAAUUUAUAUUUAUGUCAGACAACAAGGAGAGCAUUCAUGAAACUUAUAACAUGUUUUAAGGGGCAGUAUCAGCAUACCUUUCAUUGUAUCCACAAAGAAAACAAAAGGAUCUACGUCAUCAAUUGGAGAAUGCAACUCUUCAUCAUCACUAAAGUCAUCAUCUGAGUCGUCGUCAUCAUCCUCAUCAUUGGGCCGGAAUGUCUUUGUCUUCAGAGUGACAUUGUAGAAAGACAAUAAGAAUUAAAAAUUCAAAAAGGUAAAAUAAAAUAAACUUCUAUUUAUUGUCAAAAGCAAUUUACUGAACACUUCCAUGUAGUAAAUACUCUAUCGGCUAAAUAUCACUUUAUGCAAAAUGUGGUAUAGAUAGGGAAUCAAACACAAUCCCCCACCACCUAUGAGUUACGACCAGCUGCUAAAGAAUGAAGCUGACAGUGGUUAUAAAAUAUUGAAUCACUCAAAUGUAUUUAUCUAUUUCAAUAAUGAUCAAUGGCAAAUGCCAACAAAACAAAAAUUUAUAAAAUUAAUAUGCUAAAUGAUUAAAAAUUAAAAUAUCUUACUUUUAAUGCUCUCUAAUUUUCUCUACACGUGAAUCACAUCUAAAAUUAAAUUUCUCACCCUCUCAACAAUAAACUGCUCCCAAUUUUGUUUCAUAACUUGCAAAACAAAAAAUAAUAUAAAUAUUGUUCUAAAAUAAAUGAAGUUUCAGAAUCAAAUUGUGAAACACUAGAAUGGACAUGUAAAACCACAAAUUCACAAUUCCUUUAUUGAAUCAAUACAGGCAUACAAAGGUAUUUAGGUUUUCGUAUCCACAAACCUGUUCAGCCAACUUUCUAAAUUUACUACUGUCAGCUUCAUCCCCGUCCUCAGCAUCAAUUCCCAUUUCCCUGUCAGAACCAUUGCCAUCUUCAUCUUCAUCAUCAGUUUGAAAGUCAUCCAUAUCAUCAUCAUCUUCUUCAGCUUCAGCUUCUUCCUCUUUUGCAGCUUCUGCAAAGAAAUGCAAAUGCUGAGAAUUAGAUGAACAUAAAUCUCAGAAAAAAUUAAAAAAAAGUAUACUAAAGGAGAACAUGCAGUUGCAGUUCUCCAAUAUCACAGUUACAGAGAAAAGAUGACAUUAAGACCUGCAACUUGAUCCUUGUAUGCAACCAGAAGAUCAAGAGUGGCCCGCAACACCUGGCUAAGAGCAUCUCCAGGCAAUUGACCAGCCGGAAGUGCAAGUAAUGAUGUCAAACCAAGACAACAAACUUUCUUGUCAUGUACCCUGCAUAAUUAGAUCUAGAUAUUGUCACACAAAUUACUUUAUUACAAAAAACCAUAGAAGGGGGAUAAUGAAGAGGCGGGAAAAUACAGACCUCUUAAAAUUAGCACGCACACCAUUCUUUUUCACUCCUUGCAACAUAUUAAACCAAAGAUUGAAGAUGUCUGAUGCCCAACCUAACUUUUGCAGUAUACUGAGAGUGAGUGCUGCAUUGUAGUAAAGAGCAUCUGCAAUCUACAAAAAGGUACUCAGUAAGUUAGGAAAAAUCACGAAACAGAUCAACUGAAGUCAUUCUCAUAGAAAUAUAUCAAUAAAUUAAACAACAAUUUUCACAAAUUUUAACUUAAUAAAUCAUGCAAAGAAAUGCAAUCAAUGUUAAUGAGGAGAACAAGCUUCAAAAACUAUGCACAAAAUUAUACAUAUUCCAUUUUUUUAAUAAACCAAAUUAUUCAUGUAAGUUAAGAUUGAAAAAACAGUAUAAUUCUGCAUAGUUUCAAUUUUCGAAUGUCAUUCAUUUUGGAUCAUUUUUUAUCUUUUGAGCAUUUGUAUAUAAAUUUGAACAACUAUGAUAGUCAGUCAUCAUGCAAUCGACUAUCCCACUAUGAUAGUAUUAUUGGCAUGGCUGAUCCAGGCCACUAUUCUCGGAUAAUGAGUACAGAAAAUCCAGCUGUUGAACAUGUCAAAAUGUCAUAAUUAAGUAACAAGCAAAUUAUCCAAUUCAUGCAUGAUGCGUGUCAAUAUGGAUAUUCAUAACCCCUUACCACUUGCAUGAGAAGACAUUUCAAAUACGAUUUUUCAGUCCGAUGUAAGCGUUCAACUGUAAUUCUGAGAUAUGGCUCAACCCAUUGAUCAACCUGCCCUUUGCAGUUCAGCAACACAACUUCAAUAAGUUUCGGAGCUGGCUCAAUAUCAUUGUCCUCCAUAUUUUUGCCUGCCAUAACCUUCAAUGUGAAAUAAAAAUCAGAUACAUAUAAAUUCAUUAUUAUAUAAAAUGAAUUUUUAACCUAAAUCUGCUUAACAGGUGCUCGCUGAACUAAUUCUAAUAAGGAAAAGAUAACUUACAGAUGAAAUCAUAUUCCAUAGACUCUGUUGAUAGUCAGGUUCCUUGCAAGUAAGGAAAUGAGCAGUUCCCCUAGAAAUAUAAUUGUCCAAAGGAACCAGAAUAUCUGCAGAAGAAACAAGACAAAUAAAUACAAAAGUAUGGUUGCAGAUUAUACAUGCCCACACCAAUUUGAAUGUCCAGGUACUUCAUGUCAACAAUACAACCAAGCUAUAUAAUUGAAACUAAAGAUGCCCCCCCGCCUUCGAAUAGUAUGAAUAUCAGCUCCAUGUAUAGAACCCAUUUUAUAAAACAACCAAGAUAUUUUAUUGAGUGCCCAGCUGACUUUAUCUUCAAUUUUACUGGGAGACACCAAAAGAACUCUAGCUUCAUAUUAAUGUACAAAAGGUUAAGCAAGAGAUGAUCCAAACUAUGUGUUUGACUAUGAUAGAGCAAACAGAAAUUGAGAUGAAUUGUAGCCAAAAUGUAGUUGAGAAGCAUACUUGGAAAGAAGUCUAUCGCCCAAUCUGCAAGUGCUUCCAUCAUCAGUGGCCAAAGACUCCACAUAUCCAAUGAUAUUGUUGGAGAGAAAAAGGUCAUAUAUGAAACAAUCUCCAAAACUUCUUCAAAAACCUCUGCAUGCAUUCACAGCAGGUAAUGAAAAUAAAUAAAAGCAACCCAAGUGGAAUUAAAUUUCAGAACAAUAGCCUUCCUAACAGAAUUUAACAAUAAAAAUGAAUGUCUCCUUUGAGAAUCCAAGCGCAAAGUGCCGGAUAAACCAGCCUAAGUUGUUCUCAACAUCACAUUAUUUAAACACAAACUGAAGCAUACUACUCCAUAUUAAACCUAAAAACAUAACAGCUGUCCAAAAAAGUCAAGGCGGGAGUCCUUAUAAUCACUUUAUGUUCUACAAUAUAGAUGAGAACAUCUAAAAUACUCUCAUCAGAUUUUUUUUAUUUGCAAAAACUCCUGCAUAUAAUCAUCCAACAGGUAAAUGAGUUGGGGGAGGGGAGGACAUCAUCAAAGUCAUCAGAAACAUGAUUCAGAGGGGUAAAUACCUUGCCCAUCAGUUGUUAACAUUCUUCGCAUUAUGGGAAGCAAGGUUGGCUCGAAUUGAACAAAUAGUUGAGGAAGACUGCUCACUGAUUCAAGUAUCGUGCUAAUAGCACGCAGACAACCCACAGCAGCAAGAGCACCUGGAUCGUCAGCUUCAUCAUCAGCUUCGGCGGUGUUCAUGCACCUCCAAAAUGCAGCUGCCUGUUGUAAGAAAGAAAAUGACAAUGUUAUAAAGCAAGCACAACUCUUUUGGCAGAUUCAAAUGUUUUAAAAUAUAUAUUACCAAAUUUUGGCAAAGCCCAAGAGCAUAAGGUGCCAUUUCUUCCCCAAACUUGUCCACAAUAGUCUCCAAGGUAAAUACAAGGUCCUCAUUCUCAAUUUCAUUCAUAAGUUUGAAGAACUCUGGAUUUUUUGUUUUUGUCAGUUACACCACUAUCAAAGCCAAAUAAUAAAUGAACAAGUACAGACAUUUUUUUCACAUUCACCUACCAUCAAGGAGUUGAGGAAGAAUGGGUCGAAUUUCAUUCAAAUCUGCAUCAGCAAAUAAACAUAAUCAGUGCUAAGCUUUAGAAAGAUUUAUUAAAAUCAAAAUAGAACCAAAGACUAUAAACCCACCUUUGCAAGCCUCAACAAAAGAACGCAAAGCAAAAACAGAAUCAAUGCGAGCAGGAAGUUCAGGAUCACGCAUUCCACAUACAACACACUGCAAUGCCUUCCGAAAAUUGUUCUGGUCUGAGAAGCUAAUCUGGGCAUAUUGUCCUGCAACCCAUGCUGCCUAUUUUUCACAAGAAAGUCAAUGGAUAGCCAAAAUAUCAAGAAUAUAAAUCGAAAAUUUCAUAAGUAAUGUCUGGUUCAAGUUUUAAUUAAUUUUCACCGACUAACAUAAAUAUUAAACUGUGACGUAAAUGUUUUGUUUGGUUAUAUAUAAGCUAUUUAGAGAAGAUGGCAGCAUUCACUGCCUAUUAAAAUGAUAGAGAAAUGAAGAAAACAAGAUUAUUUCUUAAAUAGAGGCUCAAAACCCAAACAGGUGGGAGGAUUGUGAGGAAAAUAACAAGAGGAUAUUUUCUUAGUAUACAUUUACUUUGCAGCCAAUAAAAGUUGUAUACACAUUAUCUUAUUCUCAAACAAUACAUUUAUAAUAAAAUUUAAAAACACAAUACUUUCUGUUUUUUCUACGACAUAAAACACUGAAAAGAUUUUCAAUUUCCCUUUUUAACGUUCUUGGAUUAGAAGUCUACUCUCGACCUUCUUCUCUGCCAAGUGAAACCAAGUGAAGAGUGUUUUACGCUAACCAUGCCAUAGAUAAUAACUAUGCUCAUAAAGAUGUGUAAUCUCUUAUUUAUGCAAAUUUUUCCUCCAAAAAUUGUUAAAGAUGGGCAAUUGUACAUCAAACUAGGGCUGCUUUUAGUAUGGCAUUCCAUAUAGUGCAAUGCAAACUUAGCCUUUUCUUAAAAACAUUCUGCUUUAUGCCCAAAAGAAGGAUAAAAGGCAAAGAGUGAAAAUGACCUGCAUGCAAAAAAGAUGCAAUCAUAAACUAUAUAUAGAAGAUGGUACCUUGGCCCUAAGGUGGCCAACUGGACUGCUAAACUCGGGAAAGACAUGUUGAACCAACAUAUGCUCAAGUUCUGAUUUGUACGGCUCGGUGUGCUUCAAUCUUUCACAAAGUGCUCCAAUAGCAAGAAGUGCACCAUCUUUCUGUCUAUAGGGUUUGUAUUCUGCAGAUGCUUCAUCAUACCUAAUAAAGUGAAAACCCAAUUACAACACUAUAUAAAUCAUCUAAUUUAUCAGAAAGCAGUAUAUUAUUUACCUUUUAAAAAUUUCAACUAUGAAUUGUAUAAACUUGUGAAGAUUAUCUUUCCCACGUUUUCGAAUCAACUCACUCACAAAAUCCAUGGAAGCAGUUUUGGGACUAUACAAGUCUUCAAUAAUGUCUGUAAUUAAGAAUUAGAAGCAAUAAGCAUGUGCCAAUGAGUUCCUUGAAAUUUCAUGUCUAUGUAUACACUUCAAUAAGACUUACCGUAGCCUUUUCUUACAUAUUCAUGCGGAUCUUCAUCCCAAAGCUUUUGAUCAUUAUCAUUAAAGCACAGAAGAGGGAAAACUAUUUCAAAAAGAAGAACAUCAAGCCGAGGCUGCAGUGCAGAAUACAUGCUAUUCUUCGAUAUACUGCAUAUAUUAAAAGAAAUUAAGAGAAAAAAUUAAGUCCAUGAUCAUUAAUAUCCUGAAAAGUCAGCACUGGUAAAAUAACAGCAUUCAACAGAGAUACUAAUAUUCUAAAUAUGUGCAAAGUGAAGACCUUAGAAAGGAGGGAUGAGAUGAUCAAUGGACACAGAGCAACCCAUUCACCCCUUCCUUCCCCAACAAAUAUGUAAAGGACUAUUCAGUAUGGGUCUCAAGGACUAAUCGGUAUGGGUCUGGAUACAUGAACUUCAAGAAGCUACAAGGUUCAAAAGACCAAACUAUCCCAGUAUUUGAUUUUGGGAUGAAUGUAUAUUUCAUAACAUCUCAAGAUCACUAUUACUUAGGUUUACUAGCAUUAGUAGUUAAUAAUAUUUUGGUUUAAUAAUUUCACCCAAACGCCAGAGGUUUAUAUCUAGGGAGAUCAAGCAUUGGACAAUUGGGCUGGUCUCAUGCGAGGAUUGGUAAAGACGACUAGCAAACAUUAACUAAUUAAUUAGGCAAAAAAAGUUGGUUAGCAUAGAGAGAAAUUAUGAGUGGCGCUAAUUUCAAGGGUUAUGUUGGAAAACUAACACAAAUUGUCAGCAAAUUUAAUGUUACUAACAACAUGGGCCAACUUUCUUUAACUUCGAUGAAAGAGUAAACGGACAAAAGUAGUAGUUAUGAAGCUAAGCUCAAAUAUCCCAAUCAAUAACAAAAAGACUUUAUCAACUAAGUUGAGUUGAGAUUACUAAUUAAUGACAACAUGUGGCAAUUCAUAAACUAAACAUGCAAGCUUAGUGCACAAAAAUGUCUUACCUGAAUAUGGAUAUCCCUUCAUAAAUAAGAAAAAGAUCAGACCUAUACAUAAAUAAAUGAGCAUAAAAUAAUUGAUGAGUACCUGUUGCUUAGAUACUGAAGAACCAGGUUGAUAACUCUGUCUGGUAAAUAGCCACCAACUCGAAUGGCAUUCAGUAGAUUUAAGUAGCAGUCCAAUAUCUUCCAAGCAUAGUGCUUCUGAAACAUUUGGGCAAAGGCUUUGUUUUCCAUGUUUUGCAGCUUCAAGUCACCAAAUCUAUAACAAGGUCAUUUAAACACGAGUACAAAAAGAAAAUUAAUCACUGGACAGGAUAGCUCAUAAUUGUCAACCAAAUCAAUUCACAAUCUCAAACAUACCGAGUAUAGAGCCUAUUUAGAAUGUGAACUGUCCAUUUUUUUACCUUCCACCAACCCCAUGACUUGCGAAGCUCGGGAUCGGCAGGCUGGCCCUCCAAUGGAACAGGGCUCUCUAACACGUUUAAAAACAGCACCAUCCAAGCAUUGAAUACAUUUUGAUCAAACAAAAGCUUCGGAACCUCCAACUGAACAAGUUAAAACGAUGCACACGGAAUUGCAUUCGUCAAUUACGAACAGUCAGGAGGAGAAAAGCAUAAAAAAAGGCAACAGAAAGUGAUAACUUUAUCUCAACACUGAAAAAGGAAUAGAUUCUAUGGUUCUUUUUCCCGUAGAUUAAAGAGAGAGAGAGAGAGAGAGAGAGAGAGAAAACGUACGUAGAUGGAGGACCAGAAAAUUUUACAGAUAAGCUUGAUCAAAUCCGCAACUUCGAUUGAGGGAUUGGGAAUUUGGACGAAGGCGUUAAAUAUAGUGAGGAGAAGAGGAAAGGUCUGCUGGACAACGCCAUAAACUGGCAUCCUCUCUUCAUCCGACUUGAACCUGCAGAGGGAGAGUGAAGGUAUUCCUAUUAGUGACGGUUGGGCGUUUUCCACGCGAUAUUAAGAAGAAAAAGAGUGACUCACUCGUAUUUUCUAGAAAGAAUCCGCAGCACAAACAAAGCGGCGUGGACUUGCUGUUGAUCCUGCAAGUUCUGCUUGAUCCAGUCGAGCAGAUGAGGAAACUGCUCCGGAUAAUCCGAAUGGAUAACGGUUUUGAGGCACUCACCGAGCUGCACCCUGCGGUGGAAUAGAAUCAGGCGCAGUAUAGUAGCAGGAAGUGAGAAGAGUAGCAGGCGCAGCAUAGUAUAGAACGCUGUACCUGAGAAGAGGAGGAAGCUGAGGGAGAAAGAGGAGGAUGUGAUUCCGGAGGAGAAGCUUAUCGUCCGGCGAGACGGAGAUUUUGGCGUGGUGAUCGGUAGACCAAUUCUUGGCGACGAAGUUCUUGAAAUGGAUGGCGGCGACUUGUCGGACCGCCAUGUCGCGGUUGGUGUCGACGAUGAUUUGGAAGAGGCUGACCGGAUGCUGCGGAACGUACUGCAUCUCAUCCAACCGCUGCUCGGCGCCCUUCCGUUCAUCGGGAUUCGGACUCAGAGCAGCCUGCAGUAUGACAGCCAGAUCCAUCUUCUUCCCUUCGCUUCGUUUCGCUUCUGCUCUGAGUCUUCUUCCCCAAUGCGAUGCUCCUUCUGCUACACACUCACACUAGGGUUUACCACCGCAAAUGAAACAUAUCUAUCUAUUAGGGUUUUUUAUUAAGGUUUCAAAAUUACACUUUCACACACACUUCGCAUAUUUUAUUUUUCAUUAAACUUAAGUAUAAUAUUAUUUUAUUUUUCAUUAAACUUAAGUACAAUGUUUUUUUUAAUUUAGAAUAGUACGUGCGUGUGAAAUAAUUUUAAAAUAAGAGGAGGAUUUAUAUGGAAUUUUUAAAUAAAUGGAUAUUCGACUUAUCCUGAAAAAAUGUAUUAGGUUAUUAAUGUAAUUUACUCUCUUUCUUUUCACAUCCACAAUCAACGCGCCAACCGUCCGUAAAAGAUACUUUUACUUUUUAAUUCAUAAAUUGUUUCUUUACUAUAUUUAAAUUUAGUUAUUAUAAAUAAUUUUAGUUGUUUAAUUUUGUAAUUUGUUUCUUAAGAUAAUGAUUGCACAGAGAAAGCAAGUCCCAUGAGGAAAAUAAAGAAAAUAAUGACGGGCUAAAAAUUGUCUAACUUUCAUGAUCAUAAGUGUUUAUAUUGUUUAUGUAUUCCUCAAGUAAUUUGAGUUAGGAUAGAACACGGUAAAAAUAUUACUAAACAAAAAAUAAUUUUAGAGACUUAAAAAAAAUAUGUAUUAUUUUAAAAAUAAAAAAUUAUUUAUAUUUAAAAUAGUUUUUAUUAUUAAUAAAUUUAUAAAUUAUUUUUUAAAUUAUAUCUAAUUAAAAAGUGAAUAAUUAAAAAGUUUGAUAACUAAUUAAAUAAUAAUUUAUAAAUUUUAUUAAUAAUAAAAAUUACUUUAAGUAUUAAUAAUUUUGUAAAAAAAAAUAAUAGCUAAAAUGUUCACACUCUUUUUCCUAUUUUAAAUGGUAUUUUGCUUGAUUAUUUUAUUUUGACUAUUGUGUCAUUUUAUCUUGAAUUUUGAAUCUAAAAAUAGUUUCUAAGUAACGAUAUGAGAGUGAUUGAUAAAGUGGGACGGUCCGACUUGUGUCCAACUAAAAAAAAUGCGGGGUUGGUUGUUGAUUUCAACCUGCUGGCCCGCUCUGUAUAUCUCGCAACCCGCGCGAGUCAAGUGCGGAGCGGGCUGGGUUGGCCCGCAUAACCGCAUAACUUUAAAAUGUAUAAAUUUUGUUUUGCACCUUCAUAUUUUCUUUAUGUAGCCUCGUAUUCUACAUUCUGAAAAUUUUAAUAACAUCUUACUACGCAUGUCUCAUGAAAAUAAUAUUAUGAGACCAUUUACCUAUUGCAUAUAAAUAAAAAAUCAAAAUUUUUAUUUAAAAAAAAUCUUAUACAAGAUGCCCGCGAGCCAACCCUUAUGCGGGCCGGGUUAGAAAAAUCAGCCUGCAUAUUCUAUGCAGUGCGAGCCAAGUGCGGGAUGGGUCAGCCCGCAUUGUCACCUAUAUUGUUGUAUGAAAGCAGCUUAUACGUAAGGUGUAAGGUGCAGGACUAUCUUGUUUUAAAAACUAUUUUUCCAGUCAUUAUAAACAACAUUUACAAGAUAAUCAAACAAAGUACUUCACGAGAAUCAUUUUUUAGUUUAGAGAGGUCAAAAUAAAGAAGACAAUAAGAAUCUCGCAUAUGUGUAUACAAAGUCUUCACUAAGAUUAAGAUUCAAAGAGUACUUGGGAUGGAUUGAUUCUCAUUCGUAGACAAAGAAAGAUGAUGUUGAGAACUUUUUCAUGAUUUGGAGUCAAUAUGGAGAAUUCUGAUUAUUGAUUAUAAAUCAUGUUUAGCAAACAAUGUGUUGAAAAAUUCAAUAAGAGAUGAUGACAUUGUAUUAAGAUUAAUUAGAUAUUUUAAUAGUAUUAAGACUAACUAGACUAUUUAACUUGUGUUGUUUUGUCUUGAUAUUUUUUCUUAAACAUUGUUAUGUUAUUAAAGCCCUUAGUAUGAGACUUUAUAUAUAAAACAUUUUUGUCACACCAAAACCUUUAUAUACUCUUAAAAGUUAUGAGACAUUGAACGAUACUUGUACAUGAAAAUCAUAGAAAAUUAGUUUUCUAACUUCUUCAUUACUUUACAAACAUCCACUAAGAUUCUAGUUAAGAUAAAAAAACCUAGUUAAGAUUUUUCCCUUCUUUCAUAACAUCCAACAUAAGGAUGUGAAUGAUCUCUAUUUGAAAGUUUUUUUUUUCAUAAAAGAAUUAGUGGUAUCAGUGCAAUAACUCAUAUUAAGUCAGUUAAUUAAAAAUUUGACAUAUAUUAUAUUGAUUAUAAGGAUCUACCGAUAUAAUAUAUUAUUUUCAUAAUAAAUAAAAAUUUAAAAAAUCAAUUUGACUAUGGUUGAAUGAAAUAUGUCUUUUGAGAAUUAAAAUAAAUAAAUAAAAAUAAUUUAACAUUAAACAUGGUACGUUCAUCCGAAGUUUAACAUUCUUCAUAUAAAGAUAUCUUGUAAAGUUACAAGAACAAUAAAAAAAACACAACAAUGUCAUGCAAACCAUACUUCAAAAAACUAGUCAACAACAUGUUUUGUUUUCUGUCGUACACAUUUGUUUUUUCAACUUUUUGUCGGUUAUCAUAACUAUUCAUAAAAAAUAAAACACCAUUUUAACGAACUUCUAGUGCUUUAGAACACUUAGAUUCUAAAAUCAUAUUUUUACAACCAAAAUCAACUUCAAGAACAUGACAUUUUUAAAAUCUAUGAGAAAAGGCUUGUAUUGAUGAAGGAAAAUAUUUGUUUAGACCAUAUCUCACAACACAUUACAAUAAUAAUAUAAUAUUUAAAAUUUAAAAAUAAAUUAAAUAUUAUUUUAUUAAUUUAUGAAGUGUAUGUUGAUUACUAUUUGUGAUGUUAACGUAUUAUCACUAUUAAUAAAUUAAACUUAGACUCCAUAGAAUAUAUAAAACAAUAAUAACAAUGAUAAAUUAAUUAUUCUACAAAAUGGUGUCGCAUCCACCAAUCUCCAUUUACUUCCUCUAACCAUUUUUUCCUCUGCAUGCUUGAAAUGGUUGCAAUGUAAGUAUAAAAUCUCCACUAUAAUCAUAUUUAUGCAUUAUUUUGAUUUACAAUAACUUAAUUAUUGUAUACUUAAAAGAAGUGUUAGAAUAAAAAUAUAUAUAGUUUGAGGUGCAUCCAAUCCCACCAAUUAGAGCCCAUGCAAGAAAUUUAUACAAUGAUUUUAUAUUUUAACUGUGUAAGGAAAUUUGAAAGUUUAAUAAUGUUAGGGUGUUAUGAAAGAAGCUUUGGUCAGCAACAUUCCAAAGGCAUUCAUUAAAUUCCAGCAAAUAAUGCUGAGAAAAAGAGAGUUUGUGAGUUAAAGAUGAGAAACCGUUUCAUUUUCAUAACAAUGGAUUCAUUCACAAUUCACAACUUGUUGCUAUAAAUACCAGGGAGUAGGAAGGGGAGAGCCAUCCGCAGAAGAAGAAGAUGAAGAUGAAUGCGAUAGUGGUGGCGGCGCUCGUGGUGACGGAGGUGCUGCUCAUGGGGGCUGCCAUUGACGCCCUGGAUGUGUGCGGUGUGUCGGUGACGGAUCUGAUGACGUGCAAGGCGGCGGUGACGCCUCCAUCGCCGUCGGAACCUUCGGACGAGUGCUGUUCGGUGGUUUCGAAAGUGGACAUGGAUUGCCUCUGCAAUUACAAGAAUUCUCCUCUCUUGCCUUCCUUGGGAAUCGAUCCUGAUCUCGCUCUUCAGCUCCCUGCCAAGUGCAAACUUGACAAGACUCCACCUUGUUAGCUCCUUCUCUUCCUUUUGUGAAACUUUACCAUUACCUCUAAUAAAUAAAUCAUUUUCUUCUUUUAUCAUUUCUUAACUAAAUCACACAUUUAACCUUUAAUUAAAUAUCAUUAAUUAAUUAAACGUGUUGGAAAUCUCAAUCGAAAUUACAACAUAUUAUAAUAUAUUAUAAUAUGUAAAUGUAUCUAAAUUUUAUGAGAUUAAAUUAGACUAUUUUUAAUAUAACAUCAGAAAUUUUUUGUUCAACUAAUCAGACAGGAAUUGCAGGUUAAAAAAAUAUCUCAAUAUAAAUAUGGAAUUAUUAUUUUUUUCAUAAUUAUUUAUAAACCAAAAUUAAUAUAUAUGUACUUACUCCCAGAAUAUUUUACAUUUAAUUUUUGCUAGUCAUCAAAAUAUAUACUGCAUUUACAGUAUAUUACAUAAAAAGUAAUAAAUCUAAUUUUUAAAAACAAGUCUAAUUCUACUAUAUUUUUCAAUAUCUAAUUUCGGUUGAGUUUUUAAUUAUUUUUAAUAUAUUCAAGAAACAUUUCAAUUUAUUAAAGAAAAUGACACGACUUUUAUUUGUUUUUACCAUGGAUUCCUAUACAAUUAAAAUUAUUAUUUUUAUAGAUAAUCACAAACUUAUCGUUUAUAUUUAAGGAAAAAUGUUGUAUUUAGCUAAUUCUUACCAUUUGUAAUCCAAUAGUAUUAAUAAAUCUUAUUCAAAGGUAAGUUAACUUUUAUUCCUAAAACUUUAUCAUUGUAUUCAUCACACCUUUUAAUUUAUUCAUCUUUCUUAUAUGUAUCUUCUCUCUCAACUUAUGCACACAAAAAUAUAAUAUUUUUUAAUAUUAAUAUGAUUAACAUUGAUGCCGAAUUACGUAAGUUUUCAUCGAUAAUAUUUGUUGUAUUUCAAAUAUGUACACAUUAAAUAGGCGAAAUACACUUUUUAAAAAUAGUUUGUAGUGUCUAUAUUUUAAUAUAAGAGUAUAUUUGAUUAAAAAAAUAAUUAAUUAAUAACAGUAUAGUGUAAAGCCACAGAGUAUCUAGAAUGUAGAAUGAUUUUGCAAGAGCAGAAAGAAGGAAGAAUAAAAAAAUAGAAUAGAUAGUUAUAGUUAUGGAAGAGAUGGAGGAAGGAAUGAAGUGUGUGUGCACCUGGAAACUCUCCUAACCCAAACCCAACUGCAUCUGCAUACAAGAGAGAGUGAGUGUGUGUGUAUGAAUCAGUGAGCAGUUCCCAGUUGCUACAAUGGAGUGUGUUCUAAACUUGGGGAGGGGGUUUGGAGGAGGGCGAGGACGAGGAGGAAGACGACUCUGGUUCAUAAUUCCAAAGGGUCUUUAGCUCACCUCUUUUGCUUCCCAAUACAAGAAUCACUCCUGUUCAUAUGUAUAAACAAUUUGGCAUCACAAAAGCUACCUAAAUCAUGAGAACCACAAAAUUAGUUACCUAGUGUGCACGGAACAAGGUAGAGGAGUGCAGGUUGUCCAUGACCGUUCAUCAUGUAUAGCCCCAGAUAUGUGAAGAACAGCCCUGAACACACCAAACAUACUCUAUACUUUAAUACCUUUGAAUCUAAAUCUAAAAUAAAUGUUUAAAUAAAAUGACCAACCCACAUGGGAAAUGUUAAGUUAACUCAUGUGAUGUGGAGGAGAAAUCUUUAAGCAGAUUUCCUAUGAUACCAGGAAAAUCAACUAAGCAACAGUUAUGAAGAAACAUUAUUCAACACAAACAUAUUACCUACUAACUUACCGAAGCCAUAGCCAAUCAUCAACCAAAGAAAAUAUCCGCUCACGACCCCCUUCUUAAGAUCUUUGUCGAAUCUGAGACAGUCCAAAGCCAUACAUAACAUACGUUGAAAACAAGGCUUCUUGUAAAGUAAGGUCGGUAUGGAAAAGAAGUUUAUAAAUCUUCACUUGUUAAAGUUUUUGACUAAAUAAGGAAUUCAAUACCUACGAGAAAAGGAAACAAGCAAACCAGGAAAGAGAAUAUCUCCAAAUCCAAUCAUAUCAUAGCCACCCCAAGGAUCAGCCAAGCGAGGAAAUCUCAAAAGCAUAGGAAUUGCUUCACCACCAGCCUUGUCACCUCGAGCAACCUACAAAAUAAAACUCAUCACUGUAGGACACCUUUUCACUGCAAAGAACAUAAGCAGUGAGGUGAGAAUUUCAUUUCAGCAGUGAGGUGAGAAUCGAAGGGCCUAUUUGAUUGCACUCAAUAAAAAUAGUCUUUAGUUUUUAGAAAUUAAAAUAAUGAAUUUAAAUAUAAAUUAAAAUUCUAAAAUUUUAUGAAUAAUUAGAUUAUUUAAAAUUAGAAAAUUUUAAAUUUCAAUUAGAAAGAAAGAAUUUGAAAUUCCUUAGUUUCUCAAAUCCAUGUGUCUUCUUUUUUAAAUUCUCUUAAUGAUUUUGGGUAGGAUGUCAUCUCACACCAAUAAAAUAACUACUUUUCAUUAAUUAGAUUUCUUUUAUUAAUACUAAAAGAUUUUUUAUUUUAUUUAAAUUAUUAGGAUUCUUUUGUUGCGGUAAAACACUUUUAUUUUUCUCUCUAUAUUAACAGGAUUUUCUCAAUCAAGAAGAUUAUUCUUUUGUCAAUGUCCAAAUGAUUAUUUUUUUAUCCAGCACUAGUGUACAUUAACUAAAAAAAAUAGCCCCAACUAUACCAGUAUGAACAAAGACUUACAGUAAUCAUGACACUCUUUUGGAAUAUCACUGGAGAUAUGAAUACCCAAAAAAUGUCGUAUACAAAUGCACAACAAAGUAGGACCGUUGCAACCUACGAUAUCAGAUUCAUAAAUAAAUUAUGAGAGAUGACAACAGAUAUUGGAACAAAACGAGAAAGGAAGUAACAGUUAUAAUAUAAACACAAGGAAGUCAUUAAGGUACCUUAAUAUUAGGCAACCGAGCCAUCUGUAAUACUGUUAUCAUCAAACAGAUGCCCUGUUAAGAAUAAAGCCGUAUGUCAAGCAAAUUGCAUACAACAAAAGCUCAAACAAACAGCUUAUCAUCGAUGAAUGACAAAACCCACUAUUGAGACAACAAACAAUUCUUUAGUGCAAUGCCUGAGAAAGCUCACUACGGAAUCAAAAGAGAGACCAGGUUUGUCUCAACAAGAAUACACAUUCACUCUACAAUGAUUAAGUGCAAAAAUAUAUGCAUCAUAUUUCUGUGGCUGAACAUGUGCUCUGAUGUGAGCAUUCAUACAUGUAUAUAUGUAGAUAAGUGACUGCAAUUAAAUGUGAGCAGAUUUUUUUAAAAAAAGGAACAUAUCAAUACUAGGCAGAUACAAAGCUGGAAACAGAAUGACAAUUGAAAGACUUGUGCCCACGUACUAGAAACUGGAACUCACAAGCAAAUCUUGCCCAAACCAAGAAAAUGAUUGGUGCCGAAAUACAACCCAUAAAACGGCAAAUGCCACGCUGAAUAGUAGCACUACCAGCGAGAAAAUAGAAACCUCUCCAAAUAAAGGUAAAUUCACAUUCUUCUGAGCACAAGCUCGACGUUUCCUGCCAAUAUAUUUGAGAAAAAACUUGAGAAAAUGAAGAGAUAUACAACAUGCAGAAAGAACAUUGAUUUCCCUUUUUACUAGAAGAGAGAAGAUAUUUUGUACCUUAAAGCGAGGGUUACAAUACAGUUGUGCAUCCCCUGAAUAUGGAAGCAAACUUCCAUUAAUGAAACGAGUAGUUUCAAACAAAUAAGGAAGAAAAAAAAGGAUCAAAUGCUUGUCAGCAGUUUAUAGGUAUUGUAGUUUCAAGUUUCAACUUUCUAAUAGAUCAACAUACCAGUUAAUGGAGAAGUGAAAGUACAGUCUAAUGUAUUUGUAAAAAAAUAAGUGAAUUUUAUUAGACAGAAUUAAAGAUAAAAUACAACUAGGGGGCAAACAAAAUAUCCUCCUAAGGACAAAAAAUAUACAAUGAGAAACAGACUCCAGAACAUAGAAACAAGCACGAGAUAAAUAAGUUUAGUCAACAGAAGUGAAUCAACAGUGUAUCACAUAAUUGAUUAAAGUGGCAUAUUUUAUCCUUUCCUGUAAAUGAGCCCUUAAGAAAAAGAAACUAAAAAAGUUGGUCUAAACACUAACUUUGUUAGUUAAAGCAAUUCUGUAUAAUUGAGUUCAACAUUUAUGUCAAGUAGUUCAGAAGUUUAACUGACAGAGGAAGUUGGCAUCCCUUUUCUACCAGGAUCUACCGUAUUUUUAGGUUAUCUUACAUUCUUUGGUUUGUGUAUGGUAAUGAUACGAGUAGUUGGGCUUGUAAAGCCUAUCUGGAUGCAGAUGUAUGGCUUGUACAACUAAAACAACCAUUUGGUUACAGAAAUAAUGUUUAUAAUGUUUUGACACUUAUCGCAACCUACUAUCAGGGGUAAUAGAGUCAUUAAAAAAAUAAACUUUUGUAUUUGUAAAGGAAAAGAGAGCAUGAAAAGUAAAACAGUGAAUGUAAGGUGGGUGUAAAAAUUUAUUGGACGAUAAAAUAUCAUGGUCCCACCAUAAUGAAAUAAUAUGAAGGAUUGGAUUGUAUGUUUAAAUGAAGUUAUCUCUAUAUCAUUACUUGAUAUUUUUUUAGCUAGAAGAUUAGGAGUAAAAUCCACGAAAAUGAGCUACCUUACCUCAAUACCACCAAUGCAGAAAAGUACAAUCAGCACCCAAAUAAACCAAGACGACAUGAAGAAGAACAGUAGCACAAGAAAAGUAGAGGCCGUAAUGACAAAUACGACAGCACCCUUUGUAUCUAUGUUAACUAUUUCCUCAGGUUCGUCUUUCCCUGCUUCAGACACAGCGCUCUAUAAAAAAAACAAUUUUAUGUUACAGACUAAUAAAGAUGUAUUAAAAUUGUAACAAGUAAACAAAAUGAAUGGAAGAAACCAUUCUCCAUGGCUCCAUUUAAUAGUUAACUGAUUGAAAGAUCACGGGCUAGCAAUACAGAAGGCAGUCAAAGAUAAAAGUAAACGUAGAUUAGAAGUUAGCACGGAAGCCAAGAUCAGUCUGUGGUUACUGGUUACAAAUGUCCCAUUCGAACAUUGUUGAAUAUCUGUUACUCACUGGAAGCACACCUUCGCAUCACUAUGAUUACUUCAGUUACAUUAAACAACGAUAAAAGUUCAUAAGAUCACAUUUGAGCAUAUAUCAUAGACAUUAAGGUAAAUAUAGGGUUGCAUGGAAAAACCUUGGGAGACAACUCAUUAUAGCGUUCAUCGAAUUGAUCAGGAGCAGUUAUAUCUGCCCAUAGUGAAGCACAUGCAACUGUUGCAACAGCCAUCAACCACAAAAAUGAAACCGAGUAGUCUACAACUGGGCGCGUUGGAGCAUAUGGCACAACCUCCACUGAAAUGAACAACUCCGAAUCAACCAUCAGUAAAUCAUUUGAAACAAACUUCGCAUCAAGCAGAAGAAAUGCACUUGAGAUUGAUAAAGAAAUGAUAUUUUUCUUUAAUCUUACUUAUUUAAUGCAUUUAUGUGAAUAAAUGAGCAUAUGUAUAGAAAUAACUUCUUGCAGUGCUAAAAAUUGGGUAUUUUACCAUUUACUGAAUGUUUAAUUAAUUAAUUCAUCACAGAAGUACGUGCUAGGCAACAUAAAAAGAAAGUCUAUGACUUUAGUAUGAAAUCGUACUCAAGUGCAAUUGAUGCCAACGGUGAGAUCACACCACGGACACUAGCUACAAGGAUUCUUGAUCAAAUGGGGAAACCAAGGAUUCUAUGUUGAAGUGGGUGAAUCAUACAACUUUUGAUAAGGAAAAACAUAGCAGAAAAGUCCUCUAUGUCUCAACUAGAACAAAAUAGUAAAAAUUUAAGUCAGGAGGAUAUUGACCCUCUAGGGAUCCUUCUUGUCACCUUGAGUAAGUCCUUUGAAUCAUGUUCCAGGACCAAGACGAGUAAGGAGCCGUUUGGUUUCGGAAAACACUUCCUAUUUUCAUUUCCUGUUUUCAUUUUCAUAUUUUUAGAUUUAAAAGACAUGUUUAGUUUGACUUUGUGUUCUUGAUUAAACAAUUUUCAACAAAAAAAUUUAAACUAUUUUCAACAAAAAAAUUUAAACUAUUUUAUAAAGUUAACAAAUGAAGUUUCAAUUAUGAUUAUACCUUUAUUAAUGAACAAUUUGUGAAUAAAUAAUUUUAUAUUAUAUAUCCUUGAUUAUAACAUUUUAGAUUGGAUUAUAAGUUGAACUUGGAGAUCAUAAAUUAUCAUGCAAAUUAUUUGCGUGUAUAAUUACCAUUUAUAUACCAUUUCACUAAAAUUUUGAAUAAUAAAUUCUUCAGAGUUUCAAAGGAUUAGAAAUUAAGAUUAUCUUAUGAUUUCCUCAAGGUUAAAUAUGAGGGUCUUAUGUUGUUUAGUGACAACAAUUCCGUUAUCAGCAUUACCCAUAACCGAACCCUGACAGAACAAAACACUUGGAAAUAAGUGAUAACUAAUACUUCAUCAAAGAGAAGUUGGAUGGAGGCAUUAUUGUUACAACACAUAUGACUCUAAGGCUCCAAGAGAUUGAUGUCUCGACACUGAGCCUUAUUCAUUUAUCAAGAGAAGUGUCCUAAAUAUCAUAGGAUAUCUAUAGAUGGUUUAUCUUUAGGAUAAUAUGGAAGAUCUAUAAGGAUAACCAUAUUAUUUAUCUUAAGAAUAUCAUGAGAUUUUAAUUUCGUUAUUUUUGUCAAUUCCAUGGUUAUUAAAACCAGACUAGUUUAAUCAGGACUGUGCGGUUCGUCAGAUCCUUAAAACAUUGGAUCGGUUAAAAACUGCGGUUUGGCAGUUCAACAAAAAUCAGGUGUGUCGUUUUGGGUCAGAUUUUUUCCUUUUCUUUUCCUUGAUCACGAUCUAAAAAUCACAGGAUCCUAAAUCAGGAAAUAGGAGCAUGACAUUUUCUCUUGACUCACUUCGGCUUACUUCCCUUCUAAUCACAACUUAUUUUUAAUAUAUUUCUUACAUGGAAAUCUCUCUUUUUUUGCAAUUUUUUUGGAAAUUCCACAAUAUUUAAAAGUAUAAACAAAUUAUAAUAUAUAAAUUAAUACAAAUCUCUGCUUUCAAAUCGGUUUUAUAAAAUUAAUUUAAAGUUAAAUUUCAAUUUCUUAAAAUCAUACAAGAGUCUUUCUAACCUUAUAAAUAUUAUGUUAUUUUUUAAAAUAUUUUUUAACAUUUUUUAAUAUUAUAUUAUAUUGUUAUAUUUAAGUCGUUCAACUACGCUAAUUAUUGGUUAUUUUUCUAUUUCUUUUGCCUUAUAAAAGGGAUACAAAAUUUUGUUUCUUUCAACUUACAACUAAGACAACAUCCGUUAAAUACGUACUUAUUAUUAGGAUUAUAUGUGCUAGAAAAUAACUUAUCUAGUUACUGUGUCCAAUGUUAGAUUUUAACUUCAUAGCUUAUCUCUGGUACCCUAUCAUAUUAUUAUUACAUGACAAAAUGAAAGAGAAGUAAAUACAAAACUCUUUCACAAAAGCACCAGUGGACAAACAAACUACAAAUACAAGUUUAAAAAAUCGAAGGACAGACCUUUCCUUUUAGAUGUCAAAAGUUUGUUGAGAGUGUCUCCUACUGACUUUGUUAUCUCCACAACCGGAAUUGAAAUAUUUACCGGAUUGUCCUUGGAGCAGUCCAUCUCAAAGAGUUCUGAUAUAAAAUAAACAGAUAAAUUUCAUAUUAAAAGCGUAAAAUAACAUAAAAAGUAAAAAAAAGUGCAGUAAAGGUAAGUUUAAGUUAGUGAAUUGUAAUUGUAAUGCUAACACAAUUAGUGGAAUCCUUUUUUCUGUAUGUAAUAGCCUCUACGGAUUUAAUAAAAACCAAUAAUGCAACAAUGCUUGUUAUCAUGGUUUCAUCUACAGGCUUCGGAUGAGCAAUGAGAUUGGAUUUCUUUUUAGAGCUAAUGUAUUGCCCUUUUCCAUGAUCAGUGAUCAUCCUCUUAUGUACAAUUUAUUAUGGAAACCAAUCUUUAACAAAAACUAGUGGGAAGUAAUAUUAGGAAAAACAAUGCAUACUGGUAUGAUAAACUACAUGAUUUAAUUUUGGGCUAUUGUCAGUGGAAAAUAUGAUCAAUCUAAAAUCUGGAGGUGUAACGUGAAGCCUUAUUAAUGUUUUAUAUAUCCAUGAAGAGUCCAAUUUCAGCAUGUAACAUAAUUCCACUUAUACAAAGCAAUACCAUUUAAUGUAUCUAAAGUGCCAAAAUUAGUCCAAUGAUAUUUCACUUUGUUGUUUAGUGACAUUGUCUCAUGUUUUAAUAUUUUAUAAAAUUGAGCUAUUUGCCUAUUUCAAGUACAAGACUCAUCAUUCCAUAAUAGCUUUCCUGAAAAAAAAAAUAAGCUCCUAAGCAUUAGAAUUUGUUCCUAUACAUCAUUAUAAACUUAAAAUCUUUAUCCAGGUUCCAAGAAAGCGACAAUAGUUGGCAAUCAGAGUUCAAGCUAUGCUUGUGAGCCCAGGUUUAGCCGUGCUACGUACUGUUUAUUAAACCCCGUGCUUAGAUUUUGAGUAUACUGCACAGCAUGCACGAAGAGAUUUCAGCCUAAAGAAAAAGCAUGCGAGCAACCAAGCUGACAAGUGAGUGGGGACGUUACCAGACUGACAAAUGACACCUUCUAUACGUCUAAUACACCUUCUUUAUUCAGAUUAAACACAAAAUAGAAACCUCGUGGUUGAAGUGCUAAAAUAUACCAUCGGCGUCGUUUAUCAUGAACACGGCAGCAGCACCACCGGACUGCGCGAAUGUAGCUUUAGUUGUGAAGUCACAAACGCCUCGUGCGCAGAGAGCUGCUAAUCCAGAUAACUGCAAAAUGGAGAAAUGCAGAAGCACACUACUUGAGGAAGCUGAUAUACGAUGAACAGAUUUCAAAAUACGAGCAUGAAAGUAAGAAAACAAACAAAGUUGGGGAAAACAGUUGAUGCAUGAUACGAAGGAAGGGGAACGAGAAAGAAACCUUUACGGUGGAAGCGGAACAGCAGUCCAAAGGAUCGGAAAUAACAGCGGGAACUUUGGUAGUUGGAUCAGCAUUGUCAGGCAAAUCGGAGCCAAAUUUUGCAGUCAUACCAUUGUACUCUUCAUCUUCCUUCCCAUCAAUCCAGCUCUGUAUCUUAACCUGCAAACACAUUGAUUAAUGUUAUUAAACAUGAGAGAGAGAAUUGAAGAAAUAGAUAAACGUAAGGAGGAGGAAUUACCAAUUGCGCAACGUGAUCGCAGUGGUCUUCAUCGGCGGCGGCGGCGGCGGCUAGGAAGGCGAAGGAGAAGAAGAGAAGGAGAAGAGCCGGCGGCAAAGAGGAGGAGGAGGGCAUUGUUGGUUAGGGGAAAAUUGAAACGGUUGGGUUAUGAUUGGUUAAAGGUUUAGUGUGUGCUGUGACGAUGAGAAGGACAUUGGUUCCUCUCCUCUCCCUCCCUCGGGAAUUUCGUGGCAUUUUGGGAUUCUGCAUUUUAAAAUACUCUUCCCUCCUCUCUCUUAGCCAACCGUUUCCACCUUCUCCACUUCAUCAUUCUAUAUCUUCUCCCUUUUCACAUUUUCCCAAACUUCACUCUCCACCGUCAAUCCCUUUUCUACACAUUUCAACAUUAUUAUUAGGAACACACAUUUUAUCAUCAUUAAUUUACUCAUCUUACCCUAAUUUUACUUUUUUUUAACCAAAUUUUUCAAUUUUAAAAUAAUUGUAAAUCUACCAGUAGUUGAACAUUGUCGGUGUCAGACACAUCGAAUACUGAUACUUGUAGGAUAUAUGUAUCUGCGAAGUGUCCAAUUAAAAAAUUAUUUGUUGUUUUGAUAUUUAUAGCACGCUAACACAAUUUUAAAAGGAAAAAACACAUUAAUUUUAUAAAAACUCAAAUUUAUGGUAUAAAUUUUGAUAAUGAUUAUAAAAAUAAGGAACAAAUCAUUUUGAACCAACUAUGAAAAACAUCUUUCUACUAAAACAAACUGAAAUAUAUUUAUGCACAUAAACAUUUAUUGUCAAUUUAUAUAAUUCAUAAUUACAUAAUAUAUAGAUUUGUGUCCCUAUGUUCUAUAUUUUAGAGAUUAUACGUAUCUCCGUAUCUGUGUCUGUACUACAUAAGUGUCGACCGACAUAACCAGAUUCAUUAAGUCCAAUAGAAGAUGAUUAACAACACCAAACAGUGAUUAAACAUUAAGUAAUACACUCUUAAUCCUGGUCUAAAACUCUAAUCUGAUUCAAUAAUAAAGGAUCCACAAUAAUAAUAUAAACAGUCACAAGUUUUGCAAAAAAUCAUCACGCAUUAAUUACACCAAAUAUCGAAUACUGAAAUCUGACUUAAACGUUAUAGUAUCUUUUGCGGGAAUGGAGAUUUUACAAAUGAGGAGACAUUAAAGCAUGAAGGGAUAUAAAAGUAAUUUUCUUUUUAUAUCUUACAAGAUGAAAAACAUAGAUCAGAAAUGUUGUAAGAGAAAAACAAAAUGGGAGUAUAAAAGCAUUGGGCGUUAAAAGCGGUUUGUGAUUGUUGUUGUGUUGAUUUUGAAGUCCAUGGCUCCCUCCAUGAGGAUCGUCUUCGGUCUUCUCACUUUCGUCACCGUCGGAAUGAUCAUAGGUAUCUCUUCUCUCUUCUCCGAUUUCUUCUUCUUCUUCUUCUUCACUCUCUUGCUCUUUCUUCUUCUCUCUCCCCCACUGCCCUAAAUCACCACACAUCUCAAUAAUCAUAUUUGAAUUACCACUCACAACUUUUCACUCUUCUCUUCCUCAAUUACAUUGCAGGUGCUCUCUCUCAGUUGGCCAUCAUACGAAAAUUGGAAGACUCAUACGGUAUCGGAUCCUACUUUUCUUCUCAUUUUCUACCCUCGUUCUCAAUAAUUAGCCACGAUAGGUGUGCCAGCACCCACCUUACGCAAAGUUAAAUUUUUUAUUACAUGGUGGAGUGCCAAGGAUUGUAGGCAUCUCUAACACCGUGCCAUCUACCAACCCCUUCAAAAGCUUAGGCUUUUAGCUGAUGCACAUUAAUGAUUUUCAAAUUUCUGCAUUGCUUCUUUAACGAGUUUAAAUGAAACAAAUAGGGGACUUGUUUUAGAGGGAUAUUUGACCUAGAUUUUUGUGUUUGAUUAUUUUUGUUAUGCUCUGUUAGCCUAACUGCUUCAUGCAGGCUCUGAUUCUUUGCCAUUUAGAAGAUUGCGUGAAGUCGAAGGUCAGGGUUACCUUCAAUUGCCAAGAGGUCAGUAAUAUUUUUGUUUUCUGCCUAUUUUAAUCUCUCUAGAGUGCUAGAUGCCUGCUAAGUUAGUUCCCUUUCCACCAUGUGCAAUGCUUUACCUAAAAAGUAAAAUGUACUACUGUAUUAAUCUUUUUUUUAUUCCUUGACUGACUUUCAAUCGUUUCAUUGUUGAGUCUUCUAGAUAUUGUAUUUGUUUUUUUUUUUCAAACUUUCUGUAAAACACAAAUAUCUUUGUUAUGAGUUACUCCAUCAGUGUAUUUUAGUUUUACAUAUUUUUUAAGUUGUCAAUAACUAGCAAUUUUCUUCAUUGGAGCUUCUUUUUCAACCAUUUCUUCUAAUUUUCAGGUAUUUCUUUUUGGAAUAAUGACAAGGAAGCAGAAGUGUUACGCCUUGGAUAUGUAUGUCCGUUGUCCUCCCUUUCUUCUGCUAAACUUUUCUAUUUACAUGUUUUCUCAGGCUCAUCCUCUAUGAUAGAAUCACAGACCUCAUGGUAAAAUAAAAUAGUAAAAUAUUAUUGCUUAUACAUUCGGUGUAAAGGUAUAAUUUUAACGCCUCAAAAAGGCAACAAGAUUAAAGUUCUCUUCUCUGUUCAAUUAAAUACUUGGUUAAAGAAUGCUUGACUGCACUCUGAGUGAUCAAUAUCUGUGUCAUUCUGUCUUAUAAUUUUACGUUUAAAGCCUAUGUCAGUCUGUGUUCCAGCUUGCGUUAGACUCAUUAAUUUAACCAUUGUCUGAAUAACCAGUUUAUUUUCUUUUUUCAGUGAAUUUCUUUUGCUUAUUCUCAUUUUUUUGAGAAAUGAAUAGAUUUGCAUGCUUAAAUUUUGAUUAUUAUUUCCGUCUGAUCCUCAAUUGUAGGUCAAACCCGAAGUGCUUAGCUGGUCUCCUCGGAUUAUUUUACUUCAUAACUUCUUGAGUUCAGAGGUUAGCUGUCCCUACUAAAUGCUGUUUUUCAUUAUUAAAAUGUUUCUUGAGGUCAAAUACCCGGCAAUUAACAGUACUUUUAAAGCAUUCUUCAGCUGAAUAAAAACUGCUGGUGGUGGCCAUAUGUAUGUAUUAAAAUUAUUUUAUCUUUACAGGAAUGUGAUUAUCUCAGGGCUAUAGCUCUCCCUCGCUUGCAUAUUUCAACUGUGGUUGAUACGAAAACUGGAAUGGUACAUUGGCAGUUUCUGUUGAAUUUCAAUUUGAUUGAUCAUAAUCAUCAAUACAUGCUACGGGAUGAGAUAGGGUUUAAGUUUCAUUAUGCCUAAGUGAAGUAUUGUCAGAUUCACCAUGGGAAAAUUUUAGUAUGUAUAAUGAAUUUGUCAUAAAAUACUAAAUGCCUUUUAGGAAGACAAUGUGCAUAUGCAUAUACAGGAGCUUGUUGUUUUGUUACAUUUGAACCUUCUAUAUUGUUGCAUUCUGUAUGCAACUACCUAACCAGCUCACUUUGUGACUGCGUUUUAAUUUCUUCUCUUUAAGAAUAAAUUAUAUUUUUGUAAACCACUAAAUGGUUUUUAUCUGAGGGUGGCAGGACCCUUCUCACAGAAAAUACCCAAUCCUGGGCUAGGAAAAAAUGAGUGAGAAGUUUUGAAACUUAAAAAAGAAGAAUUUUAUGCUUCAAAUGUAGAGCUUAAGUGAAGGGCUGUAUUUUAAGAUUAAAAGAAUUUUCUGUUGAUUUCACACAAUGGUCAAAUAGGUUAAAAACCACUAGAAGGAAACAAUUUAUCCUAAAAUUGCUUUUUGCUUUGCUUUCCUAUUAUACCAAUUUUCUGCUUAUCUGUGACAUCAUUUAUGUGUUACAUAUAAAACCACUUCAAGGAAUUUCGCUAAACACCUUGAAGAAAUAAAGAAAAGUUGUUAAGAUUAUAAACAGCUUUUGUUGAUUUCACACACUGGCUAAUAGGCUCCUAUAUCAUUCUUAGAAUAAGUUGAUUUUAUAUUCAGUGGUGGAUGUUGACCAAUAAUUUUGGGGAGACCAAAAUAAUAUAUUUAAACUAAGCAUAGUUUUAAUUUUUAAUCUCCAUGCAAAGCCGCUAGAGUCCAUUCUCCACACGUUGCAUAAUUGGAUUAAGAAGAAAAGGAAAUCCAUUUUAAAAUUAGUGUGGACACGUGGAAGUAGUAGGAUAUGGGGUCAUUUUCAUCUAUGAACAUGUAUUUCUUCAUUAAAUGUGAUAUUUCUGUCCAUAGGGAAUCAAGAGUGAAGUCAGAACCAGCUCUGGUAUGUUUUUGAAUCCUCAAGAGAGAAAAUAUCCUAUGGUACAAGUAAGUUAGCAAUUUUACUCUCCCCUCAAGUCUUUUACUUCAGUCAUUAAAGCAGUGUAAAAAACAUGGAGUGCACCAUCUGGUGUGACCAUAUUUUAUUGAGUAACUUUAACUGUACAGUCUGAUAAAAUAUGUUCACCUUGCUCAUCUAGGCAAUUGAAAAAAGAAUCUCUGUCUAUUCUCAAAUACCAGUUGAGAAUGGUGAGCUUAUGCAAGUCCUGAGGUGAGAAUAUGACUUAUUUUUUCUCUCUAUAUCUGAACAUGAGUGGGUUUGCUAGUAUUAAGGCUAACAUUUGCAGCAGCACAGGUACGAGAAGAAUCAAUAUUACAAACCUCAUCAUGACUAUUUUUCUGACACCGUAAGUUGUAUUUGCUCUUUUUUAAUUUUCAAAUUAUAGUCAACAUGCGAAUUUCCUUGAAGUGGCUUCUAUGAAACCCCAUUUGCAAUCUGUUAUGCCUUUUUUUUUUCGAGACAGUUCAACUUGAAGCGUGGUGGGCAGCGAAUAGCCACAAUGCUUAUGUAUUUGAGUGACAAUGUUGAAGGAGGAGAAACAUAUUUCCCAUCAGUAAGCUUCUUGUUUUCUGAAAUUUGUUAUUUAACUUAUUUUGGUAGUUGUUGUAUACUUUUUUUUGGAUUUUAUCUUUACCAUGGGAAAUAUGCUCAAUUUGUAACAUGCUACUACUAGCUAUCUAUUCGGUGUUAUGUGUUGGCUGUUAUAUCUGUCACUCAAAUUGGACAUUUUGACUAUAGUGAUGCUGUUGUUUAUAAUAAUACAAUAUGAUUCAGGCUGGUUCCGGUGAAUGUAGCUGUGGUGGGAAACUUGUCAAAGGGCUAUCUGUCAAACCAACUAAAGGAAAUGCGGUGCUUUUCUGGAGUAUGGUUAGUGCAAUUAAUUUGCUUAUUAUGGACGGUAUCCGUGUUAAUUAUGAAAUAGGAACAUCUAUUUCCUUAAUUGUUCUAGUACUUUUACGUGUCUUGAAGAUUGUGCUUUUUGGCCCCAGAGAUAGAAUAUAUAUCUUUGAUCAUCUGCAAGUGCAUGUGUCUUAACAAGUCAUAGAAUGACGAGUGGGGUACUGUUUCCCAAAGAUUGAUAAAGAGUCAAUUUUAUCUAAUAACCAAUUACUGCAGUACAAAACUACCAAACAAAUUAGUAUAAGCAUAAGAAGCAAAGAGUAACCAAAAAGUUUAAGUGAUAAAUUCAAGAAUACAAGAAUUAAUCCACUUUUUCUAUGUAGAAACAGUAUGUUUUACCCUUUUACCCAUUGGAAUACAUAUGCAAACACUGGUGCUUAAUAAGAUAAGCUUCUACCAUUACAUAUUGUUAAGAACCGGUGCUAGAUAGGAAGAACCAGUUUAAAAAUCAAGGGUAGAGAUGGCUUUAUAGGUUUUUAUAUAUAUAUUUUUUCAAUUUAUACUCAUCAUUAGGAUUUAGCUGGUUUAUGAAUUGGUACUUUUGUGAUAGAAAAUGUGAAUGGUGAAUGUAACUGUUAGUGUUGAUCUUGGCAGGGACUGGAUGGUCAAUCAGAUCCGAACAGUGUGCAUGGAGGAUGUGAGGUAAUGUCUGGGGAGAAGUGGUCAGCUACGAAGUGGAUGAGGCAGACCACUCACGUUUGAAAAAAAAAAAUAGCAAUUGGAUCUUGUCCUUAUAAAAGAAUAGUGAUUAAGAAUAGUUAUUGAUAUUAGAAAUAUUUGAUAGUGUUAAUCUUAAAUCAAUAAACUGCAGCACCGUAGUCUGAUAUUAUAGAUGCCCCAGGUAUGGUUUUACGGGGUUUCCAAAGAUAAAUACAUAUCCUCAUUUAUUCAACUUUCUGUUUUACAUUUCCUUUCUCACUCAGGUAAAGAUUUCAUUCAAAUAUUUGUAAAUGGACAAAUCUUUUGGCACUUGUAUUCUUUUUAUCCACCUUCAUGAUAUAAAUUUCACACUUUAAUGAAACCAAUCUUUAGAAUCUAACUAUCUCAUCAAACCAUUCUACACUCAACCAAUAAAAAAGAUCAGUGUAUAUGGAUUUUAUAGUUGUAAAAUCAACAAUUUUAUCAUACAUGUGUUCUGCGUUUAAUUUCACCAAACGUUAUUCUAUAUAGCCUUUGAAAUUUUGACGAGAAAAACUCAUUUUAACCAGUUUACACUUUUAAAUAAAUUGAAUUCAAAUUCUUAAGUCUUUUCAAUUUCUAAUUCCUAUUAUUUUUACUUAUCACUCAAAUUUACAUACACUUACAAAAAGGUUUUAUUUAAAAUUGAGUAAAUUAAAUGUUAAAUAUGGUAGGACAAUUUCUUCGCAAACUUGUCUUCAAAUUUUCCUCCUUAUUUUUAAAUUCACUCCUAAACUAUUAAGCAUUCCAUUAAUAACAAUAAUAUAGACAAAUAAAGCAGCUUAUCAGUAGUUUACUUAGAUUAGAAGUGUGUUUGUAUAUAUGUAUCUCCACCACUUACAACAAAAAUGUCACUCUUCCAUGCUCAAAACCAACGCCAUUCCGUUCAUAAUAAGAUAAAUGGAAUUGUAAAAAAAUAAUAAACUUUCUGAAUACAAGCCUAAAUCAAACCAUGAGAUGUUACGUAUCAGCAACUGUAUGCCCUUUUUUAUGUUUGCCCUUUAAACCAACACCCGCCUGGUACCCAUAGAGACAAAUACGCAGACCACCCUUUAUCAUCGCUUCAUAAAAAUAGUUCUUGAAAACCUCCAUGAAUUCAUCCCUGUCACAGUACCAUCAUCAUCAGCUUCUAAAUUUAUGCAAAAUCUUACAAGAGAGACCACACCGCUACUUUUAACAAAUAUAAAUUGUUUAUGUAUAUAGAUAGAACCCAUGACCAACCUGACUUGUGGAAGGGUCAACAACGAAUACCCCUUUACAUCAGGAUGCAUAUCUAGCACCAGUACUUGCAACCUUGAAAGGUCUAACGCCUCAGCAUCAAUUAGCUUCUUUAUCCUGAAAUUGCGUAUCACAAUAAUUACGUCACCAAAAGUUUAACAAAAGGUAUAUCUAAUCAGAUGUUUGGUCAGAAAGAACAAUUUUCUUUAGUAGAAGGACGUGGGAUCACCAACCUGCUUGGAGUGCCGCUAGCAAUGUUAACACGGUUUUUUAACAAAGAAAUCUGCAUUGAUCAUAAAACAAAAUCAAUGGAGCAAUGCUUCCACGAAGAAGAAUAAGAAGAAUCACAAUUUAUAACAUGAACCAAGGGAAGGAAAAAUCAUGCAGCGGUGAAGAACAAAACAUUAAAUUUAAAUGCACAGAAGUAAAUUCACUUUUUUAGAGUCCAAGAAAAGGGGUUUAGAUUUCAAGUUUUUAAAAUUAAAAACGGAGUAAUUUGGUCCCUCAGCCGCAUGCCGAUGAAUUUUUGUCUGGUUUCACAACUGGUACAAGUUGAAGUGGAAGGAUGCAGAAAACAAGAGAGAGCAGAAGUAAUGCAUAGUUGAAUUGACAAAAUCAUUAUACUUGUCCUAUCAAACCAGAGCCAUAGCUCCCACAAUAUGCUACUCUCAGUCACAGAAACACAGAAACACAAGUUAUCUUGCCCGUAAAAUUUGUAAAUAAGUGAGUGAGUGUUUGACGAAAAUGAAAAUCAACAAAUAAAUGAAGGUUAAGAGCACAGAACAGAAAGACAGUUGAAUGAGUUGAUGGUGAUUGGUUUAGGGUUUGUUAGGGUUUAGGGUUGUACCUGUUCCGGAAGCUUAACGUGCUUGGCGAAUAGCUUUGCAGCGUGGCAUUGUUUAGUGAAAGAGCGAAAGCCCCUGCAGAACGAAAUUAGGGUUUUAGCAUGUAAAAGGAAUUAUAAAGGGAGAUAACGAGAGAGAGAGAGAGAGAGAGAGAGAGAGAGAGAGAGAAGAAGAAGAACCUGAGAAGGUCUAUGCAUCUUAGGGCAGAGGAAGUCACGAUCAGAACCGCGGGACUUCCGGCGUUAACUUUUCCCUCAACCACACUCCCUUCGCAGAGAUGCUCCCUCCAUGCGCCGCCAAACGCCGCCUUAACAGUUUUCCCCAAUGUUUGGACAUCACACUGAUUUGGUACCUCCAGAAUGCAGUCUUCUCUGAGAGACUCCAACUCCAGCGAUGAAAGCUGAAGACCCAUCGCCGACUCAAGGACGCGCAAAGGCUCCGACGAAGGUUCAUCGGACUUCUCUUCUUCCACCUCUUUCGCCUCCUCCUUCUUCUUCUUCUUCUUCUUCCCAAUAUCACACUCAGUUUUUCUCUUUCUCUUUUCCGACGCCAUUCCAACCUUUCUCUCCUCUUCUUCUUUCUCUCAGCCCUAUAUAUAUUAUUAUUCACCUUUCUUUUUCACACACUUUUUUUUAUCUUUCCCAACCCCUAAUUUUCAUUAUGGGCCCAAUCAACAUUAUUACUAAUCAAACUCCUCCUUUUUUUUCUUAUAAAAACAAUACAAUUGAAUCCAACACAAAAUAAAUUAUUAUAUACACAAUUACUCUCUUUUAUCUUCAUUUCGAAAAUAAAUUAUACGGAACAUUAUUUUUCAGUUAUAUAUUAUACAGCAUCAAUCAUUAGAAACAGUUAUAUAUUGCAACUAUAUUAUUCUUUAUACAUUUAUAUUAUAUAAGCAGAUGAACAUUUAUCCAUAAUAGUCAACGUUCUUUAAAAAUAUUUAUAUGUUGUUUUGAUAUUUAAUAAUUAAUUUUAUGAGAAUUUUUAAAUUCAAUUAAUUAAAUUGUGAAUUAAUUUUAUUAUAUAUAUAUAUUAAAACGGUAUGGGGAAAAUAUUACAUUAUUUGCAGUUAAUUAUUCAAAUAAAUUAUUAUUUUUUUAAAUAUUUUUAUAAUAUAAUUUCCAAUUUUACAAAAUAAAAGUUUAUAAUUAAUCAUCUUUCAAUUUUUAUUAUAUUAAUUCUUAUUAAAUUUUAAUUAAGAAUAUAAUUCAAUUAAUUAAUUUUUUAUUUUGUCAGAUCAAUCUCAUCAACUAUAAUUUAUUUGUUUAUUUUUCUUUUCACUUCCUCUUCCAUCUAAAUAUUUAAAAAAAAAAAAAUCAUAAAACUCAAAACUACACAAUAUCUUAAAUGCUAAAAUGUUUAGGAGGAGGGAGAGUUGAGGUAAGGAUAUAAUAGUAAAUUAAUGUGAAUUUUAUUUUGUCAACUUUUGUGUGUGAAAGUGAUGGUUGUUUUAAAAAUCAAAACAAUCUCUUGUAAUGGGAUCAAAUUGAUGAUUGUUCAACAAGGGAUGUAAGUGGACAAAAAGAUAAACAACUACCCCAUGUUUGCAUAGCUCAUGAUAGUGCCCAUCUAUCAAUAUCUGAAUUACAAAUUAUUUAGAGCAACACAAAGAGAACAACUUUAUUAGAUGCAGAUAUGAUUCUUCAAAAAGAAAGAGAGGGGGAACUAUACCAUGUUUUUCUUUUCUCAGAAAUCUCACAUGGAAUAAAAAUUAACAAUCAUACUGAUAAGAAAUUUCUGUACAAAUUAAAGUUGACUUGUAUAAUAUUCUUAAAAUAAGAAUUGAGAUAUGAUAUAUGAAAAAAAUUAUAAAUUAAUUUUAUCUGAUGAAAAUAUCUUCGUGUACUUCAAAACAGAGAUCCCACUGAAGUUACCUUUCAGAACUUUUAGGCAAUGAAUCAUUCCUUUUUCGGCAGAAGAUGUCACAGAUAAAAAUAGUCAUUGCAUACAGAAGAAAAUAACUCUAAAACAUUUUUCUAACAUGAAUGUACAAUUUUUCUUUGACAUUGGUUAUAAACUUCUACAGUAAUUCAUCAAACAUAAAAAUGAACCGAAACAAAAUAGAUUUCAUUCCUAAUUGGAUCAAUUUUAGAACAGGAUUGGAAGUAUCAUUCUCUAAUUCAUCCCAUUCUCACUUCUAUUAUGGUUCUGAUUCCAAAAAUUAAAUUAAUCACUCAUUGUACCAUACUUACCCAGACAAAGGAAUAAACAACCUCCAAAGAAAAUCAACCUGGACUUUAAAAGGCAAUUCUUGAAGAAAACGAACAAAUUUUCCUAGACUACCAUAUUACAACAUACACUGUACAAUUGUAGAAUUGACAAUCUACAGCGUCCGUUUCCUUCAUUAUUCAUUUAAGUUGGUUGGUACAAAAUCAGUUUUCCUGCUUUGUCAUCAAAACCUUGACUUCUACGCACGUUUGCAUAGAAUCUGGUAAAACAAAAUAAGUUAUUUGCUUUGUGCGCAUCCGCAACUGCAAUUCUCAAGUUCUUUGUGAAGCUUCUGAAAGAGGGUAAAAAAAAUUUGUUAUCAAAACCAGCAGUUAACUAAUGCCUGAAUUAUUCUGUGCAAUUCUUAUCCUUCAUAAGUAAAAUUCUUUAUAAUACAGAUAAGUAAUACAAUUCAGGAAUCAUGAUUAAGGAGACAACAAUCUACUCAGUUAGGAAACUCAACGUGACUUUUCACAUCCAGUCCUUUCUUAUUCUACUUUAAAAAAAAUUACAGCUUCAACUUAGCUUGUACUUGGAGUGCGACAGAAAUAUCAUAUUGAUAAAACAAAAUUACAAAAUUAUACAAGUUAUGAAGGUUGGUUGUAUGAAUAUAAUUUUCAAUAAAGGAUGAUGCUACACAUAAAUAAAUUAUGUACAGAUAAAUAUUGAUUAAGAGGAGUAAUGUAAUAGAAAGAGAUAAAGUAAUAGUAAAUAUUGGAUUUUGAAGUGAUUCUAACUAAGAUGUCAGCCUAAUGUCUAUCUAAAAUGUCAAAAUUUAUAGUGAUGUUUAAUAUGACUUUUUUUUUAUAAAAAAAAUAAUAGUAAAUAACAAACAAUUAGUCAAAAGGACUAAACCUCUAUAGUAAGACGGUUCAUGAAAUUAAUAAAAUAGCAAUUUUAUCCCUGAAAAUGUACAUUAUCUAUAAAUUUAGUCUUCCAAAUUGUAAUAGAAGGUAAAACUAAUUCUUGAAAUAAAUAAAAUGAAAAGUCCUUAAAAUUUUAAAUUACCAAUCAAUUUAGUCUUUCAAAUUGUAUAAGAUAAACCCAACCUUAUGCUUAAAUUCAUUUUUUACCCUUAUCUAGGUUUAUAUUUCGCUAGUAAAUUAAAAAGAAUUAAGUACAAUUAAAUAUCUAUACUUAGGAGUUGAUUUGUUUUACCAUUAUAAUUUUAAAGACUAGAUUAAUUGGUAAUUAAUUUUUAAGGAUCAUACUAUCUUUUAUCUUUCACAUAUCAAUUUGACCAUCUAUUAUGUUUUAAAGGACUAAAUUGAUAAAUGUACAAUUUCAAGGACUGGCUUACUAUUUUAUUCUAUUACUUUUAAAGAACAAUUUAAAAGAUUAUUACCGUUUUAAAUAAUGCAUUAGUAGUCUCCUCUUGUAAAAAGUGUAGUAAAGGCUUGUUGUUAGUGUAUUACAGCUUAUGGUAAAUAUAAAAUAUUACAGUGCCCAGUAUGCAACAAAAAGAUCAUUAUGCGAGGUUAUCCUUGAUGAAACCAGCUGGCUGACAUACACAUUCUGUUUUAAGUGUACACUUAACUAUCAAUGAACAUUGACAUUGCACACUGGGUAUUGACUAUAGCAAGUUAAUACCAUUGAGAUUGCAAAGAUUAGCACCGUCACAAUUUUGUCUUUGUCUUUGGUCUUGACUCCCAAAUGAAGACUUUUCAAGGCAACUUUUGACAGAGUCACUUCAACGUCGACAAUCUUCGAAUGUAGUAGUGAUCCAAACGAUGUUCAAGGACUUAGAGGUCCGAACAGCAAGGGAAGUUAAAACUAGUUUACCAUGUUCCAUUGCCCCUCGUAAAAAGACAAAGUUGUUGAAGUUUGUAUAACUAUCCAAGGAAAGAAAGUGACUGUCUGAAUCCUAUUGGAGCAAUAGUGCGAUUCCGGCAGCUUUGGAGAAGGGAGAAGAGUUAAGGGGUUGAGACUGGGAUUAUUGGCUCCGGGGAUGGAAAACUAUUAAUUCUGACAACUUGUAUAAGACGUGUUGCACGCGCAAGACAUGGAAGAAUGGAGAAUAACUCAGGUAGUCAGAAGCAUUAGCCCUAGCCAAGGUAGAAGAGAGAGUAUGAAGUUGGGCUAUAAUGAUUUUGUUGUGUUCCUUUGCAAUCAGAAACUUUGUUUAUUUAAGAUAUGGUUUAUGUUAGUUGAUUUAGUAUGUUAUAGAAGGCAGUGGUGAUUGGCUGACGGGUUAAUGAUGAUGGCUAGAGGUAUUUGGCUUGCCAGUGUGGAAAGGUGCUUACCACGUGAAAAAAAAGAGCGUUGUUUGAAGUGGCCAGAUAGCAUGGCAAGCUCAAGGGAAGACAGUAACAUUGCCCUAUAUCAACAAGUUGUUUGUUUUUCAAGAGCUUACGCACGUUUUAUUCCUAAGCUUGAUAUUGCACUAUUUUUCCAUCAGCAGCCGAGGAAUCUCCAGGCCUCACAACCAUUACCAAUUUUUUUGGAUUCUACAGGGAAAUUAAUUGGUGGAGACGUCUGAUAUGAAAUUCCUACGACGAAGAAAUUGGGGAUGCAUUUGGUCAUGUAUGUUGGGACGAUUUAUCAGACAGAAAGUGGCCCUCUCUCGCAUUUCAGUCAAGGGGUCAGAUUUAUGUUUGAUACGCACAGGUUAAAGCAUUCAGUGUUUCUGCCUUCUAAUGGGCUCUAGAACUUGUUAAUACGCUACAUUUUCCUCUAGCAAUUAAUUUAUAGAUUACUUAAUUUGAAUAUUUCUUCUAAAAGUAACAACAACUCCACUAAGAUCCCAUCAAUAGUUCAGAUUCAUCCAGUAAUUAGCAUUUAAUGAAGGACAAGUUCACUUAAUACUCCUCAUCCACAAGGGGUUGGUAAAAAGCCUAACACCACAAUAGAGAUAGACAUAUAAUCUGAAUAGCAGAUUCAUAUAUCGGAAGCAUUUAAUUCAUAAUUCAUGAACAGGCAUGGGAGUGAAAAGUAUUGGAGAGGGAAGGGUAGUUUUACAGACCUGAACCUGUGUUUGAAGACCUUUAAUAUGCUGAACGGCCAAAUCAAGCAUGUCUGCAUAGCUUGUUUGCUACAACGAAUAUUGAAACAAGAUUAAGAGAUAAGUAAGAGAGAGUGGUUUGACAUAGCAAAAGAAGGAGGCAGAAAUAGAAACAAUACCUUAUCCAUAUUAGGUACAAGGUCCUGCAAUUUCUUGAGCUUUCCACUUAUUCUGGUUCUUCUCUCCUGCGUGUUGAAUUGGACGGAAUUGAAUAGAAGAAGGAGGAAUGAAUGAGAGUGAAAAAGGUAGGAGUAGGUGAGUAAUUACCCGCUCUGCAAUGCUGCGGGGAUGAGUAGCGCAGCCUCGCUUAGCGCGGAUUUUGCAAGGGACGGAAUCUUCAGGAAUGUGCAGGAGCUUCUCAACCGUCGCCAUUUCGAGAGUGGUCUGAGGAAGACUGAACUGAGACUCCAAGGCGUUGAGGCAAUGGAGAAUGUCUUGAUCGGCGGAGUUGGAGUUUUUGGAGCGCUUCGGCGGGGGAGUGGAAAAGGCGAUGGAAUUGGAAUGAGAAUGAGAACCGUCCCACGGCUCCAUUCCGAAGCCGGCAUGGUCGCCGAGCACCAAAUUGUUACUGUUAUCGCCGCCACACAGAGAUUCUUGGCAGUGACCCGUGAAGCUCAACUGCGACUUCAACCGAGAGCCCCGCGUGAUGGUGAACCCCGCGCCUGCGUCGCGUUCGGCAAAAAUCAACCACGUGGACAGACAACUGGGCCGGGCCCGCGUGGGCCCGGCCCAAAAGGAUCAUUUAGAGUAAUAAUAAUAAUAAUAAUUCAGGAAGAGUAAGUUAGUUACCAUUGAGCGUGUGGUUGUGGUUAUGGUUGGUGGUGGCGGCGGCGAGGUGGGAGAGGAAGCCGGCGGGAGAGCUUUUUUGACGGAGUAAGGCGGAUCCGAGGGCGUGGUUGUGAUACGAUGUUUGGUCCUUGCUGGUGGAGUCGGGAGAGUCUCCUCCGGAAUAGUAAGGGGUGGGGUUGGGGCGUGAUCCUCCGAUGAGGGCGUCGACGGUGGUGGUGAGGAGAGAGCCGGGAGCGGAGCCGUAGCGCGUGAGGCCGGUAGGCGCGUGGCUCAUGGAUUGAGAGGAGGAGGAGGAGGAAGAGGAGGAGGAGGAGGGAUACAUGGAGGAGAAAGCAGAAGAAAGCAGAAGAAGAAGGUUUGGUUUGGUUGGGUUAGAAAAAGAAGGUGCAAUAAGCAAUUUAGAUAGAGAUAGAUGCGAUGGCAUUGGUGGGUGUAUGCCACUUGUGGAAUACUUUAAGGCUGCAUCAGCAUUCUGCAAUUGUAUUGGCUCAGUGCCAUUUGGGUCACGUGCCACUUUUUUUUCAACCACGUCCCCAUUCAUGGAAUCAGAAUCUUUUCAUUCCUUCUCCCUUCUUUUUUUUUCUCAAUCUUUAUAUUUCGAAUCAAUGGAUGAUUUGAAUUCUGAUUGCUGCACUUAACGGGUACGGGUUCGGGUACGGAUACGGGUACGGGUAUGGGUUUCGCUCUCAGAAACCUGAGAUGGUUGAGCUUGGUGGUCGGAGUUUCCAACAUGGCGGUGCUUCUCAUGGGUGCCUUCCUCAUCUUCCAAAUUCACCUCCUCUGCCAAGGCCGCUUCGCCGUUCCAUUCCUCCUCGUCUCCCUCGCCGCUCCCAUUAGGGUUGUGGUCAUGUUCCACACCGCAUUCGCCCAGCAAGCCGCUGCCACCCUCAUUCUUCAGGACUCCAACGAUCUCCUCACGCGCUUCCGCAGACGGGUGGGUAAUCCCAUCUCCUCCUCUUUUUUUCAAUCUUCAUUUUCUCAUCAAUCAAUCAACAGGCCAUGUACAAGAAAUGGCUCUGCUGGAGUCGAUCUUCCGCCGUCGUUAUCGUCCUUCAAUUUCUCCUUGCGCUUUACCUUGUUCUCCACUCUAUGCGCCAUUUCACCUCCAACAAUCAUUGUCUUUUAGGUAGGUGAGUCAGUUCAGGAACCCACUCUUCUCCAUCCUUCUUUCAGCCCGUUCAUCCUUCAAUCUUAACCAUUCAAAUGCAGAUUCCCCGUGGAACAGCACCUGUUUAUCCGUAUUCAUCAUCCUCGUCUCUUUCGUUGCCGUACUCCAGUGCUUCACGGGAUCCGAUGUUAUCAAAUGGAGGUCUUUCUAUGAAACCCAUGAUCACGCUUGGAAAUGCCACUAUGUCGAGGUCUUCGAUAAUGGCAUACGUGAGACCUUGUGUUGUCUGGGCCGGGUCAAAUAUUUGUAUACACCUAUUACUUGACCUUACCUACGCACAAUGUUUAUCACUCUAUCUUACCUCUGCUCCUUUUAUAACUAACACAGGGGUGCAGCCGAAGAAGAUGAAGUCUAUUCAGUUGCACGAUUACUGGGUGAUCUUGUUGCUUAUCGUGCUUCCGGAACUGGCCAUUUGGAACUCUUGGCAGGUUUCUUCUAAUUUUUUAUCUCAAACUUGUUGCCUUUUUAUGCUUUAUAUGUCAUACAAUUAGGAUGACGUGGCAUAUUAGUGCAAUAAUGUUGACCCCGCCAAUUUUUCAUUAGGAAUACAGCCUGAACCAAUUUAGUUUCACCUGCAUGUUAGCUCUUUGUAAUUUUAUGACAUUGAGUUUUUGUUGUUCAGCUUUAGCUUUACUUCAAAGCCAUGAAAAAUCUACAGAAUCCUAUGAAGGAUCCAUGGAAGCGCCAGAGAUGCGAAUUAGGGAGGCUGAAGCUCUUCAUAAAUUUGCUGAAGCUGCAUACACAGUAUUACUAUAAUAAACUAAUUCUAAAUUAAUGUUUUGUUUUUACUAAAUUGUUUUGAGCAUUUAUUUUGCAUUCAAUGAUGAAUACAGGGUCCAUUGCUUGAUGUUGGACGAAAUCCAUUAUUAUUUCCUUGUGCGUGGCUGUAUAGACAAGGGAUUUUGUCUCCUUGGACCCGAAACAGGUGGCAUUUUGUUUCGAUAUUCUGUUUUAAGGUCUUUAUAAUCGAAUUCUUACUUUGUCAGUAGCACGAGCUUUUUAAUGUGAGUGCUAUUGGUUGAGUAUUAUACCUUUGAGGUCAAGGUGGUCUUGAUACUUGUUCUUUGUUGUAACUUCGAAAUGAUAUAUAAACUUCAAACUGUAUAUUGCUUAUCAAUGCAAGGUGUGUGGAGGGUUGUACUUUCUCCGGUUUGACUGAUCCUCAAGUUUUUCCUUUCCAUUCAGUGUCUCUAAAGUGAUGCUUUCCCCUCAUCUUUAUAGCUUUUUCCUUAUCUCUGUUGAUAUUUCUUUCAUCUUAAGAAAUGAAAAAAAUUAUUAUUUCCUUGUAGUUUGAUUUAUUAAAUUGAUACAAAAUAUGAUGUAUCCAAAUAUGUUAGCUUGCUAGAAAAGUUUAAGUUCGUAUGAACCGUUGUGUACUCAUUUUGUUUAUUGGAAAUUUUGAUAGAAGAGUCAAAAUUGUGUUUCUUGAUUUUAGUUCUGGGAAGGGAGUCACUUCCACUUUUGAGGUCUAUGAUUUUUUUGUGCCUUGCAACGUUGAACAAUUUCAUGAAUCAUGAAACAAAAACAUUAUAGUCAAAGUUCUUAUGUUAGUGGUGAAUCUUCAACAACAAAGUAAAUGUGAAGAACGAAGAAUAGUGAAUGACUGAAUUGGGAAAGGAGAGGCUAAAAGAAUAUGCGAACAAAAGAAGAAAUGGCUGAUGAUGUACUUGCUUUUACUCAAUUACCACUGUGCAUGCCCGAGUGUUUACAAUAGAAGUUUCUGAAUGGUUGUUGAUAUUUUUAUUUAGAACUUAUUGGCGCUCAGGCAUAUUGAUUUAUAUAUCUUUGGUUUUCCUGUAUUCUGUGUCUCCAUGUCUCCCUUUCCGUUACAUCUUUUUCAACUUACAAAUUAAAAAGUUUCAUCUUCGACAUUGUGAUUUCAUGUUCCUGUUUCUUAUCUUCUUAGACGACCUGUAUUGGAUGGUGAUAACUGGUGGCGAGGUCAUGCUGCGGCCUUUCUAAAGUACAUCAAUUUGCCUCCAGAAGUGCUUAGACAUGGACGAGUCAGCCAGGUUAGACGUGGAAACGAAUAAAGUUCUGUACAAAAACAUUUUAAUAAAGUAUAGAGGGCAAGAUGGACAUGAAUAUCUGUAAUAAUAAAUAACAUUGUCUAAAAUAUGUUGCCUCCAUUUAUGUUGUAAUUUUAGUUACGGGAGCCCAUCAUCAAUAACAGAAUACUCACCAAAAAAGGUAGAUGUCACGAACCAACAAUAGUAUGAUUAUUUUGUUUAGUUUGAUCAUGUGAUCGAUGGAGAAUUUUCAGAACUUCAAUUUAUUUUAAAAUUUCCUUUCCAAACUAUAUAUUUUGUCAUUAAACAUUCAAAAUUUUAUAUAAAGUUGAAUUACCCUCUAAAUAUCCUCAUCCAAACACACUAUUAGGUUUUGUUAAAAUCAAGGAAGGGAAGACUUUAUAGCAAAUUAUGUCCUCUAUUUUGUGUUAAGCCCAUUCCCUCUCCAAAGCCGUUUCCCUUAAUAUAUAUUGAAGUCAGCACGCUCGUUUGUGUGUUUGCUAAGCAUGAUAUUGUAUAUGCUAUUUUUUUGGUCAUUUAUCUUUCCUCCAUUCAAAUAUCUCUAAUCUCUCAAAGUGUGUAAAAUAAAUUCGAUUGAGAGUGGCUUUUUGGAGCAUACUCGAUCUUCUUUUGCAAUCUUAGUUUAAGAAAGCUUGCUCAUUAGGCUAGUCAUAUCUCAUUUAUUGAAUGCAAUGUUUCUUUGUAAAGUGGGUUUUUACUUUUUAACAUACUAAUUUGAUAAAUAUGAACAUAACAAAUGAACUGGUAAGUAUAGAUUUAUUUAUGAACUUAUGUAGAUUUUGGUUUGAUCAGGGGGCUACUUUACGUACAAUGUAAACUGACUGACUACCCCAUUUUUCUUUUCAUUUGAACUCAUCAGUCUAUGUCCUUGUAUUUUGAUUCCUAAUGGUUGUAAAUUUUUAAUUUUAAAAUGUGGCGAAACUCAGCUCUAUCCAACUUGAGAUGAUAAUAUACUAAAUUUAUGUAUGAUUUAUGAAUAUUUCUGUUUUUAUACUAUACUGGCUUAAUUUAUAUUUAAUUAUUUAGAUACCCAUGCCAGGUCAAGUGUCAAGCUGCAUAUUUUGUUGUGGUUCUACAUCAUCUACAAACUGUAGUAAUUGCUAUACGUGGAACUGAAACCCCAGAGGACCUAAUAACUGAUGGGUUAUGCAAGGAAUGCUCCCUUUCUGUAGAUGACUUGGCUGGCUUGAUCAAGUAUUUUUCAUUCUUCCUCCUUUUGUCCCCUCUGAGCAUUUUCACAAACAAGUAGAUAACCCUAGGGUGGUGGUGAAACGUUGCUAAGAAUUCCCAAUUAAUUCAAUUCAUUGAUAAAAUUCACACAGGUUGUAAACAUUGUAAUACACUAGUACCUACAGCUCAUAACACAUAUACUGAAUGUACAUACAAGGUUUCCUUGAAAAGGUGACGGGGUGAAAGAGUCCAAUAACAAUUGCUUUCAACUUUCUUUUUAAUGUCAGUUUAUCAGCAUCUAUCCUUAUAUCCUGUUUGGGUUAUGAUAGAAAGAUGAUUACUUUGUUGGCAAAUGCUGUGUUGUUGAAUAGUACAUGUAUACCGAUGCUAAUGAGUAAUGACAUCCCUAUUAGUUAUAAACUGUUUAUAAACAAAGGCUAAUGAGUAAUGACAUCCCUAUUGAGUUACUUUUAUCUGCAGAAAUCAUCUUCUCUAUAUACCUUAUAGUUUCAGUUCCAAUGUGUAAUAGUUUUAUAUGGGCCAAGCUGUAUAGAUCCUUUCUAUGGUCCAACACAAUAUUCUGGUCCCUCACUUCAAUAUUUUAUGUUCUGUUUGCAGUUGCAACUACAUUCAUUAUGAUAUAAAGAAAAAUGUGGCUUCAUCAUUCCCCCACUAUGGGCAUUCAGGCAUAGUUGAAACUGCACGAGAGCUUUUUAUGCAGAUUGAAGGAAAUCCUGAAAGGCCUGGUAAGAAAUACUUCAGGUUUUUUAAACUCGUGGUUCUUUGUUCUGGAGAGUUGGUCAUAUCAAACUGUUUCUUCUUCCUCUUUCCUACGCCAUUGAGGUAAUUAAGUAGGAAGCUGGGUAAGGAAUAAAAAGGGGAAAGUUUUUAUUGGGAUGCAUAAAAAUGCGUUCUCUUAUGUUUUUCUAGUACAUUCUCACAUGAUUUGUUAUAAAAACUUUUUUCUUUUAAUUCCUUAAGCAGUGUCCUUCCGCCACAUGUUAGCAAGACCCAUUAAGUAAAACAUAAUACCUUUUAUCAGUUCAAUGUAUGGAACUGAAAUUGUAUUUAAUUUAAAAGCAUUUGACUUGAUGACAUAAAAUAAAUUUCAUUUCUGACAAAAAUUGUUUUCGAAGUGGAAAUGCAGACUCUGAAUCCUAUGGACUUCUUUCUAAAUUACUGGGAUUUGGUUGUGAAUGCUUUGGGUAUAAUGUGCGGAUAGUUGGGCAUUCACUUGGGGGUGCUAUAGCGGCAUUGCUUGGAGUGCAAGUAUGACAUUUCUCACUUAAAUAGGAAUAGUUACUUAAUGUUCUUCUUUAGUAAACAUAAUUUGCUAUUUUGAUUGCUUCAGAGAACUAGGUAUUCAUUGAAAGUCUAUUAUGAAAAAAAAAAAUAUAGGCAAAACGAAUAUUCCUUGCUUCCUUAGGAAAUACAGAUUGUAGAUGCAAAUUUGAAGCUGGCUCGAGGUCACAAGCAUGGGAUUGAAUUCUGGCCUUAUCACAAUCUGCAAAUUCUCAAUUUCUGAAUCUUAAUGAGAUGUUACUCAAAUACAAGAGUUGUUACAAUUAAAACUAAAACCAGCAUCCAUCGAAAAAGAUUUGACUAAACAAGAGAACAAAUUUGGUAAUCGGAAGUAGAAAAGUUAUGUGGAAUAUAUAAAAGAAUUUCAUCACUGAGAAGUCGAAAGACUUAAUCUAAGACAUGUACAAAUCUAGAAUGUCAAACAGAAGCAUAAUUAUAAGAAUUCAUAUUCUAAAAAGAAAAAACAGAGAAACAUAAUAAAUAAUUAUAUAAUAUUUAUAUUAUUUAAUUAUAUUUGAUUCUAAUACUCAUGUUAGAUAAGAUUAAGGUGUUGUUUCAAAACUCUUUAAGCAUUGAAAACUAUGAAGGACUAAAAAAAAAUCAUAAAUUGAAGAUUAUUUAAUAAACUCAUGCGAACAUUUAUUUAGUCAUUAAAUCACCAUUGUUUCCUCUUGUAUUGCAUCAUUUAUUUUUUAAAUGCAUAUAAUUUCCUUCAAGUUUUGAACAUGCAUUCAGCACUUUUAAAAUUUUCCAUGCACUGUUUUGUCUUUUUUUAUGCUGCCGUCUUUAAGCAUUUGAUUUUAUAGCACCAAAUAAAUUCUGGUCUUUUCCACAGCUUUAUAACCGCUACCCUAAUCUGCACGUUUAUUCAUAUGGGCCACUCCCUUGUCUGGAUUUAGUUGUGGCAGAUGCAUGCUCAGAAUUUGUGACAAGGUAAUUGUACUAGUAAAAUGUUUGAUUUUGGUUGACUCUCUUUUGGUAACACUUUUAGUUUCCUUUCUGCUUGCUUUUAUUCUUUAUGAUGCAGUAUCAUAUUUGGAAAUGAAUUUUCAUCACGCCUUUCAAUUGGAUCCGUCAUGCGGCUAAGGGCAGGCGCAAUCACAUCACUAUCACAAGAUCCUAAAGCAGAUAGUGCCAUGAUUUUAAGACUUGCUCGUAGGUUUCUAUACCUAAGCAAAUAUCAGAGAAAUAACUCCAAGGCUGAGAAUGAAUCCGAGUAUCAUUCAGGGGCCAUCAAGGAUGAUCUAAACCAUCAAAUCCGAAGAAGCCAGUGUGAAACUGAUAACAAAGGUGUCUUAUCUUUAAUAACAUAGUAGGCAUGUUGGAGAAUAAAUAUGUCACCCUAUGAGUGUGGGAAAUAGUGUGCAUUCUUCCAUGAUUCCUCGUACUCAGUUUGUGAAAGGUGCUUUUUCUAAAAAGAUUUUCAUCAUUGCAACAGGCAGCAUUGAACAAGAGACUCAGACAAUUAAAGGGGGUUUUGCUAUAGCCGACUAUGGUGAAUAUAUGUCUUUUGAUAGUGAAGAUUGCUUCGACAAUGAGCAUGAAGAAUGCUCACUUUGGUCUGAUGCCAGGGCAAGGGAUCAUUCUGUUGGAAUUGAUAAUGCCAAAUUUACAAAUGCUUUUGCUAAAGAUGCACGUUCAAUUGAUGAUCCAGUGUCUCGGUUUAUAGAUACUGUUCCAGAUUCUGAAAAUCCGUCUUCCAAUGAUCCCCCGGAGCUGUAUCUACCUGGUUUUGUGAUUCACAUUGUACUGGAGAAGAGAAGAUCACAAUCUGAUCUAAGGACGCAGGAGAGCGAUAAUUGUUAUAAAGCUUACGUUGCAGAUAGAGAAAACUUCAAAGAUAUUAUUGUUUCACCAUCUAUGUUCCUUGAUCAUCUUCCUUGGAGGUAAGACAAAUUACAACCACAACCUUUUCUCAUUUCUAAAUUAAUAUCUUUGACAAGUUCUUACCUGAGUGUUGGACUUGGCAGAUGUCAUGAUGCCUUGCGAAAGAUAUUGAAAUCUCAAACUGCUAAAGAUCAACUAACAGAACCUCACAUCAUCUGAUACAACUUACUGCCAUUCAACUUCAAACCAUCUAUACCAUUUUAGAAAAGAGUUAAAUGUUCUUAUUUAUAUAUACCAUAUAUAAUUUCUGCACUUACGAGCCACGACAAUAAUUAUAAGUGGCUAGUGUUAUUACAUGAUCUGAAAGGGUAAUGUAUCAUAAUUAAUUUAAUUAAAUAUUAGCUGUAUUAUAAUUAUUUCGAUUACUGAUAAAUAAAUUGCAUUCUGAUUUAAAAGGAAAUUUGUACCUAUAUAGUAUAGACACUGACAUGAAUACCGAUACGAACACGGAGAUACGUCUAAUUUCUAAAAUGUAAGACAAGAGAAUACGACUAAUUUCUAAAAUGUAGGAUAUAGAGACACGAACAUAUAUAUAUAUAUAUAUAUAUUAUAAUUAUGAAUUAUAUAAAUUGACAAUAAAGAUUUAUGUCCACAAGUAUAUUUUAGUUUUUUUAUGAAAGACGUUUCUUUUGACUAGUUCAAAAUAAUUUGUUCCUUAUUUUUAUAGUCAUAAUAAAAAUUUAUACAAUAAGUUUGAGUUUUUAAAAAAUUAAUGUAUUUUUCAUUUUUAAAAUUGUGUUAAAAUAUGUUAGAAUUGUCAAAAUUUUAAUAAAUAUUUUUUGAAUUAGACAUUUUAUUGAUACAUGUUUUAUAAGUGUCAGUGUUCGAUCUCACAAAUUUGUAAUGUAAUUAUUUUGACUACCAUUAAAAAUGGAGCUUAAAUUGUAUUGUAAUUAAUUUUAAUUUGAUUUCUAUUAAGAGAUAAAUUAUUACAAAAAUUACAAUGUUGAAUUAUAUAACAAUCUAUACUUAGAUACAAAAAUAACUUUUUUGACACUACAGGUAAGAAAAAUAAAACAAAAUUCAUUUUUUUUAUUAGUUUAUUCGCAAAUUGAUUUAAUUUGUAGUAGUUUUUCUAUAUAAUUUUGUUCGCAAACCUUGGUUCUUGACGACAAUAGAAGAGCAUAAGCAGUUUCUGGUUUGAAAGUUUCGUGAAUGUGACUCUGGUGUGCAUCAAGUGAAUUAGUUUUUCUUUAUCAAUAAAAAUAAAUGAAUAAAAUGAGGUAUUUAUGCGAUGUCCCAAUCUUUGUAAAAAAGUCCAAAAACAGGAAAAGAGAGUUAAAAAAGAAAGCAGUUAAGAAUCUAUGACACCAGCACUAGCACUGAUUUUUUAUAGCAAAUUAUGCAGCAGCUGCAUUCAGAAUUAUGCAGCAAGCAAAAUGCAUCCAACAAAUGAGCUAGUUAGUCCGUUGUGGCAGGAAGUGACUGUUGAAGUUGAGUACUUAGAAGCUUUAACCAGUUUUGAUGAGUAAAAUGAAGAGCUUUUGAGGUCGUACGUCUUCAGUUCAGUCUCUUAAAAUGUACUACUAUCAGUAUCCUGCAUGCUGUACCUUCAUCCAUGAUCAAUGAUCAGAAAAGGAGGAAAAAAAAAAGGUAUUACAUAGUCGUAUUCUCGUGAUUAGUGUAUAAAAAGUGAAAGCCUGAUUCAAUGAAAUCAAAUAUAUAUGUUCAAACCAAAUCUAAAGUGAGCCAAACUUUGGAGUGCCACUGUGUGGUUUUGACAAAGCAUGUCAGACAUCACGAUGAUGUCUUGUAGUUGAGCAGGCAUAGACCUUAAGAUUCUGUCUAUUCACAAAGUAACAUCUUUGGAGUAGCAUUAAUCAUACCAACCAAUAACAAUUCACUGUGGUGGUGGGGUUCAUGAUCCAAAUAUCAGAAUUGAAGAUGAUCACUACAAGAAAAGUGCAUGAGGCAAAGCAGUGAUUUAUAAAUAUGAGCACAUAAGCCACAUGUUUGGCCCUUAAACCAGUAAAGUUACAUUUUUAACUUGAUACCAAAUAUGCAGAUAGGUGAAUUUUGAAACUAUUAUUUACUCAAAAGUAUUAGGCCCCACAUGAAGAGUAGAAUUAAUUUUGUUUUGGGUGAUGCAAAGCUGCAUAAGAUCCGAAUAUAGCUUUUAUUGGGUGUGAUAGAAUGAUUUUAUCUGUUGUGGGAAAGCCAUCAUUUUCCACUUUUAUUGAACCUGCAAAUGUAGCAAUGAUUCAAGGGAAGCCAUGUAUGAAAAAUAACCAUGGCUUGUUCAUUUGUCUUCCUCAACUCCUCAAAAUUCUAAUCUCAAAUGCUCUUUGAUCACUUCAAAACUAUCUAGCUACACCAUUUUAUAUAUACUCACAAGAAACUUGGCAGAAUGAGUAAAUCCAGAUGAGAGGAAACAUAAUUUACCUUACUGAUAUGUUUGCUACAGUUUUAGCAAGUAGGGCCCUCUAAUAAAAACGUUUUCAAGACAAACUUGGCCACGUGAUGACUUUUCUUACCAACACUAUUUGACCAAUAAUUGUUCACAUGACAUUUUCUUGUAAUCCUAAUUUUGUUAAUGUUAAAAAAUUAUUAAAUACAAACUAAUUUUAAAAAUUAAAAUAAUUAAUUAUUAUAUUUAUUAAAUUAGAGAUUUAUUUAACAACUAAAAGAAUUUAUUUGUAUCUUAUCAAAAUUUUAACUAUUAACUAUUUUAUAUUCUAAAUUAGUUUUUAUUAAAAUCUAAAAUAUUAAUAACUUUGUUAAUUUAAAUACUAUUUUAUAAAUUUUUAUUAAUAAUAGAAAAUAUUUUAAAUACAAAUAUCUUUUUAGUUUUUAAAAUAAUAUCUGAUUUAAUUAAUAUAGUGAUUAAUUAUUUUUUAUCACUAAAUUUAAUUGUUAUUCAAUUAUUUUGUUGUGUCUACUUGUAUGUAGAUUUUAGAUGCAUGAGGUCAAAUUUGGUGAAUUGGAUAAGGUUUGAUGCUUGCUUGGAAGGUCACUUUCUCUUUAUUACUUUGUGUACUACAUGUUGUCAUUGAUUAUACAACCUCAUAUUUUAAUGUGUUAUAUACUAUCAUUGGUUGUUGUAUAAUACAAAACUCAUAUUCACCAUGCAAGCCUGCACUCAUUAACAUUCAAAGUAAGAAAACACUUUCUUGUUGUAGUGAUAAAACUGUAAGAUAAGAAAAUAAAACACUUUCAAUAAACAUGAGUUAGAAUAUUGGUUAGUUCCACACUAUGGCUGCGUCUAAGGUUAAAAAAGAGAGAUUUGUUGAAAGUAAAGUGAAGAGUGAAAUAGAGAAUUCAGUGUGAUUUUUGGAAUAAUCAGAAUAUGACAACUUGUUUCAUAACAUGUUGCUUUUCUAAGGAACUUCAUAAAUUGAUUGCUGUCCUUAUCUCCACUCUCGCAAACACAACUUUUGUAACACCACUGAAAAUUAAAUAAUUCAAAUUGCACUUUUCUUGCAAACACAAAAAAUCAUUUCAAGUUUUGAAAAAUGAAAUAACAUCAAAGAAGUUUAUGAAGUGGAAGCAAAUACAAAAUUUUGAACCCAGCUUUAUUUUGGGUCAAUCUAUAAUUCACCUUUUGAAAAAUGAGAAAGUAAAAAAAGAGUAACAUAGGAUACCAAGUGAGUGAGGUGAAUAAAAGUUGUGGUAAUUUGAUAGAUUUUGAAAAUUGGAGGAGCCAAAGACUUUUCAAUAUUCAAAUUCGUCUGCUUGGUUAAGGACAUAAGAGAAAUAAAAAUAACCAAAAUGUGGGUCCAAUCAUUUUAUUAAAAUAUAUAAUUUGUUUUCUUUAACUUGCUUUUUAAGAUAUAUAGUAAUGUUUCAAUUAUUGAUGAUCUAUCUCAUCGCAAUAUUCUUCACCUCAAAACCUUCUAUAGGUUCAAUAUUUCUAUUCCUAAACCUGCUUUUACUUUUUCCUAUUUAUUCUUUGAAAAAAAUACCAUCACAUGACUUGGUUCAACAUUUUAUAUGAAACUUUUGUAAAAUCAUGAUUUAAUCUAACAUCUAAUGUGCAGUAGAAGAAUCAUAAGGGUUUGCAUUAAAGUGAUAAAGGGUUUGGUUGUAAUAUUGAAAUAAAAGAGGAAAUGAAUGAGUUGAUGGCAUACAGAUGCAAAGCAUAUGAAUUAUUAAAGGGUAGAUAUAAAAAACUAGAAUGAAAACGACAUCAUAUACUUUUAUGUUUUUGUCCACCAACAUGAUUGAGUCAUUGAAAAUGGUAAAAAUGGAAUGAGAAAGAAGAAGGGAAAUUAAUUGGGAUAAUGAUGUUAUGCCAUCUUUCCUGUUCUAUGUCGGAGCUAUAAGAAGCAUCAAAUCUACGAAAUACCAUCAAUAAUACAAAUCUUAUUGCUCACUACAACUUCAUAAUAGAUUCAAAUUAAUGCCUUCUUAGAAGGUACACUUAGAUGCAUGUUUUUCUUUUUUUUCAUACAGAGUUUCUGUAUACCUCUCAAUUACAUAGCGUUUAAUAUUAUAUUUAAGACACAUAGAUAAAUUAUAGAUUAUUAAAGAAAGUUAUUAUUAUAAAAUUUGUUUAUAUUUUAGGAUAAUAAUUUUAUGUUUUUCUUAAUAGUUUGAGUCUAACGAGAAUUAUAAAUAGGUGGUAUAUAAUUCUCAUGGUUAGAAAAGAUACUAAACUCUAUUUUAUACUUUUAACUUUUUAUUAAGAAUCGAUCAUUAUUUUUAUAUUCUUAUUGACUUAAGCAUCUUAUAAGAAAAAUGAUAAAAUAAUAGUAAGAGGAAGAGAUAUUUUUUUUAUUGUAUAUUCAUGUAUAAGAAAUAUACAGGGAGUUUCUCUCCCCAAAUUACAAUCAAUCUAUAUAGGUAGGAUACUAAUUAUGAGAUUCCUAUCAUUAUUAAAUUAAUUGUAUAUAAUUAAGUAUAAUAUCGUGUAAUAUUAUAUACAAUAAUUCCAUAUAAUUUGAUAAUUAUUAUUUUUUAAUACAUUCUAAGUAAUAUACUCUUAUUGACUUAAUCUUCCGAAAGUCUUUGAAGAUAUAUCGUCACAGCGUUAAUAACAUCAACAUCUGUUUAGUGAUCUGUAGCUGAGCAGUCACAUUGUGGAAGAACAGGUGGAUGAGUGUUAUCAUUUAUUCAACAAACGUACAUGUUUAGGCUACCAUUAACAAGUCCCUCCCUCACCUAAACUCCAAUUUUAAAACAAACAUCACAAGUUUUGGUUUACCAUAUGAACUAUACAUGUAAAAAACAAAAGUUUGAGGUUGCAAGUGUUGGUGUGAAGUUGCUGAAAGUGGUAAAAGACAGAGACAUGCAGAAGCAGGAAGAUGAGGAGAGAGAAUGGAUCGGACAAAAAAUGUUGAAAUUGCAUAGUUUAAGGUGGUGGUGGGCCCCGGCGGCGGAGGGAAGAAGACAUUGUGCUUUUUGCUUUGGUUCCAUUCCAUCAUGCACGUGGUCCACGCCUUCUUAAUUAUCUUAUUAUGCCCUCUCUCACACACUAACAUUUUUCUCUUAUCAUGCUCAUACAUACACAUAAAACCAAAAUGUUUCUCAUUUUCUACAAAAAUUUUCAUCAUCAAACACAAUCAUUAAACAGUGCAGCGUUGCCUUUUUCAUCAUAACAGCUGUAUGCAACUAUAUAUAUAUAUAUACCAUUAAUAUUUAUCCACCCUAAAUCAUGACGUACAUUUUUUCAAUUAAAGAACAAAAAUGCAAAUGAAAUUAAUUUGAAGCUGAAAUUAGCUAAAAGCAAGCAGCAUAAUUGUGCAGUUGGAAGAUGACAGCAGCACUUUUGGUGGUAUUAUUGGGUAACGAAAAGGAAUGGUGGAGCUAAUAAACUUGGUGAGAAGUCAUAAUGAAGUUCAUAAUUUCAAACACCCACAAAAUGAUCCAAACACUUUGUUGAAAGAGGGUAGAAUGGAUAGAGAGAUGAUGUUGCUACUAAUAGUAUGUAUGUAUAAACCCUAAUCAGUGAAGACAGAUAACAGCUAGCUAUGCACAUAUAAUAAUAAAAAUAAAAGAUGGUAUUCUAUCUUCAUUCUCCAACCACAACCAAAUAAAAUAUAUGGUUGGAGAUCUCACAUCGACUAAAGAUUAGAGUCUUUCGUAGUAUAUAAGUGGGUGUAAAUCUCACCUCAUUGAGCCGGUUUUAUGAAAUUGAGUUAGACUUAAAGUUCACUUCGUAAUAUGGUAUAAGAGUCAUUUCGAGCUUAUCCUAGCGAGUGUUUGUGUUGAGCCUAACGUGUCACCCGCUAUAUAUAGUCUCACGCACGGGUUGGUAGUCGCGUGAGGGAGAUGUGUUGGAGAUCUCACAUCGAUUAGAGAUUAAAGUCUUUCAUAGUAUAUAAGUAGGUGCAAACCUUACCUCAUUGAGUCGGUUUUAUGAAGUUGAGUUAGGUUUAAAGUCCACUUCGUAAUAUAUAUCACUUUAGAGACUAAAAAAAUUAAUGAUAUUUAAAGUAAUUUCUAUUAUUAUUAAUAAAAGUUUAUAAAAUAAUUUUUAAAUUGAUAUCUAAUCAUUAGCUCUAAGAUUUUAUCUACUAAUAUCUUAGAUUCUAAAUUAGUCUCUAAAAGACCAAUUGAGAUCAAUUUAAAAUAUAAAAUAUUAGUAGCUAAAAUCUUAGUUAAUUUAGAUACCAAUUUAAAAAUUAUUUUAUAAAAUUUAAUUAAUAAUAGAAACCACAUUUCAUACAAAUAAUUUUUUAGUUUCUAAAUUAGUUUAUAAUUUAGUUAAUAUAAUAAUUAAUUAUAUAUUUUUUUAAAAUUUAAUUGUUAUUUAAUAAAUUUCUACCUACAAAAUUAGCCACUAUACAAGUCAUUUCGAUUGUUAUUUAAAUUAGCGAUUGAGUUUCGUUGUCAAAAGUCUAAACAUAUAUUUAAUAAUGGAUCGUUAGGGUAUAGCUGUUGCUCAUGAGUGACCAAUGUUAUGUUAUUGCAAUUUGUUUCGUUAUUUUAAAUAUAUAUAUUAAAACUAUUACAAAACCCCCUACUAUUUUUAAAAAUUAAUACAUUUUUAAGUCACUAAUUUAGUUGUAAAUUAUUUGUCAAAACUAGUUAUUUUGGUUGUUAUUUCGAUAGCUAUUUCUGAUAAUAAUUUAAUUUAAUAUGUGUAACACAACAAAAUUUAACCCUUAUAAUGACAUCCACUAUAUCUUACUUUAAACUUAUAACAUAUACUAAAAAUUAAAUGAAAUUGUUACAUCGUUAUAUGAACUAAUUAAAAGUGACAACUUAGAAAAACUAAAUAAAAAUCAGAAUUUCAAAUAAACUAACACUAAAAAUAAAUAAUAUCAAAAUUAAUUAGCCACUAUAUUAAUAAAUUAUAUAUUAAUUUAAAGAUUAAAAAAUUUAGUAUUAAUAAUAAAAUAUUAUAAAAUAAUUUUUAAAUUGAUAUUUAAAUUAGUUAUUAAAAUUUUAAUUACUAAUAUUUUAGAUUCUAAACUAGUCUCUAAACAACUAAUAGAAAUUAAUUUAGAACAUAAAAUAUUAAUAAUUAAAAUCUUAGUAGAUAAUAGUUAGAUAUCAAUUUAAAAAAUAGUUUAUAAAUUUUUAUUAAUAAUAAAAAUUAUUUUAAAUACCAAUAAUUAUUUAGUUUCUAAAAUAGUCUUUAAUUUAGUUAAUAUAAUAACUAAUUAUUUUAAUUUUUAAAAUUAAUUUUUAUUUAAUAAUUUUAAUUUCAUUACAAAUUUGAAGUGGUGCCGAUAAAAAAAAAAUUAAAAGUGGCAAGGAGUGAGAAAAUUAAAGGUGAUUUGUUAUUUUGUUAUUGGAAGAAUUUGCAAUUGUACUCAAUGGAGUAUUUUUUUAACAACGUGAAAAUAUACUUUAUUACCACUAAUUACUAAUAAAUAUAUUAGGAAAGAUAUUUGUUGUCUUCUUGUGUGAUUUCCUACACCUAAUUUAGAUGCUCAUAAUAUUUUUUUAAUAAAACAAUUUUAUCACAAUGCUGAUGACACAAAAAUAUAUAAAUUUAUUAAAUGAAACAAUUAAAAAAAAAUGCUAUAACAUAAAAGACAACAAGAAAAUAUAUAGUAGAAUCAUAUUGAAAGUCAUCAAUAUAAUCGUUAUGAGGAUCAUCAUAUCUUGAUUAAAAGCAUCUAUAGUAAUAAGAGUUUUACAAUAUUAUAUAUAGCAUUAUUUAUAUAUUUUAUGUCUCCCAAUAAUAUUAAAAUUAAGUGUCAAAUAUUAAUCUUAAAUAAAUAUAAAAUAUCCUCACGACCUAAAAAGUAUUAUAUCAGUUAAUUAAUUUUUAGUUUGCUGAUAAAGAAAUAAAAUAGUUAUGAUUGCAUACAUUAAAUGAAGAGAUAAUGCUUAUAUCUUCCAAUCUUAUUUUUCUUAUAUUUUCUUAUCUCAGAAGAUAAAAUUAAAAAUAUUAUUUCAUUUUUUAAUAAUUAUUAUUUUUUUCUUAAAAAUUCUUCUUCUUCUUAUUUUUUUUUUUAAAAAAAAUCUUCUGCUUAUUAUUUUUUGUUAUUUUCAUUUUACUUUAUCACUUCAUCUUACGAAUAAAGAUAUUACACUUUAAAUGUGUCAAGUGAAUGAAAUCUUCCCUCUAUCAAAUAACUCAAAUAAGUUUUCAUUUUUUUACAAUAAAAUUGUGUGUCUUCUAUUGUGGUUUCUUACUUCAUAUUAUUUAAAGCUCAUAUUUUUGCCAAUAAAAUAAUAAUAUUAAUAUUUAUGCAAAAAAAUUUAAUCCCAUAGAAUGUUAGUGACAAAAAAUGUAUAAAUUUAUUUUAUUAUAUAAAUAAAAUCAAUGUAAUAUGAUUAACUCAAAUAAACGAUGAUAUAAGUGUUGCUACACAUAGUAAAGUCAUUCCUUAAGGGUAAAUCUUCUUUAUUGAACAUUCUCUCUAAUAGAUUGGAGUACUUUUAAAUAUUUUAUAUUAUUUUAUUUAUUAUUUAGAAUAAUAACAAAAAAUAUAAUAAAGUCACCUUAAUAUAACAAUAAACUAUAAUCACACAUGAGUCAGAAAAUUUAAAUGUAUAAUAAAAUUUACAAAAUACUAUAUUUUUUAAUAAUUUAUCUUUUAUUUGUAUCUCUUUAUAUUGAGUUUUUUAAUAUUUUUUAUCGAGUUUGUGCAAUGUUUUUCUAACUCAAACUUACCAAGGACUCUGAGUUGAAGUCAAAUGAAUAUAAUAAUGUGGUAAUAUUAAAGAAAAUAAAAAAAAAAGAUUUGUAGAAACUUUUAUGACCCUAAAUCUCCUUUUAUAUAAUCUCAGAAAGUACGUUUUACGUCUUUUGAGCCUAAAAUAGUGGAGAUUUAGUUUGUGAUGUGUUUUGAAAAGCAAACAAAUUAUGAGAAGUGUAAAUCAAGUUUAAGAAAUAUGAGAAACUUGUAUAAUUAAGGAUAUUUUAUUAGAAACACUUUCCAGUUUUAAACAAACAACAUAUCUUCCAUGAAAAACUCCUGUAAUUCAUUAAUUAUUAGAACAUAUUAUUUAUAAAAUAUUAUGGUUGUGGGUGUAAUUAUUAUGGUAGAAUCACAAGUUUGAAAAAAUAAAAGUUAUUAAGAAAAUCAUAAUACAAACUAAUUUUAAAAAUUAAAAAUAAUUAGUUGUUUUAUUAAUUAAAUUAAAAUAUUUUAUAAACUAAAAUACUUAUUGAUUUUUAAAUUAAUUUUUAUUAUUGAUAAAUAGUUUUUAAAUUGAUAUCUAAUUAGCUAGCAAUAUUUUUGUUAAUAAUUGUUAGUUAAAAUCUUGGUAAUUAAUUAAAUAUAAAUUUAAAAAUUAUUUAUCAAUAAUAAAAAUUAAUUUAAAAUCUAAUAAUUUUUUAAGUUUUUAAAAUAAUCUUUAAUUUAGUUAAUAUAAUUAAUUAUUUUUAUCUUUAAAAUUGGUUUUUUAUUUAAUUAAGUUACUAAACAUGUAAAAUUAAGUACUAUUAUUCUUAGGGCUUAAUUAAAGCUAAGUGAAUAAAAAAACAUCUGAAUGAAAGCCGUACAGGAAUUGGUUAAAAUUAAUUUUUGUUCUUAAAUGUAAAAAACAAAUGUCCUUUUCCUUAUCGUUUACAAUAUUAAUCUGUGUUCAGUUGCUUUUGAUAUGUGUGCCAAUCAAAAACAAACACAACAAAAUUCAAAUUCAUUAUUCUACAACGGCUAUUUUCUAAUUUCUAUGAUGUCGGUGAGUUUAGUAUUAUGUCUUCUUCAUCUUUAUUACAUAUAUUCACUACUUAACGUUAUUCAACUCAACUAUAAUAUAUUAAUUAUAAACAAUCAUUAAUAAAUAUAAUUAAACUCAAGUCGCAUUCACAUAUAAUUAAAUUAAUCCAUUCUAAAUCGUGUUUACCAAAUAUUCCGUUACCAAAAUUUCAUAUACCAUUACUUUUUUUUUUAAAUCAUAGUCUAAAAUAACUUUUGACCCUUAACUCCUUUUACUAAACUUCAAUUCGAUUUUUAUCUUUCAAAGAAAAUUAUUUUUCAUCAUAUAUCUCUCAAAUUUUUAUAUAUUUUCAUUUCGAAAUCGUCAUCGUUUUUUAUUUUAUGUCACGGUUUUUUACUUUUUUAACUAAUUCAAAAUGUAAAAUCUAUUCUACUGAAUCUGAGGAAAAAAAAAAUCGGUGCUCGUGAAAUUAACUUUUCACGCAAUUUUUAGUCAUUUUAUGAUUUCUUUUAGUUUUAACAUCCAUAAUCUUCUUAUAGAAUAAUCCAACCGAAAACCUUAUGCGUUUUUCAAUAAAUAAUCAAGGAUUCAAAAUAACAUUGAUUUUUUUUAAAAGACUAACUUUAAUAAUAUUAUUGCAUAUAAGUGAGUGUUGUUAACCAAAAUGGAUUUACGAGUUUUUGUUGUCUAUAUCCAAUUAUAUGUGAGGAAAAGUGAAUGUAGAAAGAAAAAAAAUAGUUUCUAUAUCUUCAAUUUGAAAGUGUACCGAAAAACAAUGAAUAAGAAAGAACGAAUCAAUUAAUGAAAAAUAUAGUUUGACAAAUCUUUAAGUUAUAUACAAUCUUUUUAAAAAUAAAUAUAUAUAUAUAUAAUAAAUGAUAAAUUUAUAAUUAAAUAAUAUAAAAAAAUAUUAAAAUAAUAAUACUGAGAAUUGUAAUAUGAUUGUAUAAGAAAAAAAAUUGAGUUAUCUAUAUAUAAUUAAGGUUGAUUUUUAAGAAAUGAUCAUGAUAAUCUCACUUUCCAUUAACUUUUCUUUUCGAUUCAACACUUUCCUCUUCCUCAAUUUUAUAUUUAAAUCCAAACAAAAUAACAGAUAAAUGUUAAAAUAAAUCUUUUAAAUAAUAAUAAAUAAAUACAAAUUUUAGUAAAAAUAUUAAAAGAGUUUAAUUUCAAAUGUAAUAACUAAUCAAACUCAAUAUUAAGAGUAACUAAGAAAUUUGAAAAUAAAAUGUAUGAAAUAGAUUAAGUAACUUUGUAAAGAUUUAAAUUUGAAAUGUAUAACAUACUACUGUAAUCAUUAUUACUAGCGGAAAUAAACAGAAAGCCUUAUUUUUUAAAUAUUUUUAUAUAAUAUUAUUAUACUAUAAUUUUUUAAUUAAUAUAUGGUAAAUUUAUAAAUAUAUAAAUGAUAAAAUAAAUUGGAUUAAUAAGGGUAUUUUCACCAUACUAUUUUUUUAAAGAUUAAAUUAUAUAUAUUAAAGAUAAAAAAUAUUAUGUAUAUAUAUGUGACCAUUAUUUAUAAAAAAAAGUUCUUUAAUUAUUUUGAAACAAAAAUAAUUAUUCAAUUAUUUAUUUUAUUAAAUAAAUAGAUAAAUUACUUUUGUCAAAAGAUAAUAAUUACACUUUUUCUUUUGAAAAAAAAUACAACUAAUAUAAUAACUAUUGAAAUACAAAUAUAUUAUUAAAUUACAAAAAAACAUUUUUAUUAAGAAUUAUUAUAAAAAAAAAGAAAUUCAAUUCUGUUGUAUGUAAUUUCUUUCUUGUGUAGGUGAUUUUUUUAUUAAUCUUUGUUUUUUUCAAAUUCAAAACUUCUCUAAUUUAUUUAAAAUUCAAGAUUCCAAUUCAAAAUAAAUAAUUGUUAAAUUUAUUAUAUUAAAUUAUAAAGUAUAAAUUGAAAAAUGUGUACAUGAAACCCCUUUCUAUAUCAUAGAUUAUAAAUAUUAUUAACAAUAAAAAAUAUAUAUUAAAAUUAUAUUGUAGUUGGAUUUGAGUCAAUUUUAAAAAUACAAACGGCAAGAUCUGAACCGUUCCCCUCCAUAGUUAAAAAAGAAAUCCAAACAAUGCAAAAACAGAAUCUUUUUCUGUUAUUAGUUAUUUAAUCUUCUAUCAGUUUUGUUUUGUUUUGGAUCUGUGUGCUUUUACCCUAUUACCACCAAAACAUUUAUAUACAUCUUCUAAAACAAAUAAAAUUCUCUUAUUUUUUCUUAAAAAAAAUAUUAUUUUAAAGUUAAUAAAAAGUUGAAUAUUUUAAAAGAGUUAAGAAGAUUUUAUGUGCUGCCUUUCCCUACACAAAAAAUUAUUUUUGGUCUUACAAUAAGGAUAAAGUGUAAAGAUGUUAUCUUUUAAACACAACCAUAAUUGAAAAAACACAUUUAGCAUUUAAAUAUUCCAAAAAAACAGCUCUUUUUUAGUCUUUUUAUUUACAUACUUUUCUUGAAAUCUCAUAUACAAAAUGUAGGGUGUCUGCAGCUUGUAUUGUCUAAUGAAUUACCUUGGUUUUAUCUCAUAAAUUUUGAGUUUUUUAAGACCAAAAUCUGGUUCAGGUUGAAGUCACCAGAAGACACCAACUGAGAAAAUAAUGUAUUUAAAUAGGUAGUGUUAUGUUACUGCAUUAAGGAACUGUUAACAGUUGUAACAGAAAAAAAAGACGAAUCUUAGUUAUUUUUCUUGUGAAUUUAUCUAAAAGCAAAUCAAGUAAGAGGAAAUACUAUUCUUUCAUGAAUGAAUCAUGUGAAAAUGUGGAUCAAGAAACGUCAAAAGAAGGGUAUAAAUAAUAAAAAAAAUGAGAUAUUUUUAUGAAAAAGAAUGAACACACAUACAUACAUAUCUGUCAUCUCAGAACGUAGGUAGAUCUACACAGGCAUACCUACAGCAGCAGCCAGCAGCCAUCACCACGUGCAAAAAUAAAGAAAAAAUUUCAUCACAUUUUUAAUUGCUGUCAAAUUUUGGCCUUAUAACUCAGCAGGGAACACAAUUUACUGCUAUAUGUUAUCCCAUAUUCAGUCUUCAUUCAUCAUCAGAGAAAUAAACCAAAAGGAACAAUUUUGAAUGGAUUUUGAUUUUUUCACAUUUUAGCUUUAACAUAUGUUUUGGUCAACAACCAAUUCUGAUAAAUAUGCACGUGUCACUGUCAAUGUGUCCUUCAUAAUGGUAUUAUGUCCUUUGUUGUCACCUUAACUUCAGGGUGCUGUUUUCUGUUUGGACCAAUGACAGUUUAAAUCUGAUACCAAUUCACUCUGCUACACCUAAUGGUAAUAUGUCACUUUUUGCAUAAAAGAAAGAAAUUUCAUUUCACAUCUCAACACCAUGAAACCAAAGUCUGAAUUUUUAACAAGAGAACUUCAUAAGUGAUGAAAAAGUGUGAUCAGAUGCAGAUGGGGUGCUGAGAUUAACGGCCAGAUGGAGAUAACUUGAGUCUGCAUAUUGUAACAACUUGCACCACACCUAAACGUGAGAAUUUGAGGACCAAAAGUGGUUGAUGGUGUGGUCCUCCAAAGAUCUUCAAUACAACAAUUAUAUGAUCUUAAAAGAAAAGUCUUUCUUUUGAUUAUUUUUUUUCACUGUGUUUUACUCCUAUCAUUCCCACAUUAUAAGCAUCGAAAGGGACUCACGUUUCCUCUAUCAACUGUCUGCCACUGUGCAAUUCUUCUCUCUUCCAAUCAUAACUUUUCCACCACAUCUCCAUCUCAUUAUGCAUGCAUCCAAUCUCCAAUUUACGUUUAACUUUUCUAACCAAUUCCAAGGGAUUUAUUAAUUUCCUUAAAUUCAACAACCCUUAUGAAUUUUAUGUCUGUUUACACCCCAAUUCAGAGAUGUUAUACCACACGGCAUUGACUAUCAUAAACAAUGCAGAGAGAUGAGAAAGGUGGCUAUUAGAAAUUAGAAAAAUAGGUUCAAGUAGGUUCACAUGGGGUCACAGUUAAUGCACAUACCCUGUUGUAAUCUUGACCAAUGGGGCAUGUAAUUACAUGCCCUGGCACACCAACUUAGCCUUAAGAAGAAGGGUAAGUAACCCAGAUGAGAAAAGUUGCCACAUUUACCUUCAAACCAGUUCAAGAAUUACCCUUCUGUAAAAAUCCCAUUUGCAGAGAAAAAGAGAUUAAUUAGCAGGGAAUCUUGACUCUUGAAACCAUAUGAAACUAGAUAUGUCCGGUGCAUCAUAGAGAAACGUACCUGAUUUUUCCUACUUUUGGACAGUAGGGUCAUUUUUAAUUGCCAAAUGCUUAGUUGUUUGAAUUAUAUUAUAUUAUCCAACAGGGCCAAAUAGUUCUAUGAGGGAACAUUAGUGUGCACGUUCCAUUAUUCAUUCAUGUUACACUUAUUCAUUAUUCAUGUCAUAAAUCUUUGUUACAUGACAUUGGUCAAUUGCCAAACCCAAUGCAAAUAUUUGAAAUUCACCGGAGGAACAACAUGUUAGAGACAAACCCAAUGAAUUCUUCAGAAGCAAUUAUAAAUUAACAAGUGUCCAAACAGAAGCAUUUACAAAGAGUGGAUGGUCCAUGAGCUUCUUCAAAAGUGUCGUUUUCUAGAGAUGUAAAGCAAGGUAGCUAAAGUUGAAUGUAGAAUGCAAGAAAUGAAACCAUUCUGGAAAUCACCAUUUUCCCCUGGUUACUGUUUUCUAGUCCUUUUUUAUGUUGGCCUCUAAAGUUCUGGUACCACGAAUUAGCUGUAUAAUAAGCAGCAACGUGCACUUCAUGCUGGUGUUGACAACCUCACAUGUUAAUCUCAUCAUUGAGGAACCACAUGGGUGAGAAAAUUCUUAAAGAAAGUGAAAGAAAAGAAAAAGAAAAAAAGCAUAAACAGGUGAAGUGCACCAAAGUUGUACUCUUCUCAUGGCAACUUCUCAUUCUGUCCACCCCACUGGAAUCAACGUAUUAAGGCAAUAUUUGAUUUGUGAAGGUGUAUAAUUGCGGAUAUACGGUAUAUAACAGAUUAAACAAAUGGAUGAUAGUUGUGUGUGGGAACCCCACGAACACGUGGAUAGCAAAUUAAGCCAAAUUUGGAUUAUUCUUUAUGAGAAACUGCCAAAGGGUUGUGUUCCAAAUGUACUAAAAAAAAAAUGGUGUUGAAAAGUCAAAAUAUCUUGACCCUUGAACAAAAGAGGAUUCGAUCCAAAGCUUGCAAUGGAUGGCAUCGAGGAGCAAUGGAACAAAAAUGAUGAGCAGUGAUGGAACCGUGAUGCAAAAUACAUUAUUGUUUCCCUUCCCUGGAAAACAGUAGGAAGAAAAUGAGUAAAGAGAAAGAGAUAAAAGAAUAAAGCAUAGUUUAAUGGGUAGUUGGAGAAAGGAAUAGAGGCUUAAAAGGUUGGAGGAAAACAAAAGAAGCAAGAGUUUACGAAACUGUGGUUAAAGAAAGUCACAAGGCCAGCUGGGGAAGCUUAUUUUAAAGCAUUAUAUCAAAAUGAAAGGUAUUUAAUAGUUUGAAUUGGUCCCUCAUGACAGCUCCUCUUUAACGACUCACUUUCACUAUAAGUACUAAGUAUUUCAUGCAGCUUUUGUCAGUCAUAUCAUCACUAACACCAUAACCUCUUUCUUCUUCUCCUUCCACCAAUUUCAGUGAGGAUCUGAGAAGAAGCAUUGCUCAGAGGAACUCAGCUUUUUCCUUCUACGCAUGACUGCAAGGGGCAGAGACCCCUCAUGGGGUCUUCUCUGGCCGCAAAUGGCCCUCGCAUUUUCCAUUGCUCUCCUUUCUUUCACUGUGGUUUCUGUCAAUGCUGAUGGUUACCCUUACUAUUCUCCUCCUCCUCCUUACGAGUACAAAUCACCACCUCCUCCACCUUAUGAGCACAAGUCUCCUCCUUAUGAGUACAAGUCUCCACCUCCCCCAUCUCCAUCUCCUCCUCCUCCUUACGUCUACAAGUCUCCACCUCCACCACCAUAUGAGCACAAGUCUCCUCCAUAUGUGUACAAAUCACCACCUCCUCCAUCUCCUUCACCACCACCUCCUUACGUCUACAAGUCUCCACCUCCUCCUCCUUAUGUCUACAAGUCUCCACCUCCUCCUCCUUACGUCUACAAGUCUCCACCACCACCUCCUUAUGUCUACAAAUCUCCCCCUCCACCACCAUAUGAGCACAAGGCUCCACCAUAUUAUUACAAGUCACCACCACCUCCUUCCCCAUCUCCUCCACCUCCUUAUUACUAUAAAUCUCCUCCACCACCCUCUCCCUCACCUCCUCCUCCCUACUACUACAAGUCUCCACCACCUCCUUCACCAUCUCCUCCUCCACCCUACUACUACAAGUCCCCACCACCUCCUUCACCAUCUCCUCCUCCACCCUACUACUACAAGUCCCCACCACCACCCUCCCCAACUCCCUACUACUACAAGUCCCCACCACCACCAUCUCCAACUCCCUACUACUACAAGUCUCCACCACCACCAUCUCCAACUCCUUACUAUCCAUCCCCCACUCCUUACUACUACAAGUCUCCACCACCACCAUCCCCAACUCCCUACUACUACAAGUCUCCUCCUCCUCCUUCACCUACUCCUUACUACUACACUUCUCCACCACCACCCAAAUAUCCACCUCCCUACUAUUAUAACUCCCCUCCUCCACCUGUUGUGUAUCCCCCACACCCCUACCACCCCCACCCCUUGAUUGUCAAGGUAGUGGGUAAAGUCUACAGCUACAAGUGCUAUGACUGGGAGUAUCCCGAGAAGUCUCACAACAAGAAACACCUCAAAGGUACACACCUUAUUUUUCUCAUUUACAAUGCCUUCCAAUUAAUGUUCUCUGUGUUACCAUCAAACUGUUACUUUCCUGCUUCUUUGAUGUUCAUUAGCAGCCGCUUUUUGGAGUUAGGAGACUCCUAUGUUUCCAUAAUGGAAAUGUCUUUGUUUUUAAAAUUCAGUCACUUUCACAACCACCUUUUCUUAUCUGUCUGUUUUUCUUAUAAUUAACCUUUUGAGGUUAAUUAACGUGUUAAUAAGGUUUGAGGGAAAAAAACUGAACAGAUUCAGAGCGUCUAGAGUAAUGCACAAGUGAACAUUUUAUAAUGUGGUUAAUAGGCAUUUUAUAAUUUUAAUGAUAUAUUUAUCUGCAUUGAUCUGUGCAAGUAUCUUUAUAUAAAUUAAACAAAGAUACUAAAUAAAUGUCUUAGAUUAUGUGUGAUUAUCUCCAAAAGGAGAUUCAUAAAAAGGAAAAGAAAAACAGAAAUAUAAUUUAGAAGAAUCGGCUAAUGCCUGUAAUACAUUAAGAAAUAAUCAACUAGACACUUUAUAUAUGAACCUUUAAAUGAUUCUUAAUAUAUAAUAUAAUAUGGUAUCUGACAAAACUUUCACUUUAAUGAUAACUUGGUGUGUGGUAUGAUCUAUGAAUUGGAAUUAAGCAUUUUGGGGUGAAUGCAGGUGCUACUGUUGAGGUUAAAUGCAAAGCAGGAAGAAACAUCAUUAAGGCUUAUGGUGAAACUAAGAGCAAUGGAAAAUACAGCAUCACAGUUAAGGACUUUAACUAUGUGAAAUAUGGAUCCGUAGUGUGCAAGGCCAAGCUUUAUGCCCCACCUAAGGACUCUCCAUUCAACAUACCUACAAAGUUGAACGAGGGAACAGAGUUGAAGGUCAAAUCCAAAGACAAAUAUGAAGUUGUGUUGAAGGCUAAGCCAUUUGCUUAUGCUUCAAAGAAGCAUUUCAAAGAAUGUGAAAAGCCUAAGCCUUCACCAACUCCAUACUAUUACAAGUCACCUCCUCCUCCAUCUCCAGUUUACAUAUACAAGUCACCACCUCCUCCAUCACCUACUUAUGUUUACAAGUCACCACCACCACCAGUGAAGUCACCUCCCUAUUACUAUCAAUCUCCACCUCCACCAUCACCAAAACCUCAGCCUCCUUAUUAUUAUCACUCUCCACCUCCUCCAACACCAGUUGUUAAGCCACCAUACUACUACCAAUCUCCACCUCCUCCAUCUCCAAAACCUAAGCCUCCAUACUACUACCAAUCUCCUCCUCCUCCAUCACCAAAACCUAAACCUCCUUACUACUACCAAUCUCCACCUCCUCCAUCACCAAAACCUCAGCCUCCAUACUACUAUCAAUCUCCACCUCCUCCAACACCAGUUGUGAAGCCACCAUACUACUACCAAUCUCCACCUCCUCCAUCACCAAAACCUCAGCCUCCUUACUAUUACCAAUCUCCACCUCCUCCAACACCAGUUGUUAAGCCACCAUACUACUAUAAAUCUCCACCUCCCCCAUCACCCUCUCCUCCACCACCAUACUACUACAAAUCUCCACCACCACCAUCCCCAUCACCGCCACCUCCAUACUACUAUAAAUCUCCACCUCCACCAUCACCGGUUGUUAAGCCACCAUACUACUAUAAAUCCCCACCUCCCCCAUCACCCUCUCCUCCCCCUCCAUACUACUAUAAAUCUCCACCUCCAUACUACUACCACUCUCCACCUCCACCAUCACCAGUUGUUAAGCCACCAUACUACUACAAAUCUCCACCUCCACCAUCACCCUCACCUCCCCCUCCAUACUACUAUAAAUCUCCACCCCCACCUUCACCAUCCCCUCCUCCUCCAUACUAUUAUAAAUCACCACCACCACCAUCCCCAUCACCGCCACCUCCAUACUAUUACAAAUCCCCUCCACCUCCAUCCCCAUCUCCACCGCCUCCUUAUUACUAUCACAGUCCUCCUCCACCAUCUCCCACUCCUCAUCCUCCCUACUACUACAAAUCCCCUCCACCACCAACGUCCUAUCCUCCACCUCCUUACCACUAUGUGAGCCCUCCACCACCUUCUCCAUCUCCACCUCCACCAUACUAUUACAAAUCACCACCUCCUCCCUCCCCAGCCCCCGCUCCAAAGUACAUUUACAAAUCACCUCCACCUCCAGCUUACAUCUAUUCUUCCCCACCUCCACCCAUCUACAAGUAAGCUCGGAUUGUGGAAGCACCAUUCACCACAA